rnacentral:lncRNA from 1 species
UUGCUGUGGAGGAUGUUAGUAAGUUCAUCAAUUUCUUGCAAGCAAAAGCUUGCAGGCGUGUGAGAUUCCGAAAAGAUACCGAUGAUGAUGGCAAUGUUGGAACAUUUUCAAAAUAAAUGUGUCUUAUGGUAAAGACAUGUCCUAUUAAUUGUGCCUUAUAGAAAAUGUACCUUUCACUAAAGACAUGUCUAAUUAAAUGAUGUCUUGUUGUAAGGACAUGUCCAUUUAAUUGUGUCUUGUAGAAAAUGUAUCUUUUUACUAAAUGAUGUAACUUUUCAUGACAACAUUUCACUUAGAGAUGCAUCAUUUCAUGGUGACAUUUCAUUUGAAAUUGUGAUGAUUCAAUUUGGACCAUUGAUUAAAAUCAAAUCUAGAUCCAAUGGCCAUGAAUGAAGGGGUAUCAUGAAAGAUGACAACCCAAAUGAGGGGGCACAAGUAUAUCUAUAAAUAGGGAUCAUGUUUAAGCCAUUUAGACAUGAAAUAAAUGAUCCUACACCACUCUUUUCUUAGCAUUCUUUUCUAGUACGAAUUUCAACACAAAACACCCAUUUCUUUUGUGCAUUCACAUUCCAAUAUAUUGUUUUCUGCAGGAACAAUAUAUUGUUUCUUGGCAGGCUUGCAACAUUCAAGAGUAUUCUGGUUUGCUUUCGUCGAUGCACAGCGCAAGCAAACAAACAAGUGCUUCAUUGUAUCCUGGAGGCGUAUUUGCUUAACCUAUGUGCAUCACUCAAUUGGUGGGGGCAAAUAACGUCUUAAGGAAAGCGACAUUUGUAACGUGCCUUGAAGCACACAAAAUUUCUGCAGUUUCUUCCUAUAUACAGAGUUAGUUGUAAACACAUUACUUUACAUAAUAAAGUUCCACCAUUAUUGUUGUAUUUUUCUACAUUUGCCAUUCCCCAAAAAUUUUACCACCAACAAUCUUAAGACGUUAUUUCUACAACAAUGGCACCAAGUUCAUCUCUUCGACAAUUCACAGUAGAUUUUGUCAAAUUGGAGCGGUUCGAUGGUGGCAACUUUAUUCGUUGGCAGAAAAAGUUGCAUUUCUUGUUGACAAGCAUCAAUGUGGUCUAUGUUCUCACAACACCAAAGCCUCAAGAACGUGAGAAUGAGACAUUAGCGGAAACCAGAGUGCAACAUAAGUGGGAGCAAGAUGACUACGUGUGUAAGGGACACAUUUGCAAUGCCAUGUCUGAUACUUUGUUUGAUCAAUAUCACAACAAACCUACAGCAAAAGAGAUAUGGGACUCAUUAGAGGCUAAGUACAUGAUGGAAGAUGCCACAAGUAAGAAAUUAUUGGCUUCUAAAUUUUUUAAUUAUAGAAUGGUUGAUAAUAGAAUUGUGGUUGAACAACAUAAUGAGAUUUUGCAUAUUCUUGAUCAAUUCAACCAACAUAACAUGAAAAUGGAUGAGUCUAUUAUUGUCUCUUCAAUUAUUGAUAAACUUCCUCCCUCUUGGAAAGACUAUAAGAAAAGUCUUAAACAUAACAAAGAGGAAAUUAGUCUGGAUGGCUUAGGCCAAAGUCUUCGCAUUGAAGAGGAACUCAAGCUUAAUAGUUUUGAGGAUCAGACUACUACGUCCUCUAAAAUUAAUGUCGUAGAGGAAGGGAAGGAGUUUAAACAUUCUAAUCACCCUAAGAAUAAUCAAAAGAGAAAGUUUGAUUCCAAAGAGAAUCAAAACAAUAAGAAGAAAAAGAAGGGUACAUGCCACCACUGCGGAAAACCUGGCCACUUCAAAAGAGAUUGUCGACUUCUGAAGAAACAAAAGAAAGUUUCGAACACAAAUUUUGUGGCCAUGAUAUCUGAGAUUAAUGUUCUUGAAGAUGAUAAUGCAUGGUGGAUAGAUUCAGGUGCAACCAAGCAUGUAUGCAAGGAUCGUAGCCUUUUCAAAUCUUAUAAAGCAAUGGAUGAUGGAAGUGUUCUUUACAUGGGAAAUUCCUCCACUGCAAUAGUUAAAGGAAAAGGCAAUGUGCAACUAGAGUUUACUUCUGGAAAAACUUUAACUCUUAUUGAUGUUUAUCAUGUUCCUGAAGUUAGGAAAAACCUUGUAUCUGGUAGCCUUCUUAAUAAGUUUGGCUUCAAACUUGUUUUUGAGUCAAACCAAUUUAUAUUAUCUAAGGGUGGUACCUUUGUUGGGAAAGGAUACAUGUAUGAAGGAAUGUUUAAACUCAAUAUCAAUAAUAUGAAUGUUUCUUCUGCUUAUAUGGUUGAUUCAUUAUCUUUGUGGCAUAAUCGUUUAGGACAUGUGAAUAUUAGAAGAUUGCAUGAUAUGGCUAAUUUAGAGUUAAUUCCUAAGCAUGAAAAUGAUAUGCAUGAAAAAUGUAAAGUAUGUGCACAGACUAAAAUCACAAGAUCUCCUUUUCCAAAAAUUGAAAAAACAUCUUCUUUAUUGCAUUUAAUUCAUAGCGAUGUGUGUGAUAUGCAUAGUAAUCCUUCUAAAUGUGGUAAAAAAUAUUUUGUAACAUUUAUUGAUGAUUUUUCAAAAUAUUGCUAUGUGUAUUUAUUACAUUCUAAAGAUCAAGUGUUAGAAAAAUUUAAAACUUAUAAAAAUGAAGUUGAGAAUUUUUGUGACACUAAAAUUAAAUGCCUUAGAAGUGAUAAAGGAGGUGAAUAUGCUUUUUCUGAAUUUUGUGAAUCUGUUGGCAUUGUACAUGAAACUAGCACUGCAUGUACUCCACAACAAAAUGGCGUAGCUGAAAGGAAAAAUAGGACAUUAAUAGAAAUGGUUAAUGCUAUGCUUUUUAAUGCUGGGCUUGGUAAAGGUUUUUGGGGUGAAGCUAUUUUAACUGCAUGUCAUAUCUUAAAUAGAGUGCCUAAUAAGAAAACAAAGGUGACCCCAUAUGAAUUAUGGAAAAAGAGAAAGCCUAAUCUUUCUUAUCUAAGAGUUUGGGGUUGUCGAGCCAUUGUAAGACUACCAAAACCUAAGAUAAAGAAAUUAGGAGAAAGGGGCAUUGAAUGCAUAUUCUUGGGAUAUGCUGAGCAUAGUAAAGCUUAUAGGUUUCUUGUAACAGAACCUAAUAGCUUUGUUGAGAUCAAUACUAUAGUGGAAUCUAGAGAUGCAAUAUUAUAUGAAAAUAGAUUUUCCACUAUACCAAAAAGUAUUGAUUCUCAAGAGAAUGAUAAACAAAUAGAAAUUGGUCAAAAGCGUGAUGCUAAUAAUGAGCAAAAUCAUUUGAGAAGAAGUAAAAGAAUAAGGACUAUAAAAUCUUUUCCAGAUUUUAUAGUCUAUUUAGUUGAAGGGACAAGAGACUCACAAUCAAAACAGACCAUGAUCGUAUCUACUAUAGAGUCUGAUCCCCUCACCUAUGAAGAUGCAAUGAAGUCUCAAGAUGCUGCUUUUUGGAAAGAGGCCAUUAAUGAUGAAAUGGACUCUAUUGUGGGUAAUAAGACUUGGAAAUUAGUUGAUUUACCACCUGGCUCUAAUCCUAUAGGUUGUAAAUGGAUUUUCAAAAAGAAGAAGAAAGUUGAUGGAACAAUUGAAAGAUUUAAAGCAAGACUAGUAGCAAAAGGCUUUACACAAAAAGAAGGCCUUGAUUAUUUUGAUACUUAUGCACCUGUUGCAAGAAUUGCUACUAUUAGAGUCUUGAUUGCUUUGGCUUCAAUUUAUCAAUUUGAAAUCCAUCAAAUGGAUGUAAAAACAGCUUUCUUAAAUGGAGAAUUAGAUGAGGAAAUUUACAUGAAACAACCAGAAGGGUUUGUUAUGCCAGGACAAGAACAUAAAGUUUGUAAACUAGUCAAGUCUUUAUAUGGUCUUAAACAAGCUCCAAAGCAGUGGCACGAAAAGUUUGACAAAGUGAUUGUCUCAAAUGGAUUUAAUAUUCAUGAAUCUGAUAAAUGUGUCUAUAGCAGAUUCAAUGGAAAUAAAGGUGUGAUUAUUUGUUUAUAUGUAGAUGACAUGUUAAUUUUUGGUAUUGAUAGUGAGAGCAUUGAACUCACUAAAUUAUUAUUGUCAUCUAAUUUUGAUAUGAAAGACAUGAGACUUGCUGAUGUGAUUUUGGGGAUUAAAAUUAUAAAAAAUGAGAAUGGCCUAGUAUUGACCCAAUCACAUUAUAUUGAGAAAAUUUUAAAGAAAUUUAAUUAUUAUGAUUGUAAGUCUGUGUCAACACCUUUUGAUUCAAACAUAAGACUGUAUCCUAACACUGGCAUAUCAGUAUCUCAAUUAGAAUAUGCACGUAUUAUUGGGUGUUUUAUGUAUGCGAUGACUUGUACUAGGCCUGAUAUUGCUUUCGCUAUUGGAAAGCUCAGUAGAUAUACUAGUAAUCCAAGCCAAGCACACUGGCAAGCAGUGUACAAAAUUCUAAAAUAUUUAAAACAUACAAUGGAUUAUGGUAUAUACUACACUGGAUAUCCUUCAGUUUUGGAAGGAUUUUCAGAUGCUAGUUGGAUUACUGAUCGAGAUGAUCAUACAUCCACAAGUGGUUGGAUUUUUAAUCUUGGUGGAGGAGCUAUUUCAUGGGGUUCAAAGAAGUAAACUUGUAUAGCAGACUCCACCAUGGCUGCAGAAUUUGUAGCGUUGGCUUCAUGUUGCAAGGAAGCUGAAUGGUUAAGGAAUUUGCUUAUAGAAAUUCCUAUUUGGCCUAAACCAAUGCCUCCUGUAUCUAUUCACUGUGAUAGUGAGGCAACUUUAUCAAGAGCAUAUAGUCAAAUCUAUAAUGGAAAGUCUAGGCACAUUGGUCUGAGACAUAGUUAUGUAAGACAAUUACUUACAGAUGGAGUAAUCACAAUUGACUUUGUGAAAUCAUGCCAAAAUUUGGCAGACCCCUUAACUAAAGGUCUUGCAAGGGAUAUUGUAUUUAAAACUUCUAAGGGGAUGGGACUGAAGCCAACAUCAUCUUAUCACCAAUGAUGGAAACUCAACCCAACACUUGAAAUAUCAAGAUCUUGGGUUCAAUGAGCAAAAGUACAUCAUAUGUUGUGAUAGGAAGCACUAUAAUAUUUUUAGAUGCGUCCCAAAGGUUAGUGCUUGAUACUUGUAACAUAUGGGAAAGGUUAAGCUACUUAGCUUUUAAUGGACUUAUAAAUGUUUUAGUUACAGGGACAUUCUAGAUAAGUCUACCUAUGUGAGUGUAUGAGGUGGUGCCGCUUCCUAUGUAACUUGGCUGGUUACUAAAGCGCUAAUGAAAACAGGAUAUAGACACAGGGCCAAUCCACGUGUCGGCUAAGGAAUACUUGAGAAUUUGAAAACUUAUGUGUGAGGUAUAUCCGGUUAGUCGAUUAAGGUCGCUGGUUCAAAGCUUGCCUACCAUGCCACCUUGAUUAACUUUGAUGUAUUGUCACUAAGUGAAGGUUCAAGUCCACAAGACACCUUCAUCUAUGCAUAAGUUUUCCAAGCCUGUGUAAGAUAAUUUUUCAAAAUUCAUUUAUUUUGAAAAUGGUGGGGGAUUGUUGGAACAUUUUCAAAAUAAAUGUGUCUUAUGGUAAAGACAUGUCCUAUUAAUUGUGCCUUAUAGAAAAUGUACCUUUCACUAAAGACAUGUCUAAUUAAAUGAUGUUUUGUUGUAAGGACAUGUCCAUUUAAUUGUGUCUUGUAGAAAAGGUAUCUUUUUACUAAAUGAUGUAACUUUUCAUGACAACAUUUCACUUAGAGAUGCAUCAUUUCAUGGUGACAUUUCAUUUGAAAUGGUGAUGAUUCAAUUUGGACCAUUGAUUAAAAUCAAAUCUAGAUCCAAUGGCCAUGAAUGAAGGGGUAUCAUGAAAGAUGACAACCCAAAUGAGGGGGCACAAAUAUAUCUAUAAAUAGGGAUCAUGUUUAAGCCAUUUAGACAUGAAAUAAAUGAUCCUACACCACUCUUUUCUUAGCAUUCUUUUCUAGUACGAAUUUCAACACAAAACACCCAUUUCUUUUGUGCAUUCACAUUCCAAUAUAUUGUUUUCUGCAGGAACAAUAUAUUGUUUCUUGGCAGGCUUGCAACAUUCAAGAGUAUUCUGGUUUGCUUUCGUCGAUGCACAACGCAAGCAAACAAACAAGUGUUUCAUUGUAUCCUGGAGGCGUAUUUGCUUAACCUAUGUGCAUCACUCAAUUAGUGGGGGCAAAUAACGUCUUAAGGAAAUCGACAUUUGUAACGUGCCUUGAAGCACACAAAAUUUCUGCAGUUUCUUCCUAUAUACAGAGUUAGUUGUAAACACAUUACUUUACAUAAUAAAGUUCCACCAUUAUUGUUGUAUUUUUCUACAUUUGCCAUUCCCCACAAAUUUUACCACCAACAGGCAAUAGACUUAACAGAUUUUGACAGUGAUAUGCUCUUAGAAUUUCAAGAUGUUGAAAAAUGAAGUCCGGCUGUUUGGAAUCGUGUUUCCACAGUUGCUGUAGAUGAUUAAGUCUUGUCAGGUGUAACUCUUUUAUCAGUGCUAGCUUCCUCGCAUGUGUCUCCAAAUACCACUUCGUACGAACAAUCCGACAGGUGGAGAAAUUCCAGAUUGUGAAACCUCUCAAGUAAACCAAGUGGAAAGAAAGCUAAGUCAUCAUCCUCAACCUGUAGUCGUUUGAGACUGCCAAAGAUGUGUUGGGGGAAAUGGCCUUGCAAAAUCAUCGUGAUAUCUUUUCCACUUAAUGCCAGUUCCUCCAAGUUGGGUAAGAUCUGAUCAUCAUCGAGCUCAAAUUAUUAACUCAGCACAUUGAUCCAUAAUUCAAGACUGGCAAAAUUCAUUAUGUAAUCAAAGUUUUCAAUGAUUAUAUAUAUAUAUAUAUAGUGCUUUCGUUGGAAUUAAUUAUUAAAAGCUUUAAUCAAACAAUGUUUGGAUUGGGUCGGCCUAUCCAACUUUUAAAUAAGAUUACCAACUUUAAAUUAAAAUUGCUUUAGAUCGCGGUUGGUCAGGUUUUAGUGGAGGUACGUGGCGUUGUAUCUAGAUCGAUGCAGAGCCAAGUCUGUCCUUUGGAACCAGAUCUGACUUAGGACAGAUCAAUAUUCCGCACGCUCUAGUUUCCAGCCGAUAUACCAAUAUUAUUUACCAAAUAUUUAUUAAGUUCUUUAGUCAAGCCUAGCAACAACAUUCAUCUAAAGGCUUGGGUGCAUACACAGUACUAUUUCCUUCUGGUAUCAGAGCCAAGGGGAGGAUAGUGUAAUACAGUUUAGAGUUUUGUGUUUAAAGACUUGUGUUUUAUUUUGAAGUUUUGUUGUGUGGUGAAUUUUUACUGGUAGUAAGUCCCGUCCAAGGAUAAGUUUUUCGUUUAGGGCUGUAAAACCAUACCUGUAGCCAUUCUGACCAAACCAUAAAUAGACCAUAGGUUUGUAACCAUGGAUCCUCUACUCUGUAGAACAUCGUCCUUUUCUAGCUCUUCUUCCGGGAAGACUAGUGAUUCAAAGCAUGUUGUGAGUUCAGAAGAAUUCGUUAUUGAGAACUUUGAUAAAGCAAUUGAUUGUUGGGAACUUCCAAAAGUUUCUAAAGAAAAGAUUUACAAAACAAAAAAGCUUGAUUUUCUAAAAAAUGAUUAUGUAAUAAAGACUGAAGAAAGAGACAUAACUCUCUCAGAACCUUUUGAAACAAUUCAUUUGUUUUCAGAAAAAUCUUUAAAGAAAUUAAGAGAAAAGAAUUAUAAUUAUAUUCACAUUGGUUUAAUCCAAGUUGGAAUAAAACCUUUGACCAAAGAAGGCUUGGAUACUUCUAUCCUUACUGUCCUUAGAGAUGGGCGAUUCAUCUCUUUUGAUGAUUCUUUGCUAAGUAGCAUCGAAUCCAGUCUUUGUAAAUGUCCGAUCUCUUUUGAUUGUUAUCCAAACAUAACAAUUUCUCUUAAAGAUAAAAACAUUUUGAAAAACAUGAUCUUACAAAUCAAAACGCAUAAUUAUAAUAUGAUUAAGGGAUCUGUCCCAGUUGCCUUAAUUUUCAAAAUUUCUUAUAAAGCCAUGAUCUUUGCGUUCAGUACGCAACACAAAUUCCAGUCAGAAAGAGAUGAAACUCUUCUCUUGCAGACUGAUAUGUCUAAAGCCAAUACUGUCAUUCCAAAACCAAUCUAGUGGAAAGAUGUCAAUCUUCCAGAAGAAUGGAUUCUUGAAGGAGCUGCUCCACCAGCAAUUCCAAAACAACUUGAACCUAAUACGGAGUUGCAAAAAGUGACUCAGUAUUCUGAUGGUAGAGUUAAACUGUCUUUCAGGAGAUCUAACUCAACCAGAUUUUCUGAUAAAGAGUCGUGUUCAAGUAUUCCUUCAUUAGAAAGGAAAUUCACAAAAAUCCCUUCUGUCAUAAAUCUUCAUUUUCAAAGUCAACCUAGGUUUUCCACUUCGGCUAUACCUAGUUCUUCCAUUUGUUCUGUUGACUAUACUACAAACAUUCCUCAUCCUAUUUAUACUAGCAGUCAACAUGAACAAAGAUAGGAAGAGAAGUAACCUUCUCCUCCAACUUCCCCUACAUUCUCUGUUGUCACAGAAAAUGUAAUUAAUGUUAUUGAAAAAGAAUUUGAACUGGAUAAAACUCUCCUUCAUAAUGAUUUUUAUUCAGAUAAUAAUAAAGAAAAGAGACUUUGGUUUUUUAAACAUUUUUUAAAUCAAAGAAAAGAAAUCCAACAAUUUUAUUAUGAAUUUGUGAACCUUCACCAAGUUCAUAUAUUAUUUUUUGAUUGGUUCGAAAUACAUUCUUCUGAUAAUAACAUUUCUUACCCCUUCAAAGAGUCAAACCCUAUUACUAUUAGGAAGAAAACCACUGAAUGGAAACUUUCUGAUAGUGAUAAAACCAUAGAAUCUGAGCAUCCACCUCUUCGGAGCAUAACCGUUGAUCACGGCGAACCUCCUAUUCAAAUUAGAGCUUCACCUUAUAAAAUCCCUAAACCAAAUGAUUCUGAUGCAAAUUUAAGUAGUAUUAUUCAACAGAAUAAUUUCUGUAAUACUAACUUAAAUACAAUAGGAAAACAGUUGACUAGAAUAGAAAACCAAUUCCAACAGUCAACCAUAGCUAUUUCUCCUGUAGCAAAGCCAAUUCCUUCAAAAUCGGAUUCUGAUAAAAAGCUUAAGGAACCUAUUUUCAAACCUUUUCAGGUUUCGAAAACUAGCCAAAAGCUUGUCCAAGAAUCAAAAUCAGAUUUUGCUAAAGCCAUUAGGGAACAACUAGAUAGGAUAGAAGCUGUUUCUUCCUCAUCUAACAGAGUCCAAAUAGCCCCUGAUACUCCCUAAUCUAGCAAGAUUGGAGUAUUAGAACAAGACCAGGUUUUUAUUGCCUCUUCCAAUCUAGAAGCCUUUACAGAAGAACCUAUUCCUAAAGCCAAUAAAAUCCAUUGGGAUUUAGCUCUCCCAACUGUCAAGUCUCCACCUGAUUUGGCCAUAGACAAUAGGCCUAGUGCAUUAAACCAAUCACGUUUUAAUGCAUCCUCUGUCUAUGAGUGGAACAUUGAUGGUAUGUCAGAAUAUAACAUCUUAGGAUUGUUGCAACAGAUGACCAUGGCAGCCAAUGCCUAUAAAACCCAAUCGGGAACUUCUGACAAGGCCAUUGCAGAAAUUCUUAUUGCGGGUUUUACUGGUCAACUUAAAGGAUGGUGGGAUCAUCUUCUUACCAAACCGCAACAAUUAGAUAUCCUAAACUCCAUACAAAUAGAUGAGAAUGGUGCCCCCAUUCUUGAUGAGUUCAAUAGUCCUAUUCAGGAUGCUGUUGCUACCCUGAUUUUGACUAUAUCCCUCCAUUUCAUAGGUGACCCUGCUCACCUUAGAGACAAAAACGCCGAGUUACUAUACAAUUUGAGGUGUAGAAAACUUAGUGAAUUCCAAAGCUAUAAAACCUCUUUCUUCACUAGACUUUUCCUUAAGGAUGAUGCUAAUCAUACAACUUGGAAGGAGAAAUUCCUUGCAGGUUUACCAACCUUACUAGGAGAAAAGGUUAGAAAUUCCAUUAAAGCCCUUUAUGACAACCGUAUUCCUUAUGAUGAGCUCACCUAUGGUGAACUUGUCAGUUUCGUCAAUAAGGAAGGCUUAAAGAUCUGUCAAGAUUUGAAAUUACAGAAACGACUUAAAUGGGAGCUUAAAAAGUCUAAGCAAGAAUUGGGCAGUUUCUGUAAACAAUUCAAUUACGACCCCUUUAAGACUUCUACCUCCAAAGAUUGUAAUGGUAAGUGUUCUACAAAACCUUACAAGAAACAUUACAAGUCUAGAUUCCGUAAAAAACCCUUUCAAGACUUUAGAGAACUUCAUUAUAAGAAACCUUCGAGGCCUUAAAAGAAACCGAGUUCUUCUAAAAAGAAAGAGUUUAAAGCCAAACCAAAAACUCCGUACAAAACCCUAUUCAAUUACAGAGAAGCCAUAUGUCACAAAUGUGGUAUGAAAGGUCAUACUGCAAAAUAUUGCAGAAUGAGCAGAAAGCUCCAUGAGCUAGACCUAGAUGAGGAAACCCUCUCCAAAAUUACCUCUCUGCUCAUAGAGUCUUCUGACUCUGAGUCUUCCAUGUCGGGAGAUAGUGACCCUCUUCAAGUUGAUGAGAUAAUUGACUCAGAUGAUUCUGCAUCUAGCAGUAUUGAUUCUGAAUCAGAUCCUUAUUUAAAGAAAAUCAAUGUUUUAACUAAAGACCAAGAAAUUUUUCUUGAACUUGUAAAACAUAUUUCCGAUCCGAAUCUUCAAAAGGAAUACCUAGACAAACUUUUGAAAACUCUGGAUUCUAACAAAGCAGAAACUUCUAAAGUUCCAAUUGUUAAAAAGAAUUCUUACGAUCUCACUGAAAUUUUGGAUAAAAAGAAAACAAAAAAGUUAAUUCCUAAUAUCCAAGAUCUUCAUAAAGAAAUCAAAGAUAUCAAAAUUGAGAUUAAAGAAUUAAAAGAAAAACAAAAGAAAGAUUCUGAAACCAUCCAACUUCUUAUACAAAAACAAUUAGAAGAAAACUCAGAAAAAGAAGUUGAAUCUGAAAGCGAUAACAAUCAAAAUGUUGACAACAUUGAAUCUGUACCUAAUGAUUUUCUGUUUGUCCUAAAACAAAUCACCACUAGAAAAUACUUAAUUAAAAUAACUUUGAUUUUUUCCAAAGACUUUGCUAUUGACGCCAUUGCCCUUUUCGAUACUGGUGCCGAUUUAAAUUGUAUAAGAGAAGACAUUGUCCCCAAAAGAUUUCAUGAAAAAACAAGGGAAAGGCUUUCCACCGCCAACAAUUCAAAACUUAAAGUCAAUUCUAAAGUGGAAGCCUCAAUACAUAACAAUGGAUUCGAAUUUAAAACUUCAUUUCUUCUUACAAAUGACAUUCACCAUACUGUCAUUUUAGGAACCCCGUUCAUAAAUUUAAUUACCCCAUAUACUGUCAAUUAUGAUAGUAUAUCUUUCAAAGCAAAAUCUAAAAAACUUGUUUUCCCUUUUAUUGAGAAACCAAAAACAAGAAAUCUAAAUAUUGUUAAAGCCUGUUCUGUUUACCAAAAUCAAAUCAACGCCAUACUUAAAUCCAAACAAAAUGACUUGUUUUGUUUAAAAAAGAAUUUAAGUCUACAACGAAUUGAAAACCAAUUACAAAAUGAUUUUAUCCAAAGAAAAAUCAAUGAUUUUAGAGACCUCAUUGAAAAAGAAAUAUGUGCUGAUUUACCAUCUGCUUUUUGGAACAGAAAACAACAUUUGGUAGAUUUGCCCUAUGAAAAUUCUUUCGAUGAAAAAAAAAUACCCACUAAAGCCCGUCCAAUCCAAAUGAACAUGGAAUUGGAAAAACAUUGUAAAGAUGAGAUACAAGAUUUAGAAUCUAAAGGAUUAAUUACAAAAUCUAGAUCUCCAUGGUCUUGUGCCGCUUUUUAUGUAAACAAAAAUUCUGAGAUUGAAAGAGGAACACCGAGACUUGUAAUAAUUUACAAACCCUUAAAUAAAGCAUUAAAGUGGAUUAGGUAUCUCAUACCUAACAAAAAAGAUUUACUCCAAAAAUUGUGUUCCGCCUUUAUUUUUUCAAAAUUUGAUAUGAAAUCUGAAUUUUGGCAAAUUCAAAUCCAUCCUAAAGACCGUUACAAAACUGCUUUUACUGUUCCAUUCGGACAGUAUGAAUGGACUGUUAUGCCAUUCGGUUUGAAAAAUGCACCCUCAGAAUUUCAAAGAAUUAUGAAUGAUAUUUAUAAUCCUUAUUCUGAUUUUUGCAUUGUCUAUAUAGAUGAUGUUUUGAUUUUUUCUCAAACCAUCGACCAGCAUUUCAAACAUUUAAAGACUCUCUAUUUUGCCACUAGGAAGGCUGGCUUAGCCAUUUCUAGUUCAAAAAUUUCUCUAUUUCAAACUAAAGUCUGGUUCCUUGGUCAUUAUAUUUCUAGAGGAACUAUUACCCCAAUUGAAAGAUCUCUUGCAUUUGCUGAUAAAUUUCCUGAUAAAAUUCUUGAUAAAACUCAAUUGCAGAGAUUUCUUGGUAGUUUAAAUUAUGUUCUUGACUUCUGCCCUAAUAUCAAUAGGAUGUCUAAACCUCUGCAUGAUCGGUUAAAAAAGAAACCUGUUGCAUGGACAGAUGAACACACUAAAGCUAUUCGAUUAAUAAAAAAUUCUGUAAAGAAUAUUCCUUGUUUAUUUUUAGCCAAUCCUGCAUUACCUAAAAUAGUUGAAACUGAUGCAUCUGAUUUAGGUUUUGGAGGUAUUUUGAAACAAAAGGAAAAUGAUAAAGAACAGAUAGUACAAUAUGUUUCUGCACAUUAGAAUGAUUGCCAGAAAAACUAUUCUACUAUCAAAAAAGAAAUUCUUUCUAUUGUCUUAUGCAUAUCUAAAUUCCAAAGUGAUUUAUUAAAUCAAAAAUUUUUGCUUAGAAUUGAUUGCAAAGCUGCAAAACAUGUUUUAGAAAAAGAUGUUCAAAACAUUGCAUCAAAACAAAUUUUUGCACGAUGGCAAGCCAUUUUAAGUGUUUUUGAUUUCGAUAUUGAAUUUAUUAAAGGUGACACAAAUUCUGUUCCUGAUUUUCUAACCAGAGAAUUUUUACAAAACAGAUAAUGCCGCCAAGAAAGAAUAACAAAGGUAAAGUUGUUCUUAAAGAUACUGAGUCCCAAGCCACCUCUAAAGAACCUCAACCAACUCCCUCUAAAGAAAAACUACUUUCUUCUGCCAUGCCCAUCAAGUCCUGGAUUGAAAUGGUUGAAGAACAUGAAGCCCAAUACAAAACUAUUUCUUCUGAUGACCAAGUAAAGGAAUGGAUGAGUUCCAUUACAAAAUCGCCUGAGCUUAUGCUCGCCCUCCAAAGCUUUUCUCAAAGUCAAAUUUCUCCUAAAGAAGAAAUUGAAAAAGAAAAACCUAAGUCCAAAGAAAUGACAAAACCUUCUUCUCAAAACGUUGUUGUCUCCGGUGAAAGCUCAUCUUCUCAAAUUGUGCUUUCCCAACCAACACUUUCAAAGAAAUCAUCCGAUUGGUUUGAUAAAACCCAUUUUCAAAACAUUUUAUCUAUAGAAGAUGGAUUUUACCAUACUGAUCCUUUUCAAGCAAUUUCAAAGUUUUUCCCCAAAUGCUGGUUUUUUAAACCAUGUUAUUUAACAAAACCCCAGUCUUACUAUCAAAGCAUUUUAGAAAUUACUGAGUCAGUUAAAUUCAAACAUUUCUUUCUCAGUGAUACCCAUUCAGAGCCAGCCUAUUCCACGGCUACUAUUUUAAAAGUCCUGAGCCCAAACCAGUGGGGGGAUCUGCUCCACAAUUUUAAAACCUUCCCUUUAAACUUUCAAACACGUUUACCACAUUGUCGGACUUAUUCCUACUGGGAUUACCAAUAAGCCUGGUAUAACACAUUUUUUAUCCAAAACCCCAAAAAAUCCCACUCUUGGUUAUUUUUCUUCAAUUAAAAAAUAACCGUCCAAAGCCUCCCAAACUGGUUUCAUCAUUGGUGGAAUUCUUUUGGCCCAAUACCUCAAAUCCUAACUCCAAAUGCUACCCAAUGUUUAAACUUCUUUAAAGCCCACUACAUUCCUUCUGAAUCUGAGAAAAGGUUUCCACCCUUUCUCUGUUUCUGUACAAAUUUCUUCCUUCCAUGGGUAUGGAUGUGGAACCUCAGACUUCAUACCCAAGAUGCCCAGCUUAUCUUACAAAGAACAUUCAAAGUAAAAUGGUGGUCAAAAUUUGACGAACAAACCAAACUUACUGAUACCCUCAUCAGAAAUUGGCUUUGUUCCAAAGGCUUCCUCCAACCAACCAUUAAGGGAUCCAAAGCCCAACAAACCUUCCUUACUCAAAAGUCCAAAGCCCAAUCUCUUCUGGCAAGUGCCAAAACCGAAAAAGAAUACUUCAAAGCUAUGGAACAACUCCUCGCCUCCAGGUCAAAGUCAUCAGUGGCAGAUUCCUCUGAAGAUGAAGACAAUGAAGAAGAGGAAGAGCCGUUUAUCUCUCUUGGAGAUGAAAAUGAAGACGACUAUUUCAGAAUUUUCUCUCCUGUAAAGCAUUGUAAAUAAUUAUUGUUUAAUUAAUGUAAAAAAAAAGUAAAUACUCAUUUUUUUUAUUUAUAUCAUUCGGGUGGUCCCUUGGACACAAGUGAGAGCGCACAUGUCUCUUCACCCGUAUUGUAUGUCUACAAAGUCACUAUUUCAACAUACGCUCCAAAAGCUUAUUGUUACAUACGAUCCAAAGCUUACUGUUUGCUUCAACCCCGUUACAGUGAACAGUGCAGAGUUCCAAAGAUUACUGUAUGCUACAGCUCCGCUACAGUCUACAGUUUAAAAUUUCAUUUUGUAUAUAAUCUGAAGGAAGACUCAGACUCCUCAGAUUUUUUGAAUCUCCUCUCUCUCUAAUUUUCAUUUUCUCUCUCUCCUCCCUGGGAAUCAGGAAUCCGAAGGCACUAAGGAAAUUUUUCUGUUUACAGAAUAGUUCCUUACCUUCAGGAUUAAUUUCCCUUUUCUUUUCUACAAAGAAAAAGCAAUUGAUGUAAGCAUUUUAAUUUUCAGUAUUAUUUCAAAGCAUUUGUAAAUUUUAUUUAAGGCUUUCCAUGUAUGUUUAAAUUUCUGUACUUUAAUUUUCGCAAUUUACUUUAAAGCAUUUUUAAAUUUUUAUGCAGACUGAUCUCUAUCAGAUCUGCCAUAAAACUGCUACGUUCCUCUGAGGCAACGAGACCAGAUCUCAAUCCUCAGUUGUAUUCUUUCUCUUCUCCCUCCAUUCCUUUAGAGCACUAUUUCCGGGAACCGGAUCUAGUACUGUGUAUGCACCCAAGCCUUUAGACGAAUGUUGUUGCUAGGCUUGACAAAAGAACUUAAUAAAUAUUUGGUAAAUAAUAUUGGUAUAUCGGCUGGAAACUAGAGCGUGCAGAAUAUUGAUCUGUCCUAAGUCAGAUCUGGUUCCAAAGGCAGACUUGGCUCUGCAUCGAUCUAGAUACAACGCCACGUACCUCCACUAAAACCUGACCAACCGUGAUCUAAAGCAAUUUUAAUUUAAAGUUGGUAAUCUUAUUUAAAAGUUGGAUAGGCCGACCCAAUCCAAACAUUGUUUGAUUAAAGCUUUUAAUAAUUAAUUCCAACGAAAGCACAUCCAUCCUUCGAUCCUAUUUCCUUCUGGUAUCAGAGCCCAAUAAUUAAUUCCUUCAGAUUAAAUCAGAUGCAUCAGUUUCAACUAUUUUAGGUAAUGCGGGAUUGGCUAAAAUAAACAAGGAAUAUUCUUUACAGAAUUUUUUAUUAAUCGAAUAGCUUUAGUGUGUUCAUCUGUCCAUGCAACAGGUUUCUUUUUUAACCGAUCAUGCAGAGGUUUAGACAUCCUAUUGAUAUUAGGGCAGAAGUCAAGAACAUAAUUUAAACUACCAAGAAAUCUCUGCAAUUGAGUUUUAUCAAGAAUUUUAUCAGGAAAUUUAUCAGCAAAUGCAAGAGAUCUUUCAAUUGGGGUAAUAGUUCCUCUAGAAAUAUAAUGACCAAGGAACCGGACUUUAGUUUGAAAUAGAGAAAUUUUUGAACUAGAAAUGGCUAAGCCAGCCUUCCUAGUGGCAAAAUAGAAAGUCUUUAAAUGUUUGAAAUGCUGGUCGAUGGUUUGAGAAAAAAUCAAAACAUCAUCUAUAUAGACAAUGCAAAAAUCAGAAUAAGGAUUAUAAAUAUCAUUCAUAAUUCUUUGAAAUUCUGAGGGUGCAUUUUUCAAACCGAAUGGCAUAACAGUCCAUUCAUACUGUCCGAAUGGAACAGUAAAAGCAGUUUUGUAACGGUCUUUAUGAUGGAUUUGAAUUUGCCAAAAUCCAGAUUUCAUAUCAAAUUUUGAAAAAAUAAAGGCGGAACACAAUUUUUGGAGUAAAUCUUUUUUGUUAGGUAUGAGAUACCUAAUCCACUUUAAUGCUUUAUUUAAGGGUUUGUAAAUUAUUACAAGUCUCGGUGUUCCUCUUUCAAUCUCAGAAUUUUUGUUUACAUAAAAAGCGGCACAAGACUAUGGAGAUCUAGAUUUUGUAAUUAAUCCUUUAGAUUCCAAAUCUUGUAUCUCAUCUUUACAAUGUUUUUCCAAUUCCAUGUUCAUNNNNNNNNNNNNNNNNNNNNNNNNNNNNNNNNNNNNNNNNNNNNNNNNNNNNNNNNNNNNNNNNNNNNNNNNNNNNNNNNNNNNNNNNNNNNNNNNNNNNCGUUGGUCUCUAAUAGGAUGAGGAAUGUUUGUAGUAUAGUCAACAGAAUGAAUGGAAGAACUAGGUAGAGCCGAAGUGGAAAACCUAGGUUGACUUUGAAAAGAAAGAUUUAUGACAGAAGGGAUUUUUGUGAAUUUCCUUUCUAAUGAAGGAAUACUUGAACACGACUCUUUAUCAGAAAAUCUGGUUAAGUUAGAUCUCCUGAAAGACAGUUUAACUCUACCAUCAGAAUACUGAGUCACAUUUUGCAACUCCGUAUUAGGUUCAAGUUGUUUUGGAAUUGCUGGUGGAGCAGCUCCUUCAAGAAUCCAUUCUUCUGGAAGAUUGACAUCUUUCCACUGGAUUGGUUUUGGAAUGAAAGUAUUGGCUUUAGACAUAUCAGUCUGUAAGAGAAGAGUUUCAUCUCUUUUUGACUGGAAUUUGUGUUGCGUACUGAACGCAGAGAUCAUGGUUUUAUAAGAAAUUUUGAAAAUUAAGGCAACUGGGACAGAUCCCUUAAUCAUAUUAUAAUUAUGCGUUUUGAUUUGUAAGAUCAUGCUUUUCAAAAUGUUUUUAUCUUUAAGAGAAAUUGUUAUGUUUGAAUAACAAUCAAAAGAGAUCGGACCUUUACAAAGACUGGAUUCGAUGCUACUUAGCAAAGAAUCAUCAAAAGAGAUGAAUCGCCCAUCUCUAAGGACAGCAAGGAUAGAAGUAUCCAAGCCUUCUUUGGUCAAAGGUUUUAUUCCAACUUGGAUUAAACCAAUGUGAAUAUAAUUAUAAUUCUUUUCUCUUAAUUUCUUUAAAGAUUUUUCUGAAAACAAAUGAAUUGUUUCAAAAGGUUCUGAGAGAGUUAUGUCUCUUUCUUCAGUCUUUAUUACAUAAUCAUUUUUUAGAAAAUCAAGCUUUUUUGUUUUGUAAAUCUUUUCUUUAGAAACUUUUGGAAGUUCCCAACAAUCAAUUGCUUUAUCAAAGUUCUCAAUACCGAAUUCUUCUGAACUCACAACAUGUUUUGAAUCACUAGUCUUCCCGGAAGAAGAGCUAGAAAAGGACGAUGUUCUACAGAGUAGAGGAUCCAUGGUUAAAAACCUAUGGUCUAUUUAUGGUUUGGUCAGAAUGGCUACAGGUAUGGUUUUACAGCCCUAAACGGAAAACUUAUCCUUGGACGGGACUUACUACCAGUAAAAAUUCACCACACAACAAAACUUCAAAAUAAAACACAAGUCUUUAAACACAAAACUCUAAACUGUAUUACAGUAGUUUUCUGGUCAGGGAAUUUAAAGUGCGGGAAAGUCCGGGAAAGCUUUAAAACCACACGGCUUUAAAGGCUUACAAUUUUAAGCCUUUAAAACCAUGCGGUUUUAAAGGUUUCCCGUACUUUCCUGCACUUUAAAAUUCCUGACUGGAACAUUUCUAUAUAUAUAUAUAUAUAUAUAUAUAUAUAUAUAUAUAUAUAUAUGUAUGUAUAUUUCUUCUCUAGUGCGGACGCCCUCAUUUUCUUUUUCAUGCGGACCAGUUUUUAGACCCCAUGGUUUAAAAGACUUAGUUUUUAACUCUCUAAAACCGCAUGACUUUAUAAUUCAUUUAAAAACUAACUAUCUUAAACCGCACGGUUUAAAAGUGUGUCCCCAUUAAAAAAAAUGCGGACCCCCACACCUAAGAAUGAUUAUAUAUACAUACACGCUCUUAAACCGUGGGACUUGAAAGCUUCUCCGCAUGAAAAAAGUAAAAAAUGAGAGCAUUCCCACUAGAAAAAAACUCCAUAUAGGUAUUUAUUAAACCUCCUAAUCUGUGAGUGAGGAACAACAAAGAUAAUUGAUAAAAAAAAUCUAAAAUUUGGUUUCAUACCUUCUUGAACGAGAGCAGGGGCUGUUGUACCGGAAUACCAAAUUGAUCAUUCUCGUUAUUCUGGGACAACGUUAUUUUAUCACAAUUACAGGCUUCCAAUUUUUUUAGUGCUGGCCAUUCUGAAGUAUGCAUUCCAGGGUAUAAACAUCUGAGUUCUGGCUUUUGGAAAGACAAAAUAUGGGGUCACUUGAUCUGCUGUGUCUUUGGAGAUGAUCUCUUGUAAACCCAUACAUAUCCGUAUCUCCAGGUGUUGGAGGUGCUUAAGGCUUUGGAUCAUAGAAGCUGAAAAUAUGUAUUUUAAUUUGUCACAGCCCCACACUAUCAAUCUUGUCAAGCUUUGAAAGCAAGUAAUCAUGGCCGUAAGUUGAUUGUCAUGCCAAAUCUCGUCGACAUUAAUAGCAUUCAGCUCCAAAGCCUCCAAAUUUGGCAACACUACCUAAAGAUAAUUUUCUCUUUAGAUCCAAUAUCAGUAUGAAAAGCACUUGUUUUGACACAAUAUCCAUAUGAGAAGCACUUAAUUAAGAGCUUAAUUAGCGAGUGUAUCAGACUUUUUUUUUUCAAAUGCGAGUGCAUGAUAGAACUAAAAAAAAAAGAAGAAGCAUUGGCCUACGUACCUUCUUGUUGAAAAGCAGAGUUGACGUUUCGGAACUGAUCUCGUUGGAACUGGCUGUCAAUUCCUCUUGCGACUCUUGUCUGUUUGGUGAUGUGGAAGGAGUCUUCACUUCACCGCAAAACCUUGUAACCUUUGGAAGCUUUCCCAGACUCAAAGAUCUUAAUUGACCAAACUCUAUCUUCUCAUCAACAUCAACAUCAGCUUCUCCUCCAGUUGCAAAAAUCUCUUCCAUGCUGCUGCAAUUGAUAACUGCAAUCCUCUCCAGUCUUGGAAGGCAUUUUGUACUACUAGAGAGCCAGAAGAUAUUACUCAACUCAUCACAAUUUUCUACUUUUAUGGUUUUGAGUUCAUUGAAGGACUCUAUUUUGAGUCGAUCAAUACAUAUCCUCUCCGUAUUGAUCAAAUUGUGAAGAGUAAGGGACUCCAAAAGAGGAAAGGCGACACAAGGUUCUCUCUUCAUUGAAUCGACGAUACACAGGAUGUCUGGAUUAUUUUGAACAUGGAGAUGCUUCAAUUGUGAAAAUCCCUCGGUGUCCAAUUCUAAAACAACAUUCUUGAUUCCUUGCAACUUAUCCAAACAUAAGUAUUCAACGUUAUUGAUGCCCUGCAACUUCUUGGAGGAAAUGGCCAUAGAAUCAAGCUUGAGCUUCAAUGUUCUUAAACUCUCAAGAUUACUGAUCAUAAAGUGCGGCCGACUUUGAAACCAGUCUUUUCCAAAUAACCAUGGUAGAGUCGAAAGAUCCAUCUCCUAUUGAUAUAUCAAACCUUUCCAGCUUUUUGGUAAAAAAGCCAUCUGGUAAAAUGCUAUCAUCUUUAACAUCUAUUUUUAAGGCGGUCAGUCGCUGCAAAUGCAUCAAUUCAUCGAGGCUGGCAUUACUUCUUUCACUAUUGGCUUUUCUCACUUCCCAUUCAAUAGAGCAGUUACUCAUAUACAGUUCUUCCAAUCGAGUGAAGCUUGAUAAGAUAUUGGGCACAAUAAAUUUUAGUUGCAAGCAAUCUGUUAAAUCUAGCAUCCUUAACUUAGUCAGUUGACCUAGUUCGUCAGGCAACCGUACAAUAUCAGACUUUAAAAAGCUAAGGAUUUCUAGAUUCUUCAACUUUCCAACUAUGGCUAUGUCUCCCAACAUGCUUUGAUCAAGACACAGUGUUUGAAGAUUUGCUAGAAGACCGAUUGAAGAUGGCAAUGAAAAUAAUCGUACCCUUGUCAAAUCUACGACUCGAAGCUUUUUCAUCCCUUUGAAAAAGUUGUUAGGAAUAUUGACCUCGACAAAAGAGUCUUCGGGAUCAAUAUGUAAAAAUUCAAGUUGCGGACAUUCGAAUUCCUCGGAAACUUCAUGAAUGCUACUAUUUAGUAAAGGGAUUGCAUAGCAUUUUUUAAGUGCAUCCUCAUCUGGCCACUCCCACACAGCGUCAUUUCUCACCAAUGAAGCAUGUUGGUCUCGACAUGCAAUUGAUAUGGCAACAUCGCAGACAACAUCAUGCAUAGAGAAUUGUUCAGUACUAUCACCCUCAAGCAACAAACAACAGUCUCUAAGUUCAUGGACCAGUGCAUAUAAUUUGUUUCGUGCAUCUUCCAUCUUAUUGACUCCAUGAAAUAUUCCUAAACCCAUAGAGUAUUUAAGCAAGUCUAAAAGACAAAAACUGUUGCCUAUUAGACUGCAGAGCAGAAAAAUUUUCUUGAGUUGCUCACCUUUUAAAUACUUGAAACUCAGUUCAAUACUUGAAUAAGUCUCUGCAGGCACACCUUCGAAGUUUACCACUGAAGGCGUUUGGAGUUCUCGCAAGGCAUUCUUCCACUCAUGCAGACUCUUGUUUCUCAGUGCCCUCGCUACUGUAGUCAGGGCAAUGGGCAAACCUCCACAUGCCUGGGCUACAUUAAUUGCUGUAGACUUGAACUUACAAUUUUCAACAUCAUCACCAUUCAUUAUCUUAAACAAUCUCCAAGCUUCUUCUUCAUUUAGAUUGCCAAUCAAGAAGUUAUCUUUGGAGCCCAUACUUAAUAGCACAUUAUUGUCUCUUGCUGUCAGCAGUAGUCUACAUCCUUUAUGAUCAUUUCCGAUGGGAAUUCCAACCGUCUCCAAAUCAACAUGUUUCCAGAUAUUAUCUAGAAUCACAAGAAUCUUAUUCUCAUUCUUCAGUCGUUCAUACAGCCUGCUAGCUCUUCUAUAUUCAGCUUCAUCGGACAACUCCAGACCUAACUUCUCUGCAAUUUCCCCUUGAAUCUUUUUUAUGUCUGGAGUUUGUGAAACCUCUGAAAAAACCACCCGAUCAAACAACUUGUCUUCCCUGGCUUGCGUAGCAAACUCCUUCACCAGUGUCGUCUUUCCAAUGCCGCCCAUGCCGUACACCCCAAUAAUGCUGACAUUCACAUCAGUCAACGCAUUUUGUAUAGACUUCAAAGUAGAAACUCUUGAUUCGAAGGCCUUGUAACCUUUGUUAGACUUAAGCCAUAUCUCCUCCGGAAUGGUACGAUGGGAAACGAUAUCAAACUUCUUAACUCCUUCUCCAAGUUCAACAAGGGCCUUCACCUCUGUCUCUGCUUUCUUGCUAAGCUGAUAGCGGGUCUUCAAAUUAGGACACAAGCCCUUGAGACAGCGCUUGUUUGUUGACUCCUCAUCUUCAAUGAAUUUGGCUGCCUGGUCAAUGAUGCCGUUUGCACUGACCAGCCACUUCUCAACCUUCUCUUCAAUCUCUUCCCCUUUUUCUUUCGCCUUUGAAACUCUGCGCUGAAUGCUCGUACGUUCAACCUCAACUUCUCCAUUUCCGCCUUGAGAUUCUCAAGGUUGGCAUUGUAGUUCCGCUUGCGCAAAUAAACAAGUUGGCGUUCUGUCGGAGGAGCCAGGCAUUUUACAAGUUCCAAAACGAGAGUAACAAUGAUUUCCAGCAUCUUGAAUCCUGACAGCAAUGUAGAAGUGAAGAAGGCCAAAGGACAGUAAAAACAGAGAGACAACGAUACGACAAGCAGUUAUAGAGCUACAAAUAAAUAACAAACAAACAGAAGCAAAGUGUUCUUCGAAUGAGAAGAAGGAAGCAAGAAAAGGGUUUCUAUUUAGAUUAAGAAUAAAUGUAAAGAGCUAAAAAAGCUGAUGGGUACAGAAUAAGAAAUGAUUAAGAGAAUGGGGGAGCUAACAAGACUGUGGAGUGAGCAGGCGUAAAUAAACUUUUCUUAACCUUUUGUCAUACGUGUAUAUAAAAUAAUAUAAUUAAUUUUAUAUUUUUAUUCAAUAACUAUUAAUUAUAUUUUUUUCAAAAUUAAUAAAAAGAAUAAUUAAGUACUGAAUCCAAAUCCUAUCCUAAAUGGUUAGAUAAAAAUAAGGGAAUGAAAAGAGUAAUGGUAGAUUAAUGAGAAGGUGAUUGAUUAAUUUAUGAGGCCAAUUAACGAAACGACAGAUCUGGUUUCCAUGUUUGUAGUUUAAGUGUAUGAGUACGAGGUGAACCGAAGCUUUGUCGAGUCAGGCAAAUAGAAAGAGAAAUUACUAAAACAAGAACCAGCAACUUUUACUCACACAUGAGCUAAUAAUGUAUUGAGAUUGUGCAGAGUAAUAUAAAAGAUUAAAACUAGUAUAAUCAAUUUGUCAUCAAGUUUUAGCCUUCUUCUUCAACCAAUUACAGCACGAUCUUGAGCUCUGUGUUUCUUUUUUUAAAUCAUUCAAAAGAUCUCUGUCAUUAAUUUUUCAAUGAUAAAAAUUAUAUUUUUGUCUCAUAAAAUAUAAAAUAUAAAAAAAUCAAACAUAUAUUAUAAGUCCGUUUGAGAUUAUUUUUAAAUAAAGUAUACAAAUCUCUAAAUUAACUUCGUCCCCUUGAAAUUCAGCAUAAAUAUAAAUAGAAUUAUAGAAAUCUUACUACCUUUUAUGAGAAAUCCAACUUAUAUAUUUGAGACUUCUCUCUCUAAACACACGCUUCCUCUCUCUGUACACUUUCCACCUUUAAAUUCUCCUUCAUUAAGUCUACCUAAAUGAAUUUAGCAUUCUCUCAGUUUCUUCAGCAUUUUUCUCCGUGAAAAUAGGUGAAAAAGAGAAAGUGAUUUGAUUAUUUUAAUGUACGACAGAUCUGAUUUCCAUCUCUGUAAUUUAAGUGUAUCAAAACGAGGUCAACAACUCUUGGUCGAGUCAGUCAAAUAUAAAAGACAAAUUACUAAACCAAGCAGAGCCACAAAAAAAAAAAAAAAUCCAAUUAAAUAAUCAUCAAGUCUUUUUCAAUUAAAAUAGGGGGUGCAGAACAACUGUCAAGAGAUAAUCAUUGUUUAUUAUAUUUUCGAUUAAAAUAGUUGCGCGUGAACGAUUGUCCGAAUUCGUAUAAAUUGUUGUAAGGUCUAUUAUAAUUAACAAGUGGAAUGGCCAAUGGAUGAAGAACCACUGUAAUUUCGUUUAUGAAUUUAAAAUGCUAAAGAAACUGGACACCAACGCUAAACGUGAGUCUGCCCAAUCUAGAUAAAUAGGAUAAAAAAUUAUCCGUCGGCUAUCUGAUCUUUUAGCCAUUAUAAAAAAUAUUAAAAAAAUAUACAAACAAUUUUUUUUUUUUUUCAACAAUCCAUCUGAUAUUUAUGAAGUGCAUUAGUGCUCCACUACUAUCAUAACCCUUUAAAAAUAUCGCUUAAACACAAGAACGUAUUGCCUAAAAUUAUUUUUCAAGCAAAUGUAACGACAUAUUUGGUUUUGAUCUUCGUGACUUUUUAAGUGUACAAGAACAAGAUGUAUGACCCUUUGUCGAGUUGAAGAAUUAAAAUAAAUCAGUUACAAAUCCAGAACAAACUUACGGGUGACAUUUUAGUAUUAAGCAAACUAUAAUUGAUCAUCCAAUGAUAGGCUUAUUUUCAAUUAAAUUAGAGUAAAUAUAGACAUUCCAAAUUUUUUCUCUCAAAUUUAAUCCUAGAUAAUGUGUUAUUAAUUGAGUGCUUGGUAAUUCUUUCAAGAUCUAAGUGAAUUAAUUAUAUUAUCUCUCCAACCAAUUGAUGAAUAUUAUAUUAUUAAAUAAUCAUCAAGUAAUACGACACUUCUCAUGUUCCGUUAACAUUUCAGUUAUAUUAUUAAUUAUCAUUUUAAUUUGGAUAGUAUUUUUGUUUAGGAGAAUAUAUCAAUUAUGAAAUUUUUAAUUUUGAAAAUUAAAGAAAUAAUUGAACUGAUUUUUUCUUAUUAAUUGAUAGCUUAGAUGCAUUUUGUUACAUGUUAAAAAAUUAUGAAUACAUAUCCUUUUUGGUAAUUUAAUUACACAAAAGCACUUUUAGUUUUGCACAACCAAACCGUUUAAUGGUUCAAAAGUACUUUUUUAAUUGACAACCAAACACCCAAUGACUUUUUUGUCCAAAAACUCUAUUGGUAUAAGCUCUACUUCUAUAAGCUCUACUGCUAUAAGCUCUAUUUAAUAAGUUGUACCAAACGGAGCCUUAAAAUCUAAGUGAAUUAAUUAUAUUAUCUCUCCAACCAAUUGAUGAAUAUUAUAUUAUUUGAGUUUUUUUUUUGUCUCAAAUCCCAGCAAAGAAAACAGAACAAACGGAGCAAAAAUAUUUUUACAAACCUAAAAUAACAAAAAAAGAACUUUUUCUUGUUUUUCUUAUUUUCCACUGUUAAACUUCAAAAUGAACAACUUUAUUCUACCAUCUCUCAAAUAAUAAUAAUAAUAACAACAAUGUCAUCAUCAUCAAUAAUAAUAAUAAUAAUAUAUUAACUUUGUAGGAUGGAGCUCUCGCAAAUCUUCAAGACACAAAAUGUGCUUGACCCCAUUGUUGUUAAUAUAAUUUCAAAAUCAUAUGUAUUAUAUAAUAUUAGAGAAUAUGACAUAGCAAAAUUGAUGGUACAUAUGCUGCAAUAUACUUGUUCAUGUGGCGACACAUUGAAGUAAAGCACAAGCAGAACAACGAAAAAUGUAACGGGAGAGCUCUCAUUAUGUAGAUUUUCAAUAGAAGUAAUGCAAAUUUCACAAGGGCAAUGGCCUUAUUUCGAAUGCUGCACCUGAGGAAUGACUUGAAUCUUCUUUAGAACUCAGGCAUUCUAUAAUCAUAGAGUAUAGCAUUUCAACAAAAAUAUUAUAUAAACAAAAAUAUUAUAUAGGUGGUUCCUUUAUAUAUUUUCUGGGUACACCUACAAAAAUAUUAUUUUAGGUACAUUUCUUGCAAUAAAACCUGCCCAAUCUAGCGUUUUCGUAAGUUGGGUUUCUCAUUUACAUUUUUUUCCAUUGGUUAAUUAUCACAAACCUCCACUGAGAUUUAGCAUGUUUUUAGUUUGAUAGAUUGUAUUCGCAUAUUCUCAAAUACCUUUUAGUUUACCACUUCGUAUAAAUUAAGUUGGUGAGGAUAAAAUCGUAAAAGUACACAUUAAUGAUAAAAAAAUUCAAGUAAACUUGAAAUUUUCAAGGAUUAAUUUUUCGGGACCUCCCUUGAGGUUCGGUGUAUUAAAAGUCUCAUAGAAUGUAUUCAUGUAAUUAUAAGAACCUCCCCUGGCGUUAGUACACAGUUAACUUGACUGUUAGUGGACUGAUAAAAAGUCAAAAAUGCCCUUGGCUACAAAAAUGAGUGCAACAAUUUGGAGCUAAAUAGUAAACACCACACUGGAGCACUAAAAAGUCUACAAUAAUCAUGGAAAACAAAUCAUUGACAUUUACAUAAUAUAAAAAAAAAAAGUAAAAUAUAAAUUAAGAAAAUCAACAAAAUUGUCAACGUAUUGAAUAUUUACAGCAGCAGUGGCUAUAAAUACAACCAUCGUCAAAUUAAAAUAUCACCAUUAGUAAACUACUUCAAUAAGACAAUAAACCAUGAUUCAAUCUUCAAUGCAUUCAAAAUACACAACCCGCACAAUAGAAUCACAUACGCACACCUGCUAAUGAAAUAUAAGAACAAACGGGAAAUUGAACUGACAUGGCUAAGAUACUCCUUCCCGAUAUCUAUUAGAAAGAUAAUGAGCGAUUUAUGAAUCAUGAUGCUUGCUUUACUUUCUGGCAGUGUUAACUUCAAAUUCAAUGAUAGUAAAUGAACAAUGGUUCAUUCAUUAUGAAAGUAAUUGUAAAGCUAGGAAUUUAUAAUAUUCAGAUGUUGGAAUUAGAAAAAUAUUUCUUAAUCGUUUCAAUUGAAGCCAAGGAAGAAAAAGAAAUGAGUCUUCUUUUUUCAGGCCACAAGCCAUAUGAAGAAGGCAGACCAGAGCAUAAGAACGAAUGCUAUUGCCACAGUAAAAGCCUGGAUCAAUGGGUAAUGGCACCUGCCAUGUCAAUUUCAUGACAAACAAAAAUCAAUUAUCAUCCCCAGACCACAACACCACCAAACCAACCUUUUGCAUCUAAAAUAACAAGUUAAUAAAUCAAAGAUUUCAAUUCAUUUAAGUUUGAAAUCAACUAAAAUAGAAAAAAAAAAACCCAAUUUCUUUUUUGUUCAAUAUAACUCAUUCAGCAUCUUCUUCAACACAUUUUUAUCAUUCUUCAUCAUCACAACAAUAAAAAGAACAAAAAACUUUGAGUUCAACAUGCAAUUCUUUUUUUUUGGGAAACUAACCUUUUUUAGGUUCCAAUUCUAGUAGUCUUAAACAGUAGCCGCCGAUGAAAUUCGCUUGGCAACACCCUUUUGCCACCAUUGCAGCUUGUCAUGUUCAUACUCAACUUAAAAUUACUUGAAGGCAGCAGGGAUUUUAUAGUUACAAAAGUUUCUUCAGAGCUUUUCAAGCUUGAAAAUGGAGUUUUCAUUCAUCUUAGAUAAAUUGAAGAUAAUUUGCAUUGUGGGUAAUAAAUUGAUUAUCAGUGUCUAAAUCUGGGUCAUCGACGCAACAUUGGAUUUUGUUUUGAUUUUCUUUGAUUUUUUUUAUGAAACCACUAAUUUACCCUCAUAUACUAACAAUAUACGAAAUGGUAUACUAACGUCAGUUACGUCAGGGAGCUCCCUAUAAUUACAUGAAUACUUUUCAUGAGACUGUCAAUACACAAAACCUCAGGGGAGGUACCUAAACAUUACCCAAUGGUAUCAUUUCUUGUAUGGAUAAUGGAUGAUUAGAUUUUGUUUUUUUGUUAUCCGACGAAGGAUAUUCAGUUGUUCUUUAUGUGUUCAUAGGCAAGAGCAUGAGCAUAUGCAUGAUUUGAUAUAUGCUUCUUGCAUUUUCUAAUUAAGUGUUCUCUUUCCUUGCCUUCUUAGUUUUGAAAGAAAGAUGUGAAGCAAGACAAACCCAGUGAAAUACACAGAGCAACAGAACCAUCAGAGGAAAAACUAAAUAACAGAACUACAAUUAAACCAAACAAAAUCAAAUAAACCGACGCAACAGAUGCCCUGAAUCAGGCAUUCCUUUUUCUCGAAAGAAAAUAUGUUUGCAUGGGUGGGAACCCAGUAUUUACUCAAGAGUUGAGGAGUUGGAAAGAUUUGGUAUUCAUAUCUUCUCAAUUCAUAUGCUUUAAUGCAGAAUCGACAGCUUUAUAUUAUUUUAUACACUUGCACUUGCUUGAGUAUUUGUGCCGACAUUUUCAUAUGUGAUGCUACUUCUUAGCCAGUAGAUAUGUUGAAGUACUACAAAACAGAGUAUUUGAUGAAGUUUUGCUACUUUCGUAUCCCCUUUUUUGUUGAAUUCUUUAUAAACAAAAAUUAGAAAGCUACAAAUAAUACAGUAGCUUGAAUUUAUAUGCUUUUAUGAUUAUUUGAUAGUUUAGUGCUGAUCAUAUGUGAUGAUAAACUUAGCUAGUAGUUUUAUAUUUAUUUUCAUAGUUUCCUUAGCGUUCACAUUUUGAUGAGUAAAUUAAGGAUUUCCAGAUGAAGUACAUAAUUAGAUGAAUGCUAAGGAACUGAAGUUUGAUUAAUUGAAAACAAAAAUAAUAAUGAACGUAAUUACGAAAAUGAACAAUGCAGAAGUAGUCCCUAUAGUAUUUCUAUAUUUUCUCUUGGUGUUUCUUAGUAUUCCUCAAUAUUUUUAAAAAAUGACAUGACGAUCUUUGAGUUGACAAAUCUUGGCCUGCUGCUUAGUACCCUUCCAACAUAUAAAGUACUAGAUGUUUUACUGAGAAAAUGACAAGAUCAUUUUUCAAAUUUCUUGCGCAUAUAUACGUAUGUACACGAGAAAUGAGAAUCAGUGAUUAUAAGACCUUGCAAUGAGACAAUAAUACAUCAUCAAAUCUAAAAAUACACAAGAAAUUCGGGACAUAUAAAUAACAAAAGACCUCUCAUUGAGUCAUCCAUAUUGAGAAUAAAAUGUCAAAAUGCAUACAAAGAGCUUAUACAGAAAAUGAAUGUACACAUAUUUAGAAUAAACUGUCUUUGAACUUUCGAUGGUCAAACAAAAGAAACAGACAGGAUAUAACACACACUAUCAUAGAUGUAGCGACACGGUGAAGUAAAUCACAUGAAGAUGGAAACGGAAACCCUUCACAACAUAAAAUUUGAAUAGAGGGGGAAAAAAAGGCUUCAUUUCGAAUGUUGCACGAAAGAAGAGUGACUUGAAUCUCCAUCAGUAUCCAAACAUUCUGCAAACAUAGUGCUGAGAAUUUUAACAAGAAUAACAGACAAAAUAUUGUGCUUCUAUACUUGUCAAAAAACUAGACAAAAAUAGUUCCCUUUUUGGUUUGUGAAAACUUGAUAUUUUUGAAAAUUCUAUCCAAUGCUUUCAAACAAUAUUUCCAUAAUAUAGUUGUUCAUAGCUAACCUUUGAUGGUGUAAGGAUUUGUUGUAGGCAUAAUGGGCUAAUUAUAUAUAUAUAUAUAUAUUUUUUUUUUUUUUUUUUUUACCCGCUGAAUGAUAUUCAGCUUCUUAAUUAUGUGUUCAUAGGCAGGAGCAUUUUCUUAAGUACUUUCGUUGCCUUCCAAGUUUCCAAUGAACAAACAGAGCACAAACAAAUUUAACGGAACAGUAACGAUGACAAUAAAUAAUUGGCAAGGAAAGAAAGAAAAAAGUUUGCAUGAUUUCAGGGAAUUAUAAAAUCUGAACACUUUCAACAUGCAAGUGUUGCCCCUCUUAAUGAAAUUUCAUCAUAAAAUGCUUGCAAGGAAUUAUAAAAUUUUAGAGAACAAGGGAACUCUCAAAACAAAAUACUCAAAUUAAAUUACAAUAGGCCAAAAGACGCUCAAUGACGCAAAUCUGCCCAUAAAAGCUUGAACGAAUCAUGAAAAGUGCAUUCCAUAUUGAUAGUAAACCAAGUGACCCAUUCUAAACAAUUGAGAUGAAAUUGUGAAACAACCCACGAGAUCAAAUAAAUAAAAUAAGAAUUAAUUACCAGCUGGGACUUUCUUCUUCAAAUUCGUAACUCCAAGUCAUAAGAAGCCUAUGAAAUUAGUCGUAAUCCACAGAGUAUGACGACGACCCCGCCAACAGCUGAAAAUAAAAUUCUUAUUCAUCAAUUUAAACUAACUUUAUAACAAAUAUCUUAUCGAUAUUUUAUUUAAAAAGAAAAAGCAAAUUUUGUAAAAUUUUUCCAUGGGAGAUAGAGAAUAACAUGUAUAUCCGUACCUUCUCAGCAUGUAAUUGUUGUAUGGUCGUCUUAAGAUCAUUACUAGCCCAACGCCGUUGAUUCGAUGUCUCUCCAUACCAAACGUUUACUCUUGGAGGCGUGCUUGAUUCUCCUGUAGUGAAAAUCUUCAAUUUGGGACAACCAAUCACAGAUAGAUCUUGCAAAGAUGGGAAUUUGAAGGUGUAAUUGGCAGAGCAAAAACUUGUGAGGCUAUCUAAAUCAAACAGUUCCAACCUCUUCAAUUUGCGGAAAACAAUCUCUUCUUUUUCAACCCCGUCUUUGUCAUUUAUUACCACCUCUGUCAUUGCUCUGCAUCCGUAUACACAAAGUGAUACGAGUUGCACUAGAGUUUUUGCUGUGGAGGAUGUUACCAAGUGUAUCAAUUCCUUGCAACCGAUAGCUACAAGUUUUGUUAGGUUCCGAAAAGAUACCGAUGAUGAUGGCAAUAGAAUUAACAGACUUUGACAAUGAUGUACUUUUAGAAUUUCAAGAUACUGAAAAAUGGGGCCAAGUUUGGAAUCUUGUUUGCACACCUGCUUCAGAUGAUAGUGCCGGUACAGCUUUAAUUCUUUUAUCAUUGCCAACUUCCCCACAUGUUUCUCUAAGCAUCCUUCCUUCGAAAAUACCUCUUCGUCGAAUGAAAAAAAAAACAGUGAGAGUAUUUCGAGAUUGUGAAAUCUCUCAAGUACGUUCCAGAUUGGAAAACCAGCUGAGUCAUCUUCAGCAAUCACUAGUCGUUUAAGACUGCCAAAAACGUGUUGUGGGAAAUCGGCCUGCAAAAUCAUCUUCGCGUCUUUUCCGCUUAGUGAUAGUUCCGUCAAGUUGGGUAGGAUCUGAUCAUCAUCAAUCAUAAUAACUGAUAAGGUCAAUUGGUGUUUUCUCAAAUGAUUUUAAGUAAUCCAAUCACAUGCAGUGACUUUAUAGUAUUUGUUUUAUAUUAUAUUUUACAAAAAAAAAAUUGAAUUAUUGAUAAAAUUUAUUAAAUGAUUUUUUAUAUAUUAAUUUUAGAGGUAAAAAAGAAAUUAGGGAAAAAAAGAAAUUAUUUUAUUGGUAAUUAAGUGUUUGGUAAAUUUUGUUUCAAGAAGUACUGUAAAUUUUGAAAACAAUUAUGGUCGUUUGGUAAAUUUUACUGUUAAACUGCUGAGAGAAAAUAAAUGACUAAAAUAUCCAUAAUAUAAGAUAAAAUUUACUUAUAUAUCUCCUAAAAGCAAUCCCAAACGGGCCCUAAGGAUUCUUUUAUAAAUGUUAUACCUAAAAAAGUUCAUAUAAUUAUUAAUCUACCACAUUGAUCCCUUAGUCUAGACUAGCAAAGAUUAUUGUAUAAUAAAAGUUUUCAAUUUAUUGAGUAUUAAUUUAUCAUUGCUUUGUCAUAUUUUUCAAAGUUAAAAAUAUGCUAUUGAUAAAAAAAUCUAGAAAAUGGCUUCAUACCUUUUCCAACGGCAAUGGGGGCUGUUGUGCAGGAAUACCAAGUUGAUCAUUCUCAUUAUUCUGCGAUAAAUCUGCAGCGAAUAUCUUUAAUUUGUCACAACGAUACACUAAAAGCAUUUCUAGCGCGAGCCAUUCCAAAGUAUGCAUUCCAGGGCACAAACAUCUAAGUUUUGGUAGAUCUUGGAGUCUCAGAGUGGUGAGCUGUGGAAAGACAGAAUAAGAAUUUGUCACUUGAUCUGCUCUGUUUUCAGAAAUAAUCUCCUGUAAAUCCUCACAGUCUCGUAUAUCUAGGUGUUGGAGCUGCUUGAGGCUUCCGAUCAUAGACGCUGCAAAUAUGUAUUUUAAUUUGUGACAACGCCACACAAUCAAUCGUGUUAAACUUUGAAAGUGAGGAAACACGGCCACCAGAAUUUGAUUGUAGUGCCAAAUCUUGUCGACAUUAAUUUCAGAUAUCUCCAAAGCCUCCAAGUUAGGCAACGCAACCUAAAAAAAUAAGAAUUUCUCGUUAGAUCCAAUAUCCAUAUGGGAAGCACUUGUUGAAAUUUUCUUCUUUGAUUACAAAUUAAUGCAAGUCUGAAUCAAUUUCCAACUGACAGCUGAGUAUGCAUUCUAAUUCAUACUACUUGUUAAGAGCUCAAUUAGUGAGUGCGUGAGAUUCUUUUUAUCCUUUUUUUCCAUUUUCUUUCACUUCUUUAAAUGAUUUAAUUAUUUUCCACGUAUGACAUCAAAAGAGAACGCAUGAUAGAAUAAAAUGUGUUAUACAUUAAAGAAAAUGUUAGCCUACGCACCUUCUCGUUGAAAAGCAGAGUUGAAAUACCCAAAGUGAUUUCGCUGGAGCAAUACAUAGUCGUCGAUUCCUCUUGCGACGCUCGUCUGUUCGGUGAUGCUGAAGGAGUCUCCACCUCACAGCAAAAACUUGUAACCUCUGGAAGAUUCCCCAGACUCAAAGAUCUUAAUUGAGCAAACUCUAUCUUCUCAAUUGCAUUAUCAACUUCUUCCCCAAUUGCAAAAAUCUCUUUCAUCUUGCUGCAAUUAAUAACAGCAAUUCUCUCAAGUCUUGGAAGGCAUUUUGUAGUAGAGAGCCAAAAGAUAUUACUCAACGUAUCACAACUAUAUGCUUCUAUGGUUUUGAGUUUGUUGAAAGACUCUACUUUGAGCCGAUCAACACAUAUCCUCUCCAUGUUGAUCAAAUUGUGAAGGAUAAGUGACUCCAAAAGAGGAAAGGCAUCACAAGCGACCAUCUCCCUUGAAUCGACGAUACAAAAGAUGUCAGGAUUAUUUUGAACCCAGAGAAGCUUCAAUUGUGAAAAGCCCUCCGUGUCCAAAUUGAAAAGAACAUUCUCGAUGCCUUGCAGCUUGUCCAACCAUAAGCAUUCAACGUUGGUGAUGCCCUGCAAUUUCAUGGAGCAAAUGUCCAUAAAAUCAAGCUUGAGCUUCAAUGUUCUUAAACUCUUGCGUUUACUGUUGAUCCAAAAGUGCGGCUGACUUUGGAACCAAUGUUGUCUAACACACUUGGGAGGCGUGAAUGACUCAUUUCCAAUAGAUAUUUUGAACCUUUCGAGCUUUCUGGCCAAAAAACCUUCUGGUAAAAUACUGUCAUUUUUAACGUCAAUUUCUAGAGUGGUUAGCCGAGGUAAAUGCAUCAAUUCGUCAAGGCUAGCAUUACUUCUUUUGCUGCUGGCUCUUUCAACCUCCCAUUCAAUGAAGCAAUUACCCAUAUACAGCUCUUCUAAUCGAGUUAAGCUUGAUAUGAGAUUGGGCGCAAUAACUUUCAGAUGGAAACAAUUGGUUAAAUCUAACAAUCUCAACUUAUUCAAUUGACCUAGUUCUUCUGGCAACUGCAUAAUAUCAGACAUCAGAAAGCUUAGGACUUCUAGAUUCUUCAACUUCCCAAUGAUUGCUAUGUCCCCCAACGCACUUUGAUCCAGACAUAGUGUGUGAAGAUUUACUAGAAGAUCAAUUGAAGAUGGAAAUGAAGAAAACUGCAUUCGAGUAAAAUCUAGAACUCUAAGCUUUUUCAUCCCUACAAAAAAGUUCUCAGGAAUAUUGAUUUCAAGAGAAGAAUCUUUGGGAGAGAUAAAUAAAAAUUCAAGGUUUGGGCAUUCUAAUCCUUCAGGAAAUUCACGAUUACUAUAAUUUCUUAAAGAGAUAGCAUUGCAUUUUCGAAGUGCAUCCUCUUCUGGCCAGUCCCACACAUCCUCAUUCCUCACCGAAAACACAUGUUGGUGGCGGCAUGCAAUCGAUAUUGCGACAUCGCGAACAACAUCAUGCAUUGAAAAUUCUUCAUUGCUAUCAUCCUCAAGCAACAAACAAGAGUCUCUAAGUUCAUGGACCAAUGCAUAUAAUUUGUCUCGUGCAUCUUCCAUCUUAUUGACUCCUUUAAAUAUACCCAAACCCAUGGAGUACUUAAACAAGUCCAAAGUAACAAUACGGUUAUUCAUUAGACUACAGAGCAGAAAAAUUUUCUUGAGUUGCUCACCUCUUAAAUGGUUGAAACUCAGCUCAAUACAUGAAUAAGUCUCUGCAGACACUCCUUCGAAGUUUACCAUUGAAGGCGUUCGGAGUUCUCGCAAGGAAUUCUUCCAUUCAUGCAGACUCUUGCUUCUCAGUGCCAUUGCCACUGUAGUCAAGGCAAUGGGCAAACCUCCACAUGCCCUGGCGACGUCUAUUGCUGUAGAUUUCAACUCACGAUUUUCAACAUCAUCACCGGCCAUCAUCUUAAACAAUCUCCAGGCUUCUUCUUCAUUUAAGUUGUUUAUCAAAAAGUUGUCUUUAGAUCCCAUUUUUAAGAGGACACUACGAUCUCUUGCUGUCAGCAGUAGUUUGCAUCCUUUAUGAUCUUCUCCAAAAGGAAUUNNNNNNNNNNNNNNNNNNNNNNNNNNNNNNNNNNNNNNNNNNNNNNNNNNNNNNNNNNNNNNNNNNNNNNNNNNNNNNNNNNNNNNNNNNNNNNNNNNNNNNNNNNNNNNNNNNNNNNNNNNNNNNNNNNNNNNNNNNNNNNNNNNNNNNNNNNNNNNNNNNNNNNNNNNNNNNNNNNNNNNNNNNNNNNNNNNNNNNNNNNNNNNNNNNNNGGCUUCCAUAGCUUGCCUGGCGACCUCCUUCAUCAAUGUCGUCUUUCCAAUGCCGCCAUGCCGUACACCCCAAUGAUGCUGACAUUAGCAUCGAUCAAUGCGUUUUUUAUGGCCUCCAAAGUAGAACGUCUUGAUUCGAAGGCCUCGCAGUCUUUGUUAGACUUGAGCCAUAUAUCCUCCGGAAUGGUAGGGUCGGAAAUUCUAUCAUCAAAUCUCCCAGCUUCUUCUCGGAGUUUAAAAAGGGCCUCCUUCUCUGUUUCUGCUUUCUUUCCACGCCGAUAGCGAGCAAACCAAUCAGGAAACAGCCCCAUGAGACAUCGACCGUCAUUUGCUGUCUCUUCGUCUUGAAUGAAUUUGGCUGCCUGCUCAAUGCUCUUGUUCGCAUUAACCAGCCAUUUCUCAACCUUCUCUACAAUCUUUUCACUUUUUCUUUCAGCCUCAGAAACUCUGCGCUGAAUCCUUUCUCUUUCAACCCUCAGCCUAUCGAGUUCUGCCUUGAGAUUCUCAAAGUUGGCAGCGGAGUUAUACCAAUAACUAAAUUCGCGUUGUGCGUGGGGAGACAAGCAGUUUACAACUCCUGGAGCAAUGCUUUUCAAAAUGUCCAUUUUUUUUUUUUUAUGGGGAAGUGAACGAAAUGGAAAUAGAACAGGGUCAACGACCGCGCAAUUGAUAAUCAAGUAGAAGCAAAACAAGCCAAAAUGGAAAAAGAAAUGAUAUUUGUACAAAACAAGGGGAAAAUCAGUGUAACAGAAGAGAAUCAAAGUGUUUUUGAGAUCAGAAAAUUGAACCAAGAAAAGGGUUGCUUGAUCCAAUGAAAAUGCAAAAAGCUGAUGGCAAAAGGGAACAAAGCUAAAUAAGAAAACGGCUAGCACGAGCAGUGACCACGAUCAACAGAAGCAAAGUGUGUAUGAGAUCAAAAGACGAAAAUGAGGAGAGGUUUUCUUGAUUGAGAAUUGAAGGCAAAGAGUAGGAGCUGACGAAUACGGGGAUCAAGAGGGAAAAACUGCUUGCUUGUAAAACUACUUUCAAGCGAAUCUGAUAAAAUUAUUUCAGUACUAGUGGGCGACUCCUUUUUAAACUGCAGAAGGGAAAAAAAAAAGUUCUGAAUUUCAAUAUAUUAAUCUCGUAAUCAAUGAUUAAUUAGUAGAUAAUCUUUCUAACAAAUAUGUGUUGAAUAGAUAUAUUUCUUGAUUAUUAGUAGGUUCGAUAUACUUUAGUAUAGGAAUGAAAGUACAAGUUGUGUCGUAUUAGAAUAAAAAUUGGACCUAAAAAUAUUGUUCUAUGGCCUUUUAAUUAUUUGUCAGCUAAUAAUGAAGUCAUAUAAAAAAAUUAAUAAUCUGAAUUAGUCUUUAGUAUUAUAAAUGUUUUUAGAUUUUUAAUUAUAAUAUCAUUAUUUAAAAAUAAUUGCUUGACUUACAUUCGUAACAUUACGAUUGUCAUAAAACAUGUGAUCCUCAUCCAAAGGCCAGGUGAACAACUCUUUGUCAAGUCAGUCAAAUAUAAACGACAAAUUCUUUUCAAUUAAAUAAUCAUCAAGAAAUAAUCUUCUAUUUCAGUACAAAUGGCGAGUGCAGAACAGCUGUCAAGAGAUAAUCAUUGUUUACGGAGCCAUAUAUAUUUUCUAUUAAAAUAGUUGCGUCACUUGCGUGAACAAUUGCCAGAAUCCGUAAAAAUUGUUGAAAGGUCUAUUAGUUUCGAGUAGAAUAUUUUCGAUUAAAAUAGUUGCGUGAACAAUUAUCAUAGAUAGUGUUUAUAUUUUGGAUUGAAGUGAGAAUUUUGAGAAAUAAAAAUCUAAGAUUGAGAGUGUAGAGUGGAAGUGAGUGUAAGUUAUUUACUUACACUGAAAAAUAAGCAUGGAAUGGAGAUCAUAAUCCAAUUUAUGUGUUUAUUUUAUCUUCAAUUGAGAAUAAAUAGUUUCAAAUUACAAUUUUACCUUUAUUUAAAGAAUUAUAUAUAUUUAAUGAAUAAACAUUUAUUUUAUUAUAUUUGUAAAUUUAUAAUAAUUGUUAAUAUUCUUAAUUAUGUACAUCAUAAUUUUUUAUUAAUUUUAAUUUUAAUUAUAUAAAUUAAAAAUUAUUGAUAAGAGCAAUAUAAAUGAAACAUUUUUACUAUUAACAUAGUACAAAAUUAAUAUUUUCUUAUAAUUAACUAUUUAUUAUUACUAAUUAUUGAUAUUAAAUAAAUAUAAUACUAUUAUUUUUAAAUAAAUAUAAUAAUAUUAUAUUUUCAAAUAAAGAUAGUAUAUAGUAAUAUUAUUAAUUCUCUAUUAAUAUAAUAAUAAUAUUUAAAUAAAUAAAAUAUUUUUUAUUUUAUUUUAUUAAUAUAUAAUUAUAGUAAAUUUAAUAAAAGGGGGUUAAAAAAGGAAGGUAAAUAUAAAAUGAAAUAUUAUUUUAUUUAAUUAUAUUAAAUUUAUUAUUAUAUAAAUAAUAAUAUAAUAUUAUUUAGUAUAAAAUUAAUAUUUUCUUAGAAUAAACUAUUUAUUAUUAUUAAUUAUUAAUAUUAAAUAAAUAUAAUACUAUAUAUUUAAAUAAAUAUAAUAAUAUUAUAUCUUCAAAUAAAGAUAACAUAUAGUAAUAUUAUUAAUUCUCUAUUAAUAUAAUAAUAUUAUUUAUUUUAUUUUAUUAAAUAUUAAAUAUUAAAUUUAAUUAAAUAAGGUAGAAAAUGGAGAGGUGGGAAUGGGUUUCCCAUGGGAGUCCCACUCCCACUCCCACUCCCCACUCCAAAAAUGGGUGGAGUUUAUGGAGUGAGAUUCCCAAUUCCUCCUUAAAAUGGUAAAGUAAAUAUUGAAGUGGGAGGAAUUCACACUGCUCACACCCACUCUAGAAAAUAAACACCGAAAAGGCCAAAGGAUGAAGAACCACUAUAAGUUCUUUUAUGAAUUUAAAAUGCUAAAGAAACUUGAUUUUGAUGAUAACAAACUACAUAGGGUACAAUGGUAAAUUUAUUUCUCACAAUCUCACAAGUUUUUGAAGGGCAAAAAUCAUUCAAGUGAGAUCAAGAUCAAGAUACUCAAUGGACAAUGACAAUCAAGGACGAAUACUAAGGGUACUAGUUUAAGCAAUCUUUAUUGUUAAAUUUAUUGUAAAGCCAGUAUAAUUUAAUGUGUGCAUGAUUUAACAUUUAAAAGCUCAAGAUAUUUUUCAUGACAUUUUCAAAUUAAAUCAUCAUUUUCUAUAAUAUAAAAGUUUUAACGAUUUUAUAAAAUUAGUUGCUUUUUCCAAAUUUAUGGACUAACUUGAAAAGUUUUGAGAACUUGGAAAUCAACCAAUAAUGUUUUAAAUCCUAGAAAUUGACAUAUUUGUAAAUAUUUCAAACAUUUUGGGUUGUAAUAUAAUUUCAAAAAAAUUAGGUCUAAUCUAUAAAUCCUGGAACAAUAGUGGCUAAUCGCUUAACCAAUAGCGGCUAACUACUUCAAGUCCAAAAACAUAGCAGCUAACCGCUUAAAUCAAGUGGAAUCCGCUUGAACCAAAGUUUUCAAAUUUGAUUUGCAACUGUAACUUACCAUAUCAACAUAGUGGCUAACCGCCUCAUUUUAACGGCGAUCCAGCAAGUCCCUAGAAAAGCCAAUAAUUGCUAGUUUGAUUGUUUAAACUAUAAAAUUCAAAUUAAACUCAAAUCUAACAAUUUUUUUCAAUCUCAAUUAAGCUAAAACUUAUUCAUAUAUCUUGAGGUUUCAUUUUGCUUAUCUACAUACAUUAAUCAUUAUAGGGCUAUCAUUUGCUUAUACACUCUUAUAGAGUGUAAUCUUUGUAAUCUUCAAUUAAAUAUCAAAAUUGAGUGAGUAUAAGUGUGGGAAACACUUGGGAAAAGAGGCGUGUGUAUACAUAACUACUUGUAAAGGUUUAUUGACACCUUAGAAGUCAAUUGUAAAAUCUUGGAGUCUUGGAAGGUUUAGAUAGUAGAAUUCUCAAGUUUGGAUUGCUUGGAGGCGUAGUCAUAGGCGGGUUUGCCGAACCACAUAAAAAUUCAUGUGUUUGUUAUCUUCUCCCUUAUCUUUUUAAUUUCACGCAUUGUUAAAUUUACCAUUAUUAAAUUUCUUGAAGCAUUUGUUUAAUUUGUAUUGUGUUUUUGUUAGUAUAAUUUUUAAUACCUAAUUCACCCUCUCUUGGGUUGCUUAGCUAGAAUUUUAUUUGGUAUCAGAGGAAGUUCUCUUAUUAUAACUUAACCAUCUAGAGUAAAAGAUCUAUAGUAAUCCAAAAUGAUCCCAGAUUUGGGAAAGGUUAAUCCCUUACUAGAUCACCAUUCUUUGAUGGGAAUGAUUAUCCAUGUUGGAAAAUUAUGAUAAGAAUUUAUUUGCAAGCAUUAUAUUAUGAAAUAUAGGAAGUUGAUUGUGAUGGUCCAUUCAUGCCUACUACUAAAAAUGAAGAAGGGAAAGAAAUUCUAAAACUUUCACAAGAAUGGAAUGUGUCAGAAAAGAGAAAAAAUUCUCUUAAUUUCAAAGUCAUGAAUGCUUUGUUUUGUGCCUUAAGGUUGUUCCAAUGCUUAUGAAAUUUGGAAAAAAACAUAAACUCGUUUAUAAAGCUACAAAUCAAGUUAAAUAGUCUAAAAUUAGUAGAUAUACUAGGCAAUACGAAUUGCUAUAAAUGGAACAAAAUGAGAGUGUUAAUUCCAUAUACACUAGAUUUACAAACAUUAUAAACACUUUAGAAGCUCUUAGAAAGGCCUUUUCAAAUAGCGAGAAGGUAAAAAAAAUCAGUAGGUCUUUACCAAAAGAAUAGAGACCUAAGAAAAUUGCCAUUGAGGAAGACAAUGAUACUUUAUCUAUUGAUGAUUUAAUUAGUUCAUUUAUUUCUUAUGAAAAGGAUUUGACAACUUGAAAAGGCAAUGAAGACGAGAAGAAGAAGAGUAUUUCCUUAAAAGCAUCAAGAUCUAAAAGUGACAACGAAAGUGAGAUCGAAAAUGAAGACAUGGCUAUGAUAGCUGGAAAAUUCAAAAAAAAUUUCAAGAAAUCCAUCGAGCGAAGGAAUUCAAAAAUCAGAAAGAAAAGGAGGCAAUUAUUUGCUUUAAAUGCAGGAAGCCUAGACACAUAACACUAGCAUGUCCUUUUCUCAAUAAAGUAAAGAAGAAAGCUAUGGUAGCAACACGGGAUGAUAGUGAUAAGGAGACUAUAGAUGAAGAGUAGUCUCAUGAAGUGUCAAAUUUGGCACUUAUAGUUAUAGGAGAUGAUUAUAGGAGAUGAACUUGAUGAGGUAAACCUCUUAGGAUGAGUUGUUUGAAGUAUUCUCUAAAUUGCAUAAAGAUUUAAAGAAGAUUGGAAUGUAAAAUGUUUCUCUUGGAAAGAAAAAAGUAGAACUUUUAUAUGAGAAUGACACUUUGAAUAAAAAGAUUAAGUGCCUAGAAUUAUUUGUGAAGAAAUUGCAUCUUUUAAAGAAAAAACAAAGUGUUUCAUCUAAGAAUAAAGGUUUACCUGUAAAUGAUUUGAAAAAGAAAAAUAAAAGAUAUUGCUUUAGAAUUUGCUUAGUAUUAGUCAAUUGUGUGAUAAAGGUUACAAAGUUAUUUUUAUGUGAUAAAGGCUAUAGAGUUAUUUUUUUAUAAAACAAAAUGUGUUAUUAAAAAUGCACGUGAUGGCAAAGUUUUAUUUGUUAGAUAAAGAUAUGUUAAUGUAUACACCAUUGAUAUAGAUUGUGUAUCAACUCAUAAUAAAUGUUUUUUUCACAUUACAUGAUGAUAGUUGAUAUGGCAUGGAAGACUAGGUCAUGCGAGCAUGGAUUUUAUUUCAAAAUUUUUUUAAAAUGAUUUGGUUAUAGGUCUUCCAAAAAUUGGUUCUAAAAUAGAUAGAAUUUGUGAAGUUUGCCAAUUUAGAAAACAAAUAAAAUGUCCUUUAAAAAUAAAAUUCAUAUUUCUACUUCAAAACCACUUUAACUUUUUCACAUGGAUUUGUUUGAAUUUUCUAAAUAUGCUAGUCUAAGUGGUAAAUAUUAUGCAUUUAUAAUUAUAGAUGAUUAUUCUAUAUACACAUGGUAUUACUCUUAACUAAUAAAGAUGACACCUUUAAUGCUUUCAAAAUUUCUAUAAAAAGGUUCAAAAUGAAAAAUGAUAUGUUAUUUCUUGCAUUAGAAGUGAUCAUGGUGGAGAAUUUAAAAAUUGUAAUUUUGAAAAUUUUUACAAUAACUUUGGCAUUGAGCAUCAAUUCUUGUCACCAAGAACUCCACAAUAAAAUGGAGUAGUUGAGAGAAAGAAUUAGUCUAUCCAAGAAAUGACUAGGACCAUGUUAAAUAAAAAUGCUUUACUAGAAUAUUUUUAGGUUGGAGCCGUCAAUAUUGUUUGUUAUGUUUUAAAUCGUGCAUUGAUUAGACCUUACUUCAAUAAAACUCCUUAUGAGCUUUGGAAAAAUAGAAAAACAUUGACUAUUUCAAAGUUUUUGGUUGCAAAUGUUUUCUAUUGAAUACAAAAGAUAAUCUUGGUAAAUUUGAUCUAAAAUCUGAUGUUGAUAUUUUUUCUUGGGUAUUCAAAUACAAGCAGAACUUAUAGAGUGUAUAAUAAAAGAACCUUGGUCGCUAAAGAAUCUAUACAUGUUGUGUUUGAUUAAAUCUAACUUUUCUUCUACGAAGAAAGUUGUUGUUGAUAAUGAUGCAUAUGAAGAGUUACAAAAAAAAAAGUCUUUAAAAGACAAACAAGAUGAUUUACUAGGAAAAAAUCAAGAUGAGCAACAAGAAGAACCAGUUAAAUAUAUUCAAAAUGAAGGUAAUUCACAAACACUCUCUAAGGAGCUAAGGUAUGUCUCUUCAGACCCUAAAGACUUAAUCUUAGGAGAUCCUUCAUGAGGUGUAACUACUAGAUAAUCACUUAGAAAUACAUGUGAACAUACUGUAUUCGUAUCUCAAGUUGAACCAAAAUCCUUUUCAGAUGUGGAAAAUUAUGAAUCUUGGAUCAUAGCAAUACAAGAAGAGUUAAAUCAAUUUGAAUGAAACAAUGUAUGGAAACUUGUUCAUAAACCAGAACAUCAAUCUGUAAUAGGCAGUAAAUGGGUGUUUAGGAAUAAAAUUGAUGAAUCUGGUGUGGUUGUAAGGAAUAAAGCUAGAUUAGUAGCUCAAUGAUGCAACCAAGAAAAAGAAAUUGAUUUUGAUGAAACCUUUGCACAUGUAGCUAGAUUAGAAUCCAUUACAUGCUUUUAUCAUUUGCAUAUCAUAAUGAUUUUAUUUUAUAUUAAAUGGAUGCUAAAAGUGCCUUUCUAAAUAGUUGUAUUAUAAAGGAAGCUUAAGUGAAACAAUCCCCUCGUUUUAAAAACGAAAAAUAUUUUUGGAUCAUGUUUACAAGUUGUCCAAAGUUUUAUAUAGUUUAAAGUAAGCAUCUAGAGCAUGACAUGGUAUACUUAGUAAAUUUCUUGUAGAAAAUAGUUUUUCAAUGGGUAAAGCGAAUACUACUCUAUUUGUUAAAUACAAGGAUCAAGGUAUACUUGUUCAAAUUUAUAUUGAUGAUAUUAUCUUUAGUUCUACUAAUGAGUUUCUGUGUAAGGAAUUUUCAUCUUGUAUGAGUAGAGAAUUUGAGAUGAGCAUGAUGAGAGAAUUGAAGUACUUUCUUGGACUUAAAAUUUAAAAAAAAAAUCAUUAAUCAAGCCAAGUAUUUUAGAGAUCUACUCAAAAGAUUUUGCAUUCAGGACUAAAGACACUCCAAUGAGUACUACAAUCAAGAUCGAUAAGGAUAAAAAAAGUAAAGAUGUUGUAUCAAAAGAUAUCGAGGUAUGAUCAUAUCUUUACUUUACUUUACUGCUAGUAGACAUUACUUUAGUGUAUGUUUGUGUGCAUGAUUUCAACCAUAUCUCAAAGAAUCUCAUUUGCUUGCGGUUAAAAGAAUUUUUCAUUAUUUAUGAGGAACAAUUGAUCUUGGUCUAAGGGAACUCAUAUAGAUUAGUAGCUCAAUAAAUUUGUCAAAGAAUCCCAUUCAACAUUUUAGGACCAAACAUAUUGAAAUUAGGCAUUAUUUCUCACGUGAUCAUGUUUAAAUGAGAGAUAUUGCUUUAGAAUUUGUUUCUAUGGAAAAAUAACUUGCUCAUAUUUUUACAAAGCCUUUUUGUGAAGAAUAGUUUUCAAAGAUUUGGCUUGAGUUUGGAAUGAUGACAUUUUCACAUCAAUAUUUCAUUACAUGAUAUUGAGACUACAAAUUUGCUUGAUUUUCUAUCUUGAUUGAUUGUAUGAUAAAAACUUGAUUUUAAUGUGUUAUAUGCUUGAAUUUACUUCUUUGAAUGUUUAUCAUCAUAUCUUAUGCAUUAAAAAUGGCUUUUGAAAUACUUCGGGAUCACAAAAUGGUCUCAAAAUUAAUUAAAUUUUGGCCAAAAAGCAAAAUCGUGCAAAAUUCAGGGGAACUAGCUAACCGUUAACCACAAGCGACUAGCCAAUUGUGAGGCAGAAACUAGCUGGCCAGCCGGCUUAAAGCAAACGGUUAAUUGCUUGGUUUCUAAAAAUGAAACGGUUAACCGCUUUCUUCAAGUGGCUAGCUGGCUUCACGUUUUCAAAUGUUGUUCAUCUUCUUUUUCCCACUUUCAGUUGUUACCCUCUCUCUAUCACUGUCAUCUCUCAUUUCUUUUACUCUCUCUCUAAAAUCUUCCAUUUUUACAUCACUUUUGUGUCAAAUUAAACUUUCCAAAUCAUUUCCCAUCAAUUAAUCUUCACUCAUUCGCUUUUAAAACACAAUCUAAUCACUCUUUUCUCAAAAUCUUAAAGCCUAAGUCACCAGUUUCAACAUUCUCAAAUUUGAACCAUUAUUUGACCAUUUUCGACCAAAAUAAACCCAUACAUUCCUUAGAUAUUCUCAAAGAAUAUUUUAACAUUUUAAUCGGUUCAAAAUCAUCUAUUUCUUUAAAAACUUACUAAACUCAAAUUUGUGCAAUUUUGGACACAUUUUGAUAAUUUCUUAAUGGCUAGUGGUGAGAAGUCCAAGGGUUAGCAUAUGCCUAAAAUGUAAAAAAAAGAUUCAUAAAGACAUUAUGAAAUUUAUUUCCACCCACUUUCCAAAUCCACCUCAAUAGAAUGAUUCUAUGAUCGAUUUAUGACAAGGUCAGUCCUCCCAUCCUAUAUAUGUUAAUCUUGAUUAAUUAGAAAAUUUGUCAAGUUGUAGCAAAACUUUUAGAACUUUACUUGCUGAAUUGGGUUGGACAAAUGUCUUAGUUCUUAAGGAACAUAUUUGUCCUAAUUUGGUACGAUUAUUUUAUUCGAACAUGCUUAUUUAUACAAUUACUGCCAAUAUGAUUAUUACUAAUGUUGCUGGGAUUCCUAUUAAGUUUACAGUAGAAGAUUUAAACAUGAAUCUCAGGACUAGGAAUGAUAGGUUGCAUUUGUAUACAUCUAGGACUAAAAUUGAUUAUCCCUGGUAUUCAGGACUAGGAAUGAUAGGUUGCAUUUGUAUACAUCUAGGACUAAAAUUGAUUAUCCCUGGUAUUUAGUUGUAGAUGAUGUUUGAAACAUAGAUGUUCGAAAAAUAUGUAGGUGAUCUGAUCUAUCCAUGGAGCUUUUUAAUUCCUCUCUUAGAUCACAAAUGUUGCCUCUUCAAGUUCGGAUCCUACAUAGUGUUCUUCAGCUUGCGAUCAGUCCUCGCAAGGGACAUGGUGCUAAGGUUACACGCUUAGAUGUUACUUUAUUAGAUAGCAUCCUUGAGGGUAAAAGCUAAAUGUGCGAAUAUUAUCAUUCAGCACAUGCUUAAUACACUGAGUAUAGGAAACCGAUCCUUUUCAGUUGAUAGUGUCAUUACCCAUAUCCUUCAAUAUUUUUGGGUCCCUAUAGCUGAACCAUCUCAUGAUGAACCCAAGGAGUUAGGGGAUGAGGUCAUUGCUAGCUUAGGAUUUGGGUGGGUAGAUGACCAAUAGGUUAAGAAUCAGAACUUGUUGAGCAAACCCACAAAGCUGGCUCUUUUUUAUCAUUGCAUCUUUAACGAUGUGCUUCCCAUUACUGGGUUCUUGAUCUUAGCUCUUCCCUGAGGUCACAAGCUCUACAUUGGCCUUCUGAUGCUCCACCACCAUCAUCUUCAGCCAUUCCCAAUAACCCAAUCCAGCAGUUGUUGAAUAAAGUGUGUUCCAUAUCCGAGUAGUAGAGCAAACUUAAGAUACCGUUCGCAGCAUUCCAGGAUCAUUUUCUUUCUGAGCAGCAGCGUCUCUUUCUUCAACAAUAACAAAUUCUAGACCAUCAGCAGCUUAUUUUCAUUGCUCUCAAAUUUUUGCCACCAUCCUUGUUAUCAUGUUUGCCGCCUCAUCAGUGAUUUUCUUUUAUCUCUUUUGCUUCCUUGUUUUAUGCACCGACAUUAUUUAUCAUAUGCAUUUUCGUUUUUAGCAUUAUGGAUACUUGAUGGAUGUUAUUUUACUUAUGCAUUAUAGAUACUUGAGUUAAUAUGGAUUAUCUUUAUGCAUUCUAGUUAUUGAUCGUGGUAUCUUUAUUAGUUAUCUUUAUGGAUUAUCUUUAUUGAUUAUGGAUUAUGUAUAUGGAUACUUGAUUAAUGGUCAUGUGUGGAUUCUUGAUUGAUGAUCUUUGUGGGGGAUAAUUAUUGAUAAUAUUUGUAUAAUAGAGGAGUGAUUUUUCAUGAUGAAGGGAGAGAAGAUAUUGACAUGUAUUUUGAAGUGUUUUGACAUGUUUUUGGCUCAUGGGGGUUGAUUGAGUGUUUGUAGUAUUUUAGUUACUUUAUGAGUCACUCAAGGAGAGUUUACAAAUGUUGUACAAUUAUAUGGAUCAUGUACUUAGAGGGAGUGAGUUUAUAUAUUUGGUUAUAUUUUUUGAAUUAUGUCAUAUAUUCAGGGGCAAUAGAAAUGUCAAAAUACAUAGAGUGUUUGUCAUCAUAAAAAAAGUAGAGAUUGUUGGGGUAAACGACUAUAUGAUCCUUAAUUUUGAUGAUAACAAACCACAUAAGGUAAAAUGGUAAAUUUAUUUCUCACAAUCUGACAAGUUCUUAAAGGACAAAAAUCACUCAAGUGAGAUCAAGUUCAAGUCACUCAAUGGACAACAACAAUCAAUGAUGAAUGCUAAAGGUACUAGCUUAAGCAAUCUUCAUAGUUAUAUUUCUUGUAAAGCUAAUAUGAUUUAAUGUAUGCAUGAUUUAGUAUUUAAGAGUUCAAGAUAUUUUUCAUACAAUUUUCAAAUUAAAUCAUCAUUUUCUAUAAUAUAAAAGUUUUAAACGUAAAUAAAAAUGAUUUUAUAAAAUUAGUUGUUUUCAAAUUUAUGGACUAAAUUGAAAAGUUUUGAGAACUUUGAAAUCAACUAGUAAUGUAUUAAAUUCUUGAAGUGGACCUAUUUAUAAAUAUUUCAAAAUUUUUAGGCCAUAGUAUAAUUUUAGGAACUUUUAGUUUAAAUCUAUAAAUUUUGAAACAGUAGCGACUAACUGCUUAACGAAUAGUGGCUAACUGCUUCAGGUCCAAAAACAUAGCUGCUAACCAUUUAAAUCAGGCGACAAUUCGCUUAGGCAAAAAAGUUUUUAAAUUUUAUUUGUAACGGUAACUUACCACAUCAAUAUAGCGACUAACUUCUUUAUUUUAACAGCAAUCCGGUAGGUCCUCAGAAAGUCAAUUACGACUAGUUUGAUUGUUUAAACUAGAAGAACCCAAAUCAAACUCAAAUCUAACAACUUUUUCAAUCUCAAUUAAGUUAAACUUGUUCAUACAACUAAUCCUGAGCUUUCAUUUUACUUAUCUACAUGCAUUAAAUCAUUAUUGAGUUAUCAUUUGCUUAUACACUCUUAUAGAGAUUAAUCUUUGUAAUCUUCAAUUAAAUAUCAAAAUUUUGUGAGUAUAAGUGUGGGAAACACUUGGGGAAAGAGGUAUGUGUAAACAUCACUACUUAUAAAGGUUUAUUGACACAUUACAAGUCAAUUGUAAAAUCUUAGAGCCUGAGAAGGCUUGGAUAGUGGAAUCCUCAAACUUAGUUUGCUCGGCAGCAUAAACAUAGGCGGGUUUUGCCGAAACAUGUAAAAAUUCGUUUGUCUGUUAUCUUUUCCUUUAUUUUUUUAAUUGCAUUCAUUGUUAAAUUUACUGUUAUAAAUUUCUUAAAGCAUUUGUUCAAUUUGUUUUGUAUUUUUGUAAGUAUAAUUUUAAUACCCAAUUCACCACCCUCUUAGGUUGUGUAGAUAGAAUUUCACAUUUGUUGUACAACAACAACAACAGCAAUAACAAUAAUAAUUGUUAUAAUGGUUGUAACAAUUACUAUUGAAAAAAAUUUAUUGUUAAUAAUAGUAGAAAAUAAGAAAAAAAAAGGAAAUUAUCCACUAACCAUGUAGUCUUUGGGACUUUUUCAAAAAUACACAAAAAAAAACUUUCUUUGUAGAAAUCCACCUAGAGUUUAUUAAUUAUUCAUUGUCAUCUUAGCUCAUUAGAUUCUUGUUGAUGUCAUAAGAUUAAAAUUAUCAUUUUACUUGAACACCUAAGAUUAAAAUUAUCCUUUAGAGUUUCUUUCGCUGGGGCUGGUGACCUUAGUGGUUAGAUUUGCUAGAUAUGGUCGUGAGAAACUCGACAAUGACCGAGGAUUGGCUGGAUUCACGGUGGUUUGGUCAAAAAUCUGACUUGAAUUGGCAUUUGUGGUGCUUCAUUCAUGUUGGAGAUUUUGAUUGCGAUUUGGAUAUCGACAAUGAGAAAGUGGCAUUUGCGGUGGCGCUAGGUGAAGCCCGGGUUUUGGGUUAGCGUUGUGGCGAUUUAUGGCGGUGAUCAUUGUUGGGUUUUGUCAAGUUAUGACCAGUGGAAUGUAGCAAGUUUAGUGGUGGUGUUGGUUGACAGUGAAGAUGGUUGGUUUCACGGUGGCAGCUGGUGGAUGCUCCCAGUUUUAGGUCUAGAUGAUUUAUAGUAGGUACAAGCGGCGAUUGAUGGCAGGAGUGGCUAAGGCUUGGUCAGUAGUGGCUAAUGAGUUUGGUAGAGGGAUUAGCCAAUGGUGAACUAUUAGUGAAGAGUGGCAGUGGCGGUGGGCGGCUGCUAAGGUUUUGUAAUUUUGUAAUAUUUUUUUGUUGGAUAAACAGUUAUGAAUUUGGUGGGGAUGGAUAUGGGUAGCCAGGAAAACUGUGCAAUUGGCAUUGAACCACUCUAAUACAAACUAACAAAUUGGAAUAGCGGAAGUGGAAUUGAUAGAGUAGGAAAUAUUAGCUAUCAUUCUAAUACUGGCUAAGGUAAUGUGGAUAGUUUACGUCCUAAUCGAAACGUGAGUAGAUCUCAUUCUAACAAUGGCUCAAUGAGAUUUUAAUAACGCAUAAAGCAAGAUUAGACGACGUUCUAAUCCAAAUAACUUUGUAAGAGAGAUUUUGAUAAAUAAUUUUAGAGAGAAUUAUUAAAAAGGGCUUUAUUAGUUGAUCAAUAGUUGAAGUUACAAUAAUAAGAUUUUGAUUUAUAAUAUAAUAAACCUACUUCACUAAGUUAACUUAAAAAGAAAAACUAAAUCACAAUUUUAAUAGAAAUAAAAAACUAAGACAUAUACCAUAGUUGACUAUAAUUAAAAUAGAAAACAAUAAAAUAAUAAAAAUUAUAGAAUCCUAAAAUAAUGUCUACAUCGUAUCCUCACUAAAAUAAAAAUAUAAAAGUAAAGCAAAUUGUGGUAUAACAGACUUUAAUUCUAUCACUCUUCAAUUUUUUUGUUUAUUAAUUAAUAUUGGUGUCUAUGGUUAAAUUUGUUAUUUUUUAUAACAAUUUUAUUUGUUAAUUGAAAUAUUUAGUCUAUGUAAACAAAAAAAAAAUGGUUGGAAAGAAUGAGAGACGAAGGGGGAGAGAGAGAGAGAGAACAAAGUCAAACAAAUAAUUUAUUGAAUUAUAUUUUAAAAUUAAAUUUUAAUUUGAUUAAAUAAAUGAUGUAGUGAGAAAAUGAGUAGGUUCAAAUAGCUUUACUUAUAUUUAUUUCAUUAAUGGCUCAAAAUUUAAUGAAAAUAAAUGGUUUUAAAAAAAUUGCAUUUAAGUUGCAUAAUUCAAUGAGUAGUGCCACACAUCCUAAAUCUUUUAUCUUAAAAAAUUAUCUCAAAUGAUAUGGUAUUCAUCAAUAGAUUGAAGAGAUAAUACAAUUAAUUCACUCAAAUCUUGAAAGAAUUACCUACUAUUCAAGUAAUGACACACCAUUUGGGAUAAAAAAAAUUUGGAAUAUCUAUCAUUACUCUAAUUAAAAAUAAACCUAUCACUGGAUGAUUAAUUAUAGUAGGUUGCUUAAUACUAAAAUGUCACUCAUAAAUUUUGUUUUGGAUUUGUAAUUGAUUUAUCUUAAUUCUUCAACUUGACAUAAGGUCGUUCUCCUCGUUUCUGUACACUUAAAAGUCACCAAGAUCAAAACUAGAUCUGUCGUUGCAUUUGCUUGAAAAAUAAUUUACAAGCACUAGGUUCUCCUGAUUAAGCAACAUUUUUAAAGGGUUAUGAUAGUAGUGGAGCACUUUGUAAAUAUUAGAUGGAUUGUUGAAAACAAUAAAAAAUGUUUGUGUGUUUUUUAUAAAGGCUAAAAGAUGAAGUGGUCUAUGGAUAAUUACUUAUUUUUUCCCUUUUUAUCUUAAUCAUAUUUGAACGACAUCCUUUUAUAGUUCCCAGGCAUUCUGCAACUAUAAUAGACAAUUUUAAUAGGAACUACAGAGAAAAUAUUAAUAUUUUUAUACUUAUUUACUUACCUGAUGGAUAGCUAGAUAAGUGUUACUUUUCACACAACUAGACCAAAUUAGUACCCUUUUUGGUUGGUGAAAACGUGAUUUUUAUGAAUAUGCUAUAGAUGCUUUCAAACGUUUCCACAGUUUACGAAUUUACGCAUUAAACGAAAACCUCCAACUAUCAAACAAAAAGGUGAAAAUUCAAUAGAAUCGACAACUUCUCAGACUCACGUAGGUGGUGGUUCAAGUUUCUAAACUACUAUUAUUAUUAACAGUUUUGAAAAGCAAAUAGUAACUUCAUUUCACAGCAUCUGCUUUUGAGAAAGCUCAGAUGUAAUCAAAAUUCCAAAACCACUCUAAAUAUGUUAGGGAUAUGACCAUAAAUAGAAGUUAAAUAUGAUAGGAUAUAUAGUUGUUCAUAGCUAACAUUUGAUGGUUUAAUUAUUUGUUCUAGGGAUUAUGCGCUGAUUAGUGUUUUUUGUUAUCCACUGAAUGAUAUUCAGUUUUUCUUACAUGUUCAUAGGCAAGAGCAUUUUCUAAGUACUUUCCUUCCCUUAAAAUUUUGAAAGAAAGAUAGAUAUGAUAUGUGAAGCAAGCCCAAUGAAAUAAGCAAAUAAAAUAGAAUAAACGAAGCAAAAAUAUUUCUAGAAACAAGAAAUGACAAAGGAAACACGAAUACAACUUUUUUCUUGUUUUCCUUAUUUUCCACUGUUAAGCUCCAAAAUGAAUAACUUUAUUCUACCAUCUCUCAAAUAAUAAAAACAUCAACAGCACAUCAUCGUCAUCAAUAAUAAUAAUAAUAAUAAUAAUAAUAAUAAUAAUAAUAAUAAUAAUAACAACAAUAAUAAUUUAACUUUGUAGUAUGGAGCUCUCGCAAAUCUUCAAGACACAAAAUGUGCCUGACCCCGUUGUUGUUAUUAUAAUUUCAAAAUGAUUUGUAUUAUAUAAAAUUAGGGAAUAAGACAUAGCAAAAUUGAUGGUACAUAUGUUGCAAUAUACUUGUUCAUGUAGCGACACAUUAAAGUAAAGCAAAAGCGAAACAACGAAAAAUGUAACGGGAGAGCUCUUAUUAUGUAGAUUUUCAAUAGAAGUAAUGCAAAUUUCACAAGGGCAAUGGCCUUAUUUCGAAUGUUGCACCGGAGGAAUGACAUGAACCUUCGAUACGUCACAAAUGUAUCAUGAAAGUGUGAUAGAUUUGUGACAUAUAUUUAUUUAUUUAUUUAUUUUUUGGUCUUAACCACGAGGUAUUCUGGGGAGGGCUCCAACUGUGGAAAACAUCUUUAAGCCCGUACCACAACUCAGACUACAAGUUUCCGCUCGAACCGGGAGGCAUAAGUUCUCCCAACAAAAGCGACUUUCCUACAACUCGAACUAGGGAGCAAACCCAGUCAAGCCACUUAAGGGGACUCCAUUGCCAGUGGAGCCAACACUUUGUUGGUGUGGCAUAUAUUUAUAUGUUCAGAGUUUAUGACAUAUUCAUGACUUAUAACUUAACUAACAUAAAUAAAUGAUAGAUAUAAGUGAUGCUCAAGUUUUGUGGAUUUAUAAUAUCAUAAAAUGAUGACUAUUUAAACGACGUCGUUUUUAUGAAACUUAAAACAUACCAACACUUCAGCCAAAUAUCGACAAGUGUUGAAUAAACCCCUCUCUCGCUGCAACCUAAAAUCAAUGAACUUUGAGCCAUUCUCAACAACAUUGUGUAGAACCCUAGCCCUAACCCUCACUUCCACCACCGAUAAAGCUAAGAAAGUUUUCCGUAUAUCAGAACCAUGGCGAAUUGCCUUCAGCUCUUAGGACCCAUAAUAAAUCUUGUAUUCCCUCGCUUUCACUUUGCUAAUUUUUUGUAUUAUUCCAUCUCUUUCACUUUAAUAACCCAAAAUCUUUCUCUGUUUCAAUCGAAAGAAGACCCUAGCUUAAAUUAAGCUGAAAUUUACAUAUCAAAGCUCUCGCUCAGCUUCCCUCCUUCAAUUGAAACAAAACGAAGCCAUAAGACCCCAAUAUGCCACGCCCUUUUGUCUCAGGCCAACAUUCAUUUAAACCCUACCUUUCGGUUCAAUGCCAUUUAAUGCGAUUGCAGAUGCCGUUUCAACUCAUUAUUUAGUUAACGCCAUUCAGUUCUUUGCGGUAAGCCUUAACCCUAAUAACUAAUCAACUGUGGUAGCACGUUGCUGACUGGGGUGGGAAUACAUUAAUUGAAUAUAUGAAUUGGGUGAUGUCAGUGAUUCAUCCCCCUAUUUGCCGUUAAUGGAGAUUUGUGUAUAAUGUUUGUAAGAUUGUUAAAAAUUUCAUGUUCCAGUCGAAUUUCUUGCUUGUGGAAGAUAAAACAAAAGUUUAAUCUAUAUAUAUAUAUAUAUAUAUAUUAGCUUCUUUAUAGUCAGGCUCUGGCUUUGCUGCUAUGCUUAGUGCAGUUUAUGGUUUCAAGAUUAAAUUAGGUUUAUUUGACGACAUUGAUAUCUUAUCUAGCUCCGCUUGAAAAUGAAAAUGUUGUACUAGUAAUCAUAGACUUUGUUUAUUCAGUUGAUAUUUUAAUUAUACAUAUAAGAAUGAAGGUUUAUUUGGGAAAAAAAGAAAUAAAGAAAUAGGCUCUGUUGAAGCUAAUUAAUACUUCAUUCUUUCUAUACGUGCGACCUGUGGUGGAAACAUGAUAUGAAAAUGUGUUACUGGUGAGGUUGCUGCUUGAGAUGAGAAUGAUGAGAAUGCCUUCUAUUCGGAAAUCCUUGGUAGGUAUUAUAUAAUUAUAUUUGAUGGAAUAUUAAAUAGCUAAAGAAUCUGUGAUAUUGUCUUUGUUCAAUUGUUACUGUAGUAGUGUUUGUUGGUCUUUUUCUGGUUGGCGUUUGGAUGUUAAUGUCAUCAUCAGUUGUACUGGUGUGGGAUCCAGGAUGUUGUCCUCUUAAGAGCCUAUAAGCAAAGUGAAACAGAGAGUAUCUGAGAUUUUUCUGGGCCUUUCGUAGAAAAUCAAGGUGAUGAAUGACAGGAUUCAACAAAUGGGGAUGGGGAUGAUGUUCCUGUUGAAAAGUUAGAGAAUAGAGUGGAAGAUAAUCACGAAGAGAUGAAUAUGUAUGAGGGUGAUGGUGAGACGAGUGAAUCUAAGAAUAUGGUUAAUCAAAACCAGGAAGAGAAUUUAGUGAAGGAGAGUUUUGAUGAGAAUACUGAGUCUGAAGAGGAAUCUAGGGCGGUGUCUAAAAAUUAUGAUGUUAGAAAAAAGGAAGAUAAGGAAUCUAAAAGUGAAGGUGGAGAUUUGAAUUAAGAAGCUGGAGAAACAGAAGGCGGCGAAUUGAAUAAAAUUGAGCAAAUUGAAUCAGAGAAGAGCUUGGAUGAAAAUAAAUGGAUCAGGCUAGUCAGAUUGAAAAGGAGAAGGAUUCUCAAGAUCAAGAUAAUGACACUGAGAGUCGUUGAAAGGAUCAGGCUUCAACUGAGAUUUUUCCUUUUGGUGACUAGUCAGAAAUUCUGAAGGAAACUAAUGCUCAGAAUGGGGCUUGCUCAACUCAACCUAUUGAGUCAUAGAAUCAGAAAAUAUCACAACAAUCUUCUAUAUCUAAGGACCAGUAUGGUCGUCGCUGGAAAGUGUGUAAUGCCACUGCUAGGCCAGAUUGCAUCCCUUGCCUGGAUAAUUUGCAAGCAAUUAGAAUGCUUUCCAGCACAAAAGCAUUAUGAACAUCGAGAGAGGUAUUGCCCUGAAGAAGCUUGUACCUGUAUUGCUCCUUUACCGGAAGGAUACAAACACUCAAUUAAGUGGCCCCAAAGCAGGGAUAGGGUAUGAUCUUAUAUUAUGCAUUAUAAAAUAUAUACUUGACUACUUUUAAUUCACUUGGGCUAAGAUUUGUUCUCAUGCUGUGUGGGAUAGAUUUGGUAUUAUAAUUUUCCCCACACAAAGCUUGCAGAAGUUAAGGGUUAGCAAAAUGGGGUUAAAGUUACUGGUGAAUACCACAUUUUUCCAGGUGGCAGAACUGAAUUUGAGAAUGGUGCUCUUCAUUACAUUGACUUCAUUCUGAAGGUGAGCAUUUUUCAUUUAUCAUUUUAUGUCUGUUGUUAGCUUCAAUUAAUAGGUGGCUUAUUCUUUUCUUUGUAUGAACCAUGGGCGGUCCAUUUCAUCUUAUAAGCUAUUUCUUGGGUUUUAGCAAGACAACUUAUGGAGGGUAUACAGAGGCUCAAGAGCUCGAUUGCCAUUCAUUUUACACUUGGCUGGGCUAUAGUAUACCAACUAGUGAUUAAUAAAGAGAAGGUAUGAAGGUCCUGUUGCUGGUGGUAUUAUCAAUCAGAAUUGUUAUUUUACUUAGUCAUACUUACCAUGUAUACUAUUCGUAGGCUUUUUCAUUUUCAUGCAUUCGCAUCAUCUUCUGGUUAAGCUACAGAUGGUUGAUUUGUGUACUCAUUUGUAUCACUUGUAGCUCUUGAGGAAUAAAAUUUAAAAUUAUGUUGCAUCCCUUGUACUAAAUAGUAAUUUUGUUGGCUUUAUGCAUGGGAAAUGGUUUGUUGUCUUAUUUCUUUGAUGUGUAUGGUGUUACACUGUCUAAAGUUAAGAAGUAUUUCUAUCACUUGUGUAAAAAACAACCUACUUUUUUCAUUCUUCUUAUAUUGAAUAAAAGAGGGACACCAAGAUUGAACGAAAUUUGAUUCAGAAAGCAUAGCAAUUAGGCCAGUUCAAAACAGCUUCCUUCUGAUUCUUUGAUAUUUGACUUAAAUCUUUUGUUUGUUUCAUUUAUCAAAGUCAUUUUGGAAAGUAACGGGGGUGAUUUGAUAUUUUCAUUGCAUUCACAUCCCUUAGGCACCAAAACAAGCAUGCUGGUACUAACCAACAAUUUUUUAUUUUCAGUAUACAAAUUAUUUUUUUCUAAAUUAGGGGUAUUAAGAAAAGGUAUACUAGCACCAGGGGAGGUAUUUGAGAAUACACAAAUACAAUCUAUUAAACUAAGAAUAUGUCAAACUUCAGGGGAGGUUUCUGAUAAAUCUCUUUUACUUUUUCCUCCAUUCACCAUAGGUUCAAUUUAGAACAGUUGACCAAACCGAAGGUUUAGGUUGGUAAACGCACUAGUGUUAAUGUCAACAACCCAAGGGGCUUCAUGGUCCUCUGGGCUGAAAUAGCGUAAUUAUUAAUUCUCCUCCAGUGAAAAUCUUCAUCUUGGGACAAAUAAUUACAAAUUGACAUUAUGGCUAUGCAAAUUUUGAGGUGUAAUAACCGGAAAAAUAAAAAUCUUAAGAGACUUUUUAAAUAAAAAAGAUACAACACCUUUAAUUUGCUAAAAGUAAUGAUAUCAUUACUUGUAUGGAAAAUGGAUGAUUAGAUUUUCUUUUUUGUUAUCCGACGAAGGAUAUUCAGUUGUUCUUUAUUUGUUCAUAGGCAAGAGCAUGAGCAUAUGCAUGAUUUGAUAUAUGCUUCUUGCAUUUUCUAAUUAAGUGCUCUCUUUCCUUGCCUUCUUAGUUUUGAAAGAAAGAUGUGAAGCAAAGCAAACCCAGUGAAAUACACAGAGCAACAGAACCAUCAGAGGAAAAACUAAAUAACAGAACUACAAUUGAACCAAACAAAAUCAAAUAAACGGACGCAACAGAUGCCCUGAACCUAGUAAUUACUCAAGAGUUGAGGAGUUGGAAUGAUUUGGUAUUCAUAUCUUCACAAAUCAUAUGCUUUAAUGCAGAAUCGACAGCUUUAUAUUAUUUUAUUCAAAAAACGAUAAAGCAGGAAAACCACAAUAAUCCACCAACUUUUGAUACUUGUAGGAAUUUUUUUUAGUCAAAUUAAGUUUCAUGAUAACACAAGUGGCUCGUCCACACACUUGCACUUGCUUGAAUAUUUGUGCCGACAUUUUCAUAUGUGAUGGUACUUCUUAGCCAGUAGAUAUGUUGAAGUACUACAAAACAGAGUAUUUGAUGAAGUUUUGCUACUUUCGUAUCCCAUUUUGUUGCAUAACUAAAUUCUUUAUAAACACAAAUUAGAAAGCUACAAAUAAUACAGUAGCUUGAAUUUAUAUGCUUUUAUGAUUAUUUGAUAAUCUAGUGCUGACAAUAUGUGAUGAUAAACUUAGCUAGUAGUUUUAUAUUUAUUUUCGUAGUUUCUUUAGCAUUCACAUUUUGAUGAGUAAAUUAAGGAUUUCCAGAUGAAGUACAUAAUCAGAUUAAUGCUAAGGAACUGAAGUUUGAUUAAUUGAAAACAAAAAUAAUAAUGAAGGUAAUUACGAAAAUGAACAAUGCAGAAGUAGUCCCUAUAGUAUUUCUAAAUUUUCUCUUGGGGUUCCUUAGUAUUCCUUAAUAUUUUUAAAAGAUGACAUGACGAUCUUUGAGUUGACAAAUCUAGGCCUGCUGCUUAGUACCCUUCCAACAUUUCAAGUACUAGAUGUUUUACUGAGAAAAUGACAAGAUCAUUUAUCAAAUUUCUUGCGCAUAUAUACAUAUGCAUACAAGAAAUGGGAAUCAGAGUGAUUAUAAGACCUUGCAAUGAGACAAUAAUACAUCAUCAAAUUUAAAAAUACACAAGAAAUUUGUGACGUAUAUAUAACAAAAGACCUCUCAUUGAGUUAUACAUAUUGAGAAUAAAAUGUCAAAAUGCAGACAAAGAGCUUAUACAGAAAAUGAAUAAACCGUCUUUGAACUUCCGAUGGUCAAACAAAGGAAACAGGCAGGAUAUAACACACACUAUCAUAGAUGUAGCGACACGAUGAAGUAAAUCACAUGAAGAUGGAAAGGGGAACCCCUCACAGCAUAAAAUUUGAAUAGAAGGGGGAAAAAGGCUUCAUUUCAAAUGUUGCACAGAAGAAGAGUGACUUGAAUCUCCAUCAGUAUCCAGACAUUCUGCAAACACAGUGCUGAGAAUUUUAACAAGAAUAACAGACAAAAUAUUGUGCUCUCUAUACUUUCACAAAACUAGACCAAAUUAGUUCCCUUUUUGGUUUGUGAAAACUUGAUAUUUUUUAAAAUUCUAUCCAAUGCUUUCAAACAAUAUUUCCACAAUAUAGUUGUUCAUAGCUAACCUUUGAUGGUUUAAGGAUUUGUUGUAGGCAUAAUGGGCUAAUUAGAUUUUUUUUUUUAUCCGAUGAAUGCUAUUCAGCUGUUCUUAAUUAUGUGUUCAUAGGCAAGACCAUUUUCUUAAGUACUUUCGUUGCCUUCCAAGUUUCCAAAGAACAAACAGAGCACAAACAAAUAUAACGGAACAGCAAUGAUGGCAAUAAAUAAUUGGCAAAGAAAGAAAGAAAAAAGUUUGCAUGAUUUCAAGGAAUUGUAAAAUCUGAAGACUUUCAACAGGAAUUAUAAAAUCUGAAGACUUUCAACAUGCAAGUGUUGCCCCUUUUGAUGAAAUUUCAUCAUAAAAUGCUUGCAAAGAAUUAUAAAAUUUUAGAGAACAAGCGAACUCUCAAACAAAAUACUCAAAUUAAAUUAAAUUAGACCAAAAGACACUCAAUGACGCAAAAUCUGCCCAUAAAAGCCUGAACAAAUCAUGAAAAGUGCAUUCCAUAUUGACAGUAAACCAAGUGACCGAUUCUAAAUAAUUGAGAUGAAAUUGUGAAACAACCCACGAGAUCAAAUAAAUAAAAUAAGAAUUAAUUACCAGCUUUGACUUUCUUCUCCAAAUUCGCAACUCCAAGACAUAAGAAGCCAAUGAAAUUAGUCGUAACCCAUAAAGUACGACGACGACCCCGCCAAUAGCUGAAAAUAAAAUACUUAUUCAUCAAUUUAAACUAACUUUAUAACAAAUAUCUUAUCGAUAUUUUAUUUAAAAAAAGCAAAUUUGUAAAAUUUUUCCAUGGGAGAUAGAGAGUAAUAUGUAUAUCCGUACCUUUUCAGCAUGUAAUUGUUGUAUGGUUGUGUUAAGAUCAUUAUUUGCCCAACGGCGUUGAUCCUCUUACUCUCCAUACGAGACGUUUACUCUCGGAGGCGUGUUUGAUUCUCCUGAAGUGAAAGUCUUCAUCUUGGGACAACCAAUCACUUCUAGAUAUUCCAGAGAUGGGAAUUUGAAGGUGUAAUUGGCAGAGCAGAAACUUGUGAGACUGUCUAAAUCGCACAGAAUCAACGCCUUCAAUUUGCUGAAAACAAUCUCUUCUAUGUCAACUCCUUCUUUGUCAUUUAUUACCACCUCUGUCAUUGCUCUGCAUCCAUAUACUUGCACUGAUACGAGUCGCACCAGAGUUUUUGCUGUGGAGGAUGUUACGAAGUGUAUCAAUUCCUUGCAACCGACAGCUACCAGUUUUGUUAGGUUCCGAAAAGAUACCGAUGAUGAUGGCAAUAGACUUAACAGAUUUUGACAAUGAUAUACUUUUAGAAUUUCAAGAUAUUGAAAAAUGGAGUCAAGUUUGGAGUCUUGUUUACAUAGCUGCUUCAGAUGAUUAAGGUGGCCCAGCUCUAUACAUUUUAUCAUUGCCAACUUCCUCAAACGUUUCUCUAAGCAUCCUUCCGUUGAAAAUAGCUCUUCGUAUGAACAAUGAUACAGUAAGAGUAAUUCGAGAUUGUGAAAUCUCUCAAGUACAUUCCUGAUUGGAAAACAAGCCGAGUCAUCAUAAGUUAUGUCUAGUUUUUUAAGACUGCCAAAAAGGUGUUGAGGGAAAUCGGCGUCCAAAAUCAUCUUCACAUCUUUUCCGCUUAACGCCAGUGACUCCAAGUUGGGUAAGAUCUGAUCAUUAUCAAUCACGUAGUAACUAAUCAGUCAGUUGAUGUUCUCUCCAAUAAUUUUGAGUAAUCCAAUCAUAUGCAGCGACCUUAUAGUACUUGUUGUAGAUUAUAUAUAUUUUACCAAAAAAAAAAAAAAAAGAAAGGAAAAAUUGAAUUAGUGAUAAAAUUCAUUCUAGGGGCCGUUGAAUUAGUGAUAAAAUUGAAUUAGUGAUAAAAUUCGGUUAUAUUUUUCAAAGUCAAAAGUCGCUAAUGAUCUAAUUGAUAAGAAAUCUAGAAAGCGGCUUCAUACCUUUUUGAACAAGAAUAGGGGCCGUUGUGCAGGAAUACCAAGUUGAUCAUCCUCAUUAUUUUGUGAUGAAUCUGCAGCGAAUGUCUUCAAUUUGUCACAACCAGACACCACUAAAAUUUUUAGUGCAGGCCAUUCCGAAGUAAGCAUUCCAUGGUAUAAACAUUUAAGUUCUGGUAGCUCUUGGAGUAUAAGAGUGGUCACCCGUUGAAAGACAAAACGAGGGGUCACAUGAUCUACUCUGUCUUCCGAAAUGAUCUCUUGCAAACCCCUACAAUUCACUAUCUCUACUUGUUGGAGAUGCUCAAAGCUUUGAAUCAUAGAAACUAAAAAUAUGUAUUUCAAUUUGUUACAGUGGCACACAAUCAAUCGUGUUAAACUUUGAAAGCGAGGAAGCAUGACCGGACGAUGAUUGUAAUGCCAAAUCUUGUCGACAUUAAUUUCAGAUAUCUCCAAAGCCUCCAAGUUAGGCAAGCCUACCUAAAAAAAUAUUAAUUUCUUGUUAGAUCCAACAUCCAUAUGAGAAGGACUUAUUGAAAUUUUCUUCUUUGAUUGCAGAUUAAUAAUUCAAGUCAAAAUCAAUUUCCAACUGACAGCUGAGUAUGCAUUCUAAUUCAUAUUACUUGUUAAGAGCUCAAUUAGUGAGUGCGUGAGAUUCUUUUUAUCUUUUUUUUUUCACUUUCUUUCAAUUCUUUAAAUGAUUUAAUUAUUUUCCACGUAUGACAUCAAAAGAGAAUGCACAAUAGCAUAAAGAAAGUGUUAGCCUACGCACCUUGCCGUUGAAAAGCAGGGUUUCCAAAUUGAUUUCGUUGGAGCAAGAACUUGUCAAUUCCUCUUGCAGCCCUUGUCUGUUUAGUGAUGCUGAAGGAGUCUUCAAUUUACGGAAAAAAGUUGUAACCUCUGGAAGAUUUCCUAAACUCAAAGAUCUUAAUUGAGCCAACUCUAUCUUCUCAGUAGCAUUAUUGUUGUCAACAUCAGCUUCUCCCCCAGUUGCAAAAAUCUCUUUCAUCUUGCUGCAAUUAAUAACUGCAAUUCUCUCAAGUCUUGGAAGGCAUUUUGCAGUGGAGAGCCAGAAGAUAUUACUCAACUCAUUACAAUUUUCUACUUUUAUUGUUUUGAGUUUAUUGAAAGACUCUACUUUGAGUCGAUCAAUGCAUAUCCUCUCCAUGUUGAUCAAAUUGUGAAGAGUCAGCGACUCCAAAAGAGGAAAGGCAUCACAAGCGACCAUCUCCAUUGAGUCGACAAUACAAAAGAAGUCAGGAUUAUUUUGAACCCAGAGAAGCUUCAAUUGUGGUACGCCCUUUGUGUCCAAAUCGAAAAGAACAUUUUUGACACCUUGUAGCUUGUCCAACAAUAAGUAUUCAACGUUAUUGAUGGCCUGCAAUUUCAUGGAGCAAAUGUCCAUAAAAUCAAGCUUGAGCUUCAACUCUCUUAAACGCUCAUGAUUAUUGUUGAUCAAAAAGUGCGACCGACUGCGAAACCAAUCUUUUGUAACAGGCAAGGAAGCCAUGAAUGACUUAUUUCCAAUAGAUAUUUUGAACCUUUUGAGCUUUCUGGCCAAAAAGCCUUCCGGUAAAAUACUGUCAUUUUUAACAUCAACACUUCGGGAAUGUCAUUAAUAAUACUAUCUUUUAAAAAAAUUGCAGGAUAUUUUUUUAAUGCAUCUGCAUCUGGCCAUUUCCACAAAUGCAAUUUUGUCACGACAUGCAAUUGAAAUGGCAACAUCGCGAACAACAUCAUGCAUGGAAAAUAAUUUACUGCUACCAUCCUUAAGCAACAAACAAGAGUCUCUUAGUUGAUUGACCCAUGCAUCUAAUUUGUUAUGUGCAUCUUCUAGUUUAUGGACACUUUCAAAUGCACCCAAGCCCACGCUAUAUUUGAACAAGUCCAUAAUUGAAGUUGGUGUAAUUAGACUACACAGUAAAAAAGUUUUCUUGAGUUGCUCACCUCUUAAGUACUUGUAACUCAGCUCAAUUGUUGAGUAUGCCUCUACUGGUACUCCUCCGUCGAAGCUUGCCUCUGAAGGCGUUUGGAGUUCUUGCAAGGCGUUUUUCCACACAGGCAGCUCUUUGUUUCUCAGUGCCUUUGCUACUGUGGUUAGGGCAAUAGGCAAACCUCCACAUGCCUUGGCUACACUUGUUGCUGUAGAUUUUAACUCACGAUUUUCAACAUAAUUACCAGCCAUUAUCUUGAACAAUCUCCAAGCUUCUUGCUCAUUUAGAAUGCAAAUCAAGAAGUUAUUUUCAUAUCCCAUACUUAACGAGACAUUACGAUCCUUUGCUGUUAAUAAUAAUUUGCAUCCUCUAUGAUCAUCGCCAAAAGGAAUUCCAACAGUCUCUAAAUCAAGAUAUUUCCAGAUUUUGUCCAGAAUCACAAGGAUCUUCUUAUGAUUCUUCAAUCGUUCAUAAAGUUUACUAGCUCUUCUAGAUUCAGCCUCCUCGGACAACUCCAGACCUAGUUUCUCUGCAAUUUCCCCUUGAAUCUUUUUUAUGUCUGGAGUUUGGGAAACCUCUGAAAAAACCACCUGAUCAAAGAGUUUCUCUUCACUGGCUUGCCUUGCAAACUCCUUCACCAGUGUUGUCUUUCCAAUGCCGCCCAUGCCGUAUACCCCAACGAUGCUGACAUUGACAUCAGUCAAUGCAUCUUGUAUAGACUUCAGAGUAGAAAGUCUUGAUUUAAAGGCCUCAUAACCUUUGUUAGACUUUAGCCAUACCUCCUCCACAAUGGUACGGUAGAAAAUUUGAUCAUCAAAUCUCCUAGCUUCUUCUUUGAGUUCAACAAGGGCCUUCACCUCUGUUUCUGCUUUCUUGCUAAGCUGAUAGCGGGUCUUCAAAUUAGGACACAAGCCCUUGAAACAUCGCUUACUUGUUGUCUCCCCAUCUUCAAUGAAUUUGGAUGCCUGCUCAAUGGUGUUGUUCGCACUAACCAGCUAGUUCUCAACCUUCUCUUCAAUCUUUUCUCCUUUUCUUUCAGCCUUAGAAACUCUGUGCUGAAUGCUCUUACUUUCAUCCUUGAGCUUGUCUAUUUCUGCCUUGAGAUUCUCAAAGUUGGCUUUAUAGUUACGCAAAUAACCAAGUUGGUGUUCUGUUGGAGGAGCGAAGCAUUUCACAACUUCUAACAGAACAGUAACAAUGCUUUCCACCAUCUUCGAUCCUCUUUUUUUCAAAGUUCCGAAAUGAAAAUAAACGACGAGCGAAACACAGAGAGAAAGAGAGGCAAAAAAAAAAAAAAAAAAAAAAAGAAAAUGAAACAACAAAGAUGACAAGUGUAUCUGUUUGUGGAAGCGGAGAAAUCAAAGAAAGCUUAAAAACUGUUGUGAAUCUGGUGAGAAGAUGGAAACAAGGAAAAGGUUUCUAGUUCAAAAGUGAUUGAAUUGAUAUAAGGAAUGAUUUAGAUAAUAGAGGAAAAGUGAAUCAGUCAAAAUAACUUAUGUAUUGACCAGAAGAAAGAUGCAAACAAUAUUGGAGACAACAACAACGCUAUGUGUUGUGCGCAGAAUGCGGAAACAAGUGCACUGAAUAAUCACAGAAAAAUAAAGGACACAAGAAUUACAUGGUUCGGCAAUAUGCCUACGUCCAUGGGAACAAGAGAAAAAUAAUUGUAUUAUUAACAAUUAUAGUACAAAUUUGAGUAAAGAAAUCUCACUUUCCCAUAACCCAAAUACACCAGUACUCUCACACACACUCUCCAAUUGCUCACACUCUCACAACUCUCAAAACCUUAGAAACUUAUACGCUUAACAAUUUAGGGAUGAUUUACAAAUGAAGAAUGCAUCUAUAUUUAUAGCAAAAAACGUUGCACUAUUGCACCAUCCGCUUUGCAAUUUGUCAAUUCUCCUAUCUGUCAAUUUGACAAAUUUUACUAACCUUUUUCAUUUUUCUUCAUUUGGUGCAGGAUUGUCAAAAGUCAUAUAUUCUACAGCUUGCAAUUUUGGUGCCGACUUUGAAAAACAAAAGCAAUGCAUGUGGCUCACUUUUAUUUUUCAACCAAUUUGAAAAAAACUCUUUGACUUUUCAACAAUUCUCCACCUCGGCGAAGAUUUGUUCAAAUCUGAGCCGACUACCAACCAAUCAUCAUCCCCAAAGUGGCUGCAUCUCUGUGACUGCCUACGUACCCAAAAUUUGGGAUCAAGCCAACCGUAGUUUAAAAUUUCCGAAGGACAUAUCUUAACACAAUCGAAGGAUUUGAAUUAGUUUCAAGCAAUGUUGAAACUUAACUCCAGAAACUACCUUCGUCAACAUAUCUGAUGGAUUAUCUUUGGUAUCGAUCUUUCUCAACAACACAACACCGCUCUCGAUAAUCUCUCUCACAUAAUGAUAUUUCACAUCUAUGUGUUUCGUCCGAGCGUGAUAUGUUUGAUUCUUCGCAAGGAAUAUCGCACUUUGAUUAUCACAGAAGACCGCAAUGUUCUCUUGGAUUACUCCUAAAUCACCUAACAAGCCUUUCAACCAGAGAGCUUCUUUUACAGCUUCAGUUACUGCCAUAUACUCUGCUUCCAUAGUGGACAAAGCAAUUAUCGAUUGUAGAAUCGACCUCCAGCUAACCGGACCUCCACCCAAUGUGAAUACGUAGCCCGUUGUUGAUCUUCGCUUGUCAAGGUCUCCAGCGAAAUCAGAAUCACAAUACCCAACACAUUGUUGACCACAAUCAUUCUUGAACAAUAACCCAACAUCAACUGUCCCAUACAGAUAUCGGAGAAUCCACUUUACUGCAAGCCAUUGAUUUAUACCCGGAUUGUGCAUGUAUCUACUAACCAUGCUCACUGCUUGAGAUAUAUCAGGCCUUGUACAUACCAUAGCAUAUAUAAGACUACCCACAGCACUAGCAUAUGGAACACGAGCCAUAUAAUCGCGCUCCUCUUGAGAUCUAGGACAUAAAGAAGAGCUUAAUUUGAAAUGAGGAGCUAAAGAUGUACAUACUGGUUUAGUUUUGUCAUCCAUGCCUAAUCUUUUUAGCACUUUCUUCAAAUAAGACUUUUGAGUCAACCAUACGCUCCCAUUCUUCUUGUCUCUACGAAUCUCCAUCCCAAGUAUUCUCUGUGCAUCACCCAAGUCUUUCAUCUUGAACUCAGAAGCUAGCUGCUUCUUUAAUCUUUCGAUCUCAUCUCUAUUCUUCGAAGAUAUAAGCAUAUCGUUGACAUAGAGUAACAAAUAGAUAAAAGCUUUAUCUAGUAGUCUUCUAAAGUAAACACAAUGAUCGUGUUCGCUUCUAGUGAAUUUCUGCCCUUGUAUAAAUUGAUCAAAUCUUUUGUACCACUGCCUUGGCGAUUGCUUCAGUCCGUACAAAGAUUUAAUCAACCUACACACAUGAUUCUCCUUUCCAGCAACUUUGAAACCACAAGGCUGAAUCAUAUAGAUUUCCUCCACUAAAUCUCCAUGUAAGAACGUCGUCUUAACAUCCAAUUGAGCCAACUCUAACUCAUAUUCUGCAAGUAAGGUAAGUAGGAUACGAAUGGAAGUAUAUUUUACAACUGGAGAGAAAACUUCAUUAUAUUCAAUACCUUCCUUUUGAGCAAAACCUUUCGCCACGAGCCUUGCCUUGUAUCGAGGAAUUGAUUGCUUCAGAGAUCCUUUCUUCUUGGUGUAGACCCAUUUAUUCCCAAUAGCCUUUUUUCCUUUUGGUAACUUUACAAGUUCCUAUGUCUGGUAACUUUACAAGUUCCCAUGUCUGGUUUUGAUGGAGAGAUUUCAUCUCUUUUUCCAUGGCUAACUUCCAUUGAUCACUUUCACUGCCGCGUAAUGCUUCACUGAAAGUGUUGGGGAUGUCAUCAUCAAUAACUAGAAGUGCAUAGGCUACCACCAUGUAUUUAGUAAGCCAUCCGGGUUUCUUUAUCUCCCUUCUUGGCCUCCUUAUUGCUAUAAAAUCAUCAUUAUCUACAUCAUAAAUUGUUUCUUCAUUUUGUGGGACAUCAGAAGAAACAACCUCUUCUUCAACUGUAGGUGUCACCUCCAUAGUUGAACCCUUCUUUGAUGUAGAAUUAACUGGUACAUAUGAAGUUGCAUCAAACUUCACCCGCUGCAAUACCUCUUUGGUCUUGUUCUCCACCUACUGAGAACUUGAAGCUUUCAUCAUUAAAGCUUCAUCAAAUGUGACAUCUCUGCUACACACAAACUUUUUGUCUUCGAGAUUCCAAAGCUUGAAGCCCUUUACUCCAUCUUUGAAUCCCACAAAGAUAGCUUUUCUAGCACGAGGAUCCAGUUUACCAUCUUUGACAUGAUAAUAAGCUGGACACCUGAAUAUACGAAGGAAAUCAUAGUCUUGUGCAUGCUUUCCAGACCACAUUUCCAUAGGAGUUUUACCUCUAAUUACAGUAGAAGGAACUCGGUUUAUCAAGUGACUUGCAUAGCUCACAGCUUCAGCCCAAAACUUUUUAUCUAAACCAGCAUUAGAUAAUAUACACCGUACUUUCUCCAGUAAAGUACGAUUCAUGCGCUCAGCCACACCGUUCUGUUGCGGAGUAUGUCUCACCAUGAAAUAUCUUUUAAUACCCUCGUUCUGGCAUACUUGCAAGAAUGGAUCAGAAGUAUAUUCACCCCCAUUAUCAUAUCGUAAUACUUUGAUCUUUCUGCCAGUUUAAGUCUCUACCAAUUUCUUCCAUUUCACGAAAAUCUCUAGAACAUCAUCCUUUGCUCGCAUGGUGUACACCCACACACGUCUAGAGAAAUCAUCAACAAAUGUAACAAAAUAAUGGCUUCCACCAAUUGAUGCAGUCUUGGUUGGUCCCCAUACAUCACUAUGAACAUAUGCAAGGAUCUCACGAGUAUCGUGAUUAGCCGUACCAAACUUGACCCUUGUUUUCUUGCCUACUACACAAUGCUCACAGAAAUUUAAUUUACAGGUUUUGGGACCUUUUAAGAGUCCGUGCCUCAUCAGAGUUUGCAAGGACUUCUCUCCAGCAGUCACAGUCGUACAUGCCAUAGCUUGGUGGUGUCACUGUGCGCCUCAACAACAUUUGCUUCAUCAAUUGUACCUCCCUUCAAAUAGUACAGAUUAUGACGCCGAACCCCUUGUAGAAUCACCAUAGCCCCAUGUGUAAACUUCAUUAUACCAUCUUUAAUGGUAACCUUGUAGCCUUUACCUUCCAAAGUACCCACAGAAAUUAGAUUUUUCUUGAAAACUGGAAUAAAUCUAACCUUUUUGAGUUCUCUGACCGUUCCAUCAAACAUUUUGAGCUGAAUUAUUCCUAUCCCCAUUGUGCGACAAGGUUGAUCAUUCCCCAUCACAACUGCACCAGAUUCCAGAUUACGAAAACCCGUAAAUCAUUCCUUAAUAAGACACAAAUGAUAGGUUGCUCCAGUAUCAAGUAUCCACUCGCUCGAAUUAGCUACAUAUACUACAGGAGUAAUACUUAGUGAAUAAUCAGAGUCUUCAUCUUUCCAUGCCAUGUUUGCUGGUGCUGGUUUCUUCCCAUCUCUCUUUUGAACCUUUGGCCAAUCUUUCCUCCAAUGGCCAUUUUCAUGACAAAAUGCACACUCAUCUCGAGCUAUAUUUCUGCUUCUCAAUUUGGAUCGAGAAUUUUUUCCACCAAGCUUUUUCUUUUUCUCCAUCACCCAAUCUUUACUCACCAAAGCUUCAAACGAUACUCGUUCAGAAUUUUUAUCAUUAUUCUGCAUCUCCAAGUUAGUCAAUGUUGUGCAAACAUCUUUGAAGACGAUCACACUCUUCCCGUAUAUCAAGGUAGUCACAAAAUGACUAUAUUCCUCUGGUAGUGAGUGUAACAAAAUUAUAGCUUUGACUUCAUCCUUAAUAUCUUCAUCGAGAUUCUUCAAAUCAGCAGGUAACUUUUCAAAUCUUGAGAUAUGAUCGUGCAUUGACACCCCAUGCUUCAUUCGAAAGCCAUAUACUUGGCUCAUUGUAUAAAGACGAUUUUCAGGACUUUUCAGCAGGUACUUCUCCUCCAAUGUACGCCACAAAGUCACCGCACACUCCUCAUCUUUCACCAAGUAUUUCACCUCCUUGGUCAAACAAGAUCUGAUCUGACCACAAGCUUUCUCGUUCAUACGAUCCCAAAUUUCUUCAUCAUACAAGUGUCUUUUAUUUUUCAGAACAACAUCGAGAUCGAUUUGAAUAAGGACAUCCAUAACUUCGCGCCUCCACAUGCCGAAGUUGAUUUUCCCAUCAAAUUUUUCAACAUCGAUCUUCUGGCCUCCUAUAACAGGUGCUGAGUAGGGAUUUGACAAAUCUCGCCUCCCACUUGAACUGUCUCCUGAAAUAGUCUCGGUAGAUCUCUCCUUACUUCUGGAAGUUUCACCUUCUACCAUUUUCUCAACGAACUAUUUCCACUUGAAAAACAGCCUCUGUGAUGUUAAUUUCGCAUGAAUAAAUGCACCAGGAAAGUUCCCAGGAAACUGGAUGGGAACUCGGUCCCAAUUAAAAACCAAAAUCCUUAGACGCUUAUUGCCUUGUUGACAGAACUUUCCUAGACAUGCAAAAAGACACACUACUUACAAUAGACUGUCUCCUAAAUACAAAUGGCCGUCUCAACCGUAUUCGUGAACAGUACCGUAUGUGAACAAUACCGUAUACAAGAAUAGUACCAUAUGUGUGAAUAGUAUUGUAUAUGUGAACACUUCCGUAUAUUAGAAUAGUAUCGUUUACGUGAACAGUACCGUAUCCCCCCAAGUACGAACCUUCGGCUCUGAUACAACUUGUUGUGCGCGGAAUGCGGAAACAAGCGCACCAAAUAAUCACAAAAAAAUAAAGGACACAAGAAUUACGUAGUUCGGCAAUAUGCCUACGUCCACGGGAGCAAGAGAAAAAUAAUUGUAUUAUUAAUAAUUAUUUAAGUACAAAUUUGAGUAAAGAAAUCUCAUUUUCCCAGAACCCAAAUACACCCAGUACUCUCACACACACUCUCCAAUUACCCACACUCUCAUAACUCUCAAAAGUUUAGAACUUAUAAGCUUAACAAUUUAGGGAUGAUUUACAAAUGAAGAAUGCAUAUCUAUUUAUAGCAAAAAACAUUGCACUAUUGCACCAUCCGCUUUGCAAUUUGUCCAUUCUCCUAUCUAUCAAUUUGACAAAUUUUGCUAACUUUUUUCAUUUUUCUUCAUUUGGUGCAGGAUUGUCAAAAGUCAUAUAUUCUACAGCUUGUAAUUUUGGUGCCGACUUUGAAAAACAAAAGCAAUGCAUGUGGCUCACUUUUCUUUUUCAACCAAUUUGAAAAAACUCUUUGACUUUAAUUUCAACAAAUAGAGAUGGAGAAAAAGAAAUAUCUUCACACGGUGGAAGUACAAAGGGUAGAUAUGGAACCAAACAGAGACAACAACAGGCCACAACUAGAUUGGGAAUGGAGAGAAACAAAUUAACAAAGACUGGAGAUUACAACAGAACAGAUGCCAAGAGAAAAGGGUUUCUUCAUCCAGUGAAAUUCAAGUGAGUUGACAGCAAAAGGGAGCAUAUGUGUUUCUUGAUUGAGAACGAGUGCAAAGGAUGACUUUUUAAUGAGGUUCUGAAGCUGACGGAUAACGAUUUGCUAAAAUUUUGAGAAAGUUAUAUAUUUCGUAACUUCAACAAGUGAAGAAUAAAAGAAUAAUAGUUCGUCAUCUUCACAAUGAAGAUCAUGGCCGAGAUUAAAAGCUAAAACUAGUCCAUUUGAAAAGCCAAAGUUCAAGUUCCUUGGCUAAGUUCAGAAGUGAAGCAAAGAAUAAAUAAAUAAAGAUCAAGGGAUGGGAAUAAAGUCACCCCCAGACAGUUGCAGAAAGAUUAUUAUUUGGUAAGUGUAGUUGAUUAUUAGUACAAAACAGAGUAGGUGAAACACAUCCUUUCUAUUUAGACUGAUCAGCAUCUAAAAUUUUAUGAAUUAUGAGUUGCAUUUUACUUUGUACAUUAUGUUAACACAUUUUAAUUUAGCCAAUUUUGCAAUAAAUGUUAUUGAUGUAUUAAAUAGAAAAUGAAUUGAAUUCCACUCAUCGUCAUCUUGGCAAAUCAAGUCAAAAAAUAAAAAUCCAUAUGCUUUUGUUAAAGUUAAAAGCUACAUAAAUAAUAUCACAGAAGCUUCUGCUAAGGUUCAUGUGAAGUCACAGCUUUGAUACUUGUAAUACAAGGAGCACGGAGAAACCAUAAACUUCAGUUUAGGUAUAUACAUUGCUUGUCUUUCAAACUUGAAUUGAUAAGGGGGAAAAAAUAAUACUAAAGCAAACAGAAGGAUCAUUUAGUUGACAAAAUUAUUAGCUGAUAUGCAUUAACAACUCCUAUCCUAUACUAUCAGCCAGUAGGUUGUUGCUGCUUCCCGAUUUUUAAUGAUGCGAACAUCUCAUACUUAGAAAUAAGGGCGGAGCCUGGAGAUUGAUUUAUAAGAUAAGAAGCAACAUUGUGUACAAUAUCAGAUUUCCAAUGUGAGAAAAAUAAAAUUGCGUUAUAAAAUUAAUCCCACUAAGAAAGUGGUCUACGAAAUUGCCACAUUAAAAGAAAUUUUUUCCAUAAAUUAAAAUAAAAUUAAAUGAAAACUAUUUUUCAGUAAAGUCAAUUGCCCACGCUAGGCUAAGGCGUUUGUUUUUUUGUUUUUUUUUUUUUAAAUCUGAAUAGGUAUAAAUUUUUCGUAAGCAUGAAUGGGCUGAGUACAAAUAUAUGAAUGACAUAUUUAUUUUUAUUUUUCUUAAUACCCGAAUAUAAGUGACAUCUUAUUUAUCUUAAAUAUGGUUAUUUGAUAUUUAUAUUUUUACAAAUCAAAAUAAAAAAAAAAAAGUAGUUAGAUUUUAUAGUUUAAGAAAUAAAUAUAUUUUAUAAAAAAAAAUUUAGAAUAUAUAUUUACUUCUUAUUCAGACUUUUUUCUAUUCAAUAAAAUUCACAAAAGUUACUUUUUCUAUUCAAAUGUAAAUGCUUAAAAAUCAUAUAUAAGUUACAAAAAAAAAUUUGGAAAAAGUCAUAAAUUAAUAAAAUUUCAGAUUUUAUAUAUUUAACUCCCAAUGCAGAUCCGUCCCUAUUAGUGUUAGGAAAUUGACUGGUGAAUGUUGAGUGUUAGAAAAUAGGAGAAAAUCGUCAUUUUACACUUCAAGUUUUACUAACAUCCUUACUUUUACGUAUUUAACCUUCUUGUGAUUUAAUUACGUGUUUUUUUAUUUUAAUUAAGUAUUUUAUGUAUUUUAGUGGCAUUAUAGUCAUUUCACAAUGAACGAGAGAUCAGACGGCAAAACGGACAUCACUUUUGAACUCAGGACGGUCGAAAACCUUAGGAGGAGCAUAAAAGGAAAAAUGACACUGUUCAUAUGUACGGUACUAUUUACAUGUACAGUACUGUCUACGUUACUGUUCACGACACUGUUCACAUAGACGGAUCGAUGAUGUGGCAUUGACCGAUGAUAUGGCAUUGACUGAUGAGGUGUCACGAUCUUGUUGGACUAAAAUUCUUAUGCACUGUUGAUUGGUGACGUGGCAGCAUGUUAGUGGACCAAAAAUUGCGCGUACGGUACAUGCAUAUACACAGGAUUAUUUUCAACCAAACCGCGUUACUGUUCAAGCCGGGUCAAACCGUGUUACUGUUCAAACCGCGUGGUCAAACCGCGUACUGUUGACUGAUGACGUGGCGCAAUCCUAAACGUCCAAACUGUUUUUAAUCCGAUGGCCAUGAUUUACUCAAUGUAUCUAUAAACAAGAUCCUUGUUUAUGGCUCUGAUACCAUAAAUCUUGUUGGUACGUGGCGUUGUUUUACCAUAAACAAGGAUCUUGUUGGUACGUGGCGUUGUUUUACCAGAUCAAUGCAAAAGUUAAUCUGCCUUAGGGACCAGAUCUGACUUAGAACAGAUCAAUAUCCCGCAUGUUCGGGUUUUCAGCCGAUAUACCACAAAGGCUCAACGAUAGUACUAGAUCUGGAUCCCAGAAAUAGUACUCUGAUUGAAUGGAGGGAGAAGAGAAAUACAACUAAGGUCAGAGAUCCGGUCUCUAUGCCUUAGAGGAUAUGUAACAGUUUAUAAAGAAAUUUAAAUAGACGUAAAAUAAAUUACAAAAUUUAAAACAUACAUGCUUUAUAAAAUUAAAAUAUUAAACUUACAUAUUAUUCUUGCUUGAAUCCAAGAAACCUUUACGUUACAAUAUAGUUUUACAGAAUAGGAAAGAUGAGAAAGUUCGGAGACAGGAAAAUUUCCUCCAAGUCUCUGAUUUCUUUCCAGAGGAGAAUACAAGAAGAAGUAAAAAAGAGAAGUGUCCUCCCCUUCUGCUCGAGGCCUCGAUUUAUAGAAUCAGAAGUGCCUUGGUAGCUGCAUCAGACCACUACUUGGAGAAACGUGCUUGUGGAGACAGCAUCGUCUGCUUUAUCACGUGGAGACAGCAUCUUCUGCUUUAUCACGCGGAGACAACAUCUUUUGCUUUAUCACGUGGAGACAGACAUCUUUUGCUUUAUCACGUGGAGACAGCAUCUUCUGCUUUUUGAAAAGCGUUGACGUGGACCAAAAAGUGAAAAUGAAAAUACAAGGAAAAAUACAUAAAUACAAAUUAUUUACAUAAUACUAAAUGAACAAUACAUAUGAUAAUUACUUUUUUUUUUAAAUGGUAACUUUAAAAGUGCUUUAUGGGAGAAAGAAUCCCGAAACAAUCAUCUUUAUUGUCGUCUCCCAGGGAAAUGAAUGGUUCAGCUUCUUCAUCGGUAGAACCUGCUGCAGAUGGUUCAGAUCUUGAGGCAAGGAGGUGUUCUAUAACUUGAAAAUAUUCGUUUUCAGUCUUUGCACUGGCCAAAAGAGAUUGGGCUUUUGACCGUUGGGCUAAGAAAGUACUCUGGGUUUUAACAUCUUGAAUGCUUGGCGCGAGAAGGCCUUUUGAGGAGAGCCAUUUCUGAACUGUGGCUACAGACAGCUUUGACUGUUCAUCAAACUUUGACCACCAUUUGACUUUAAAGGUUCUUUGUAGAAUGAAUUGGGCUUCCUGUUUGUGGUAUUGGAAAUUCCACAUCCAGACCCAAGGAAGGAAAAAGUUUGUACAGAAACAAAGAAAAGGAGGAAACCUUUUCUCGGACUCUGAAGGAACAUAAUGGGCUUUAAAAAUGUUUAAACAGUGAAUGGCAUUUGGAGUUAAAAUAUCGGGGCAUGGCCCAAAAUAAUUCCACCACUGUUGGAACCAGUUUGGAAGACUCUGAACGGUUAUUUUUGAAUUAAAGAAAAAUAACCAAGAAUGGGUCUUUUUUGGGUUUUGAAUAAAGAAUGUGUUAAAUCAGGCCUGUUGAUAGUCCCAGUAAGAGAAAAAUAAACAGUGGUUUAAACUCCGUUGGAAAUUGGCAGGAAAGGUUUUUAGUUUGUGAAGUUCAUCACCCCACUGUUUUGGACUCAAGACUUGUAAUAUGGUGGCUGUGGAAUAGGCGGGUCUUUAUGGGAUUCACUGAGGAAGAAAUGUUUGAAUUUUACAGACUCAGUGUAUUCCAGAAUGCUUUGGUAGAAAGACUGGGGUUUUGUCAAAUCCCAAGGUUUGAAAAACCAGCCUUUCGGAAAAAUCUUUGAAAUGGCUUGAAAUGGAUCAGAGUGAUAAAAUCCAUCUUCUAUAGAUAAAACAUUUUGAUGAUGGGUUUUAUUAAACCAAUCCGAAGAUUUUUUAGGAAGAUUUUGUUGUGAAACAAUAAUUUGAGAACUGGAACUUUCUCCAGAAAGAACUAUAUUUGAAGAGGAUUUUGAAAUAUCUUUAGAAAUAGUCUUUGAAACAGUUUUUUCUUCUUCAGGAUUUUUAGAAAAAGCUUUAUUUUGAGAAAUGCUUUGAAGAGCUAAUAAGAGUUCAGGAGAAUUGGAAAUGGAGUUCAUCCAUUCUUUUACCUGUACUUCCGAGGCGAUAGCUUUAGAAUGAGCUUCAUGCUCCUCAACCAUAUCAAUCCAAGAUUUAAUAGGCAUGGCUGAGGAUAAAAUUUUGUCUUUAGGAGGAGUUGAUAAAGAUUCUUUAGAAGCGGGUUGAGGUGGAGGGUCUUUGAGGACACCUUUUCCUUUGUCUUUUUUGGGCGGCAUUAUCUGUUUUGAAGAAAUUCCCUAGUUAGAAAGUCAGGGAUAGAAUUUGUAUCUCCUUUAAUAAAGUCAAUAUCAAAGUCAAAAACACUUAAAAUAGUUUGCCAUCGUGCAAAAAUUUGUUUUGAUGCAAUGUUUUGAACACCUUUUUCUAAAACAUGUUUUGCAGCUUUGCAAUCUAUCCUAAGUAAAAAAUUUUGAUUUAAUAAAUCACUUUGAAAUUUGGAUAUGCAUAAAACAAUGGAUAAAAUUUCUUUUUUAAUAGUAGAAUAAUUUUUCUGACAUUCAUUCCAAUGAGCAGAAACAUAUUGAACUAUUUGUUCUUUAGUACCAUUCUUUUGUUUUAAUAUUCCUCCAUAACCUAAAUCUGAAGCAUUGGUUUCAACAAUUUUAGGUAAUACAGGAUUUGCAAGAAACAAACAAGGGAUUUCUUUGACUGUAAGUUUUAUUAAUUUAACAACUUUAGUGUGUUCAUCAGUCCAAACAACAGGGUGUUUCUUUAAUCUAUCAUGCAACGGUUUUGAAAUCCUAUUAAUGUUAGGACAGAAAUCAAGAACAUAAUUCAAACUACCUAAAAAUCUAUGUAGUUGAGUUUUAUCAAGAAUUUUAUCAGGGAAUUUGUCGGCAAAUGCAAGAGAUCUUUCUAUAGGUGUUAUAGUACCUUUAGAAAUAUAAUGACCAAGAAAUCUAAUUUUGGUCUGAAAUAAAGAAACUUUAGAAUUAGAAAUAGCUAAGCCAGCUUUUCUAGUCGCAAACUAGAAAGUCUUUAAAUGUUUGAAAUGUUGAUCAAUAGACUGAGAAAAGAUUAAUACAUCAUCAAUAUAAACAAUGCAAAAUUCUGAAAAAGGAUUAUAAAUAUCAUUCAUUAUCCUUUGAAAUUCGGAAGGUGCAUUUUUUAAUCCGAAUGGCAUUACUGUCCAUUCAUACUGUCCAAAAGGAACAGUAAAAGCAGUUUUGUAUCUAUCUUUAGGAUGGAUUUGAAUUUGCCAAAAUCCUGAUUUCAUAUCAAAUUUUGAGAAAAUGAAAGCAGAGUGCAGUUUUUGGAGUAAAUCUUUUUUAUUAGGUAUGGGAUCCCUAAUCCAUUUUAAUGCUUUAUUAAGAGGUUUGUAAUUAAUAACUAAUCUAGGUGUUCCUCUUUCUAUUUCAGAAUUCUUAUUGACAUAGAAAGCGGCACAAGACCAAGGAGACCUAGAUUUGACAAUGAGUCCUUUAGACUCUAAAUCUUUGAUUUCGUUUUUACAGUGUUGUUCUAAGUCCAUGUUCAUUUGGAUUGGACGAGCUUUAGUGGGAAUUUGUCUUUCAUCAAAGGAAUUUUCAUAAGGCAAAUCAACCAAAUGUUGUUUUCUAUUCCAAAAGGCAGAAGGCAAAUCAGCACAUAUUUCUUUUUCAACUAGGGUUUUAUAUUCAGAAAUUUUUCUCUUUGAAAAAUCAUUUUGCAAUUGGCUUUCAAUUUUUUGUAAAUUCAAGUCUUUUGUAAACAAACCAAGUCAUUUUGUCUAGACUUGAGUAAAAUAUUGAUUUGGUUCUGAUAAACAGAACAUGCUUUUACAAUAUUCAAAUUUCUUGUUUUAGGUUUUUCAAUAAAAGGAAAAAAUAAUUUUUUGUUUUUUGCGUUAAAAGAUAUACUAUCAUAAUUGACAGUAUAAGGAGUAAUAAGGUUAAUGAAAGGAGUUCCUAAAAUAACAGUGUGAUGUAUGUCAUUUGUUAGGACGAAGGAAGUCCUAAAUUCAAAACCAUUAUUAUAAAUUGAGGCAUCAACUUUAGAUUUGACUUUUAACUUCGAGUUAUUGGCGACAGAAAGUCUUUCAUUGGUUUUCUCAUGAAAUCCUUUAGGGACAAUAUCUUCUCUAAUGCAAUUUAAAUCGGCACCUGUAUCAAAAAGGGCAAUUGUGUCAAUCUCAAAAUCUUUAGAAAGAAUUAAGGUGAUUUUAAUCAAAUAUUUUCUAGUGGUGAUCUGUUUUAAAACAAAAAGGAAAUCCUUGGGUAAAGAUUCAAUGUUUUCAAGGUUUUGUCCUUCAUUAUCACCAUCGGAUUCUGAUUCUUUAUUAUAAUUAUCUUGUAAUUGUUUUUGUAACAGAAGUUGGAUGGUUUCAGAAUCACUUUUCUGUUUUUCUUUCAAGUUUUUUAUCUCAAGUUUGAUUUCUUUUAUCUCUUUUUGGAGAUCUUGGAUAUUUGGUAUUGUUUUCUUUAUUUUCUUAUUGUCAAGGAUUUUUGUAAGAUCAUAAGUAUUCUUUUUAAUAGUAGGGGCUUUAGAGGUUUCUGCUUUAUCUCCUAAAUCUAAAGUUUUUAGGAGUUUAUCAAGGUACUCUUUUUGAAGAGUAUGGUCAGAAAUGUGUUUAACUAACUCAAGAAAAGUUUCUUGAUCUUUAGUUAACACAUUAACUUUCUUAAAAUAGGAAUCUGUUUCAGCAUCACUAUUACUAGUUACAGAUGUAUCUGAGUCAAGUAAUUCAUCAAUCUAUAAGGGCUCACUAUCUCCCGUCAUGGAAGAUUUAGAAUCAGAAGAUUCUACAAGUAAAGGGGCAACUUUAGAAAGUGUCUCUUCAUCAAGACCAAGUUCGUGAAGUUUUGUAUUUACUCUACAAAAUUUCUUGGUGUGGCAUUUUCUUCCACAUUUAAAACAUGUGGCUUCUUUGUAAUUGAAAGGAGGUUUUGUUGUGGCCUUAGGAUCCUUUCGUUUAGAGAAGCGAGGCUUCCUAUAAAAUUUCGAAGGUUUUUUAUAGGAAGAUUCCCUAAAAUCCGGAAAAGCUUUUUUACGAUUCUUAGAAUUGUAAUGUUUUUUGUAAGGUUUUGUAGAACAUUUACCAUUACAAUCCCUGGAAGUAGAGGCUUUAAAAGGAUCAUAGUUAAACUGUUUACAGAAACUGCCUAAUUCUUGCUUAGAUUGUCUAAGCUCCCAUUUUAGACGCUUCUGUAAUUUCAUAUCUUGGCAAAUCUUUAAUCCUUCUUUAUUGACAAAACUGACCAAUUCACCAUAGGUGAGUUCAUCAUAUGGAAUACGGUUGUCAUAAAGAGCUUUAAUGGAAUUCCUAACUUUUUCUCCUAAGAGAGUGGGUAAACCAGCAAGGAAUUUUUCUUUCCAAGUAACAUGGUUUGCAUCAUCUCGGAGAAAAAGUCUAGUGAAGAAAGUGGUUUUAUAACUUUGGAAUUCACUAAGUUUCCUACAUCUUAAGUUGUGUAGUAACUCAGCAUUUUUAUCUCUAAGGUGUGAAGGAUCACCUAUGAAGUGUAGAGAAAUAGUAAGGAUCAGGGUAGCUACAGCAUCUUGAAUAGGGCUAUUGAAUUCAUCACAGAUAGGUGCUCCAUUUUCAUCUGUUUAAAUAGCAUUAAGAAUAUCUAAUUGUUGUUGUUUGGUGAGAAGAUGAUCCCACCAGCCUUUAAGUUGACCAGUAAAACCAGCAAUGAGGAUCUCUGCAAUAGCUUUGUCAGAGGUUCCUGACUGGGUUUUAUAAGCAUUAGCUGCCAUGGUCAUCUGUUGCAACAAUCCUAAAAUAUUAUAUUCGGACAUACUAUCAAUGUUCCACUCAUAGACAGAGGAGGCAUUAAAUCGUGAUUGGUUUAAUGCGCUUGGUCUGUUGUCUAUGGCUAAGUCAGGAGGAGAAUUGAUAGUAGGAAGGGCUAAUUCCCAAUGAAUUUUAUUGGCGUUAUGAAUAGGUUCAUUUGUAAAGGCUUCUAUAUCUAAAGAGGCUAUAGACACUUGGUCUUGUUCAAGUACACCAAUUUUGCUAGAUUGGGCACUAUCAGGAGCUAUUUGUAUCUUACUAGAUGCAGAAGAAGAAGCUUCGAUCCUAUCUAGUUGUUCUCUAAUGGCUUUAGCAAAAUCUGAUUUUGACUCAUGGGCAAGCUUUUGACUAGUUUUCGAAACUUGGAAGGGUUUGAAAAUAGGCUCUUUAAGCCUUUUGUCAAUAUCCGAUUUUGAUGAACUAAUAGGGGAAACAACUAUUGUUGACUUUUGGAAUUGGUUUUCUAUUCUAGUCAACUGCUUUCCUAUUGUAUUUAGGUUAGUAUUACAGAAAUUAUUCUGUUGGAUAAUGUUACCUAAAUUAGUCUCUGGAUCAUUAGUUUUAUGGAUUUUAUAAGGUGAGGCUUUAAUUUGGACAGGAGGUUCACCAUGGUCAAUGGUCAGACUCCUAAGAGGUGGAUGCUCAGAUUCUAUAGUUCUGUCACUGUCAGAAAGAUUCCACUCAGUGAUCUUUUUUCUAACUGUGAUCGGGUUAGAUUCUUUAAAAGGAUAUGUAAUGUUAUUAUCAGAAGCAUACAUAGUCAACAGAAUGUAUAGAAGAGCUAGGUAUAUCCGAUGUGGAAAACCUAGGUUGACUUUUUACAGGUUGGAAAGGAAGAUUUAUAACAGAGGGAAGUUUUGAGAAUUUUCUCUCUAAAGAGGCGAUACUAGAACUUGAAUCUUUAUCAGAAAACCUAGAUGAUGUGGACCUUCUAAAAUAUAGUUUGACUUUACCAUCAGAAUAUUGAGUCACAUUUUGUAACACUGUAUUUGGUUCAAGUUGUUUUGGAAUCACUGGUUCAGUGGCUCCUUCAAGAAUCCAUUCUUCUGGAAGAUUGACAUCUUUCCAUUGGAUUGGUUUGGGAACAACAGUGUUGGCUUUAGACAGGUCAGUCUGCAAGAGAAGAGUCUCAUCUCUUUUUGACUGAAAUUUAUGUUGUGUAUUAAACGCAGAAUUCAUGGCUUUGUAUGAAAUUUUGAUAAUUAAGGCAACUGGGACAGAUCCCUCAAUCAUGUGAUAAUUAUGGGUUUUGAUUUGUAAAAUCAUGCUUUUCAAAAUGUUUUUGUCUUUUAAAGAAAUUGUUAUGUUCGGGUAACAGCUAAAUGAGAUGGGACCUUUACAAAGACUUGAUUCUAUACUACUUAAUAAAGAAUCAUCAAAAGAGAUGAAUCGCCCAUCUCUUAGGAUAGCAAGAAUAGAGGUAUUAAGACCUUCUUUAGUUAAGGGUUUUAUGCCAACUUGUAUUAAGCCGAUGUGAACAUAAUUAAAGUUCUUUUCUUUUAGUUUCUUUAAAGAGUGUUAUGAAAACAGGUGAAUUGUUUCAAAUGGCUUUGAAAGGGUUAUGUCACGUUCUUCAGUUUUUAUAACAAAAUCAGUCUUUAAAAAAUCAAGCUUUUUUAUUUUGUAAAUCAUGUCUUUAGAAAUCUUUGGUAAUUCCCAAUUAUCAAUUGCUUUAUUAAAGUCUUCAAUAAAAAAUUCUUCUGAAUUUACAACAUUCUUAGAAUCACUAGUCCUUCCAGAAGAAGAGCUAGAGAAAGAUGAUGCUCUACAGAGUAGAGAAUCCAUAUAAGCUGGAACCUAUAAAUGAUCUAGUUUUACAGGAAUGGAAAAUCAAUCCUAGGCUAAGAGUUGGUUUUACUGCCCUUCAACCAAAUCGGGACUUACGACCAAAUACUACCAAGGCACCCAAAGGUAACACCCUUUACCACUCAAGCAAAAGUUUAAUCACAUACAACUUCAGCCUACACAAAAACUCUAAACGAUAAAACACGACCCCCCUGGCUCUGAUACCAUAAAUCUUGUUUAUGGUAUAUAUAUAUAUAUAUAUAUAUAUAUCUUUUUAAUAUAUUCCAUUACUUUAAUAAUCAAUUUAAAAUAGUUUGUGAUAUUUUCAGCUAUUUACUUAUCUACUUUUAGCUAGUUAUUUACACCGAAUGAAGUGCUAGGGUCCAAAUUUUAGUAUCCUUCUCAGCUGUUUGGGGUUAGUAAAUACUAAUUAGCAUAUUCGUCCCGAACAGCUGUGUAAAUGCUGUUAGAUUUCGGAGAGAUGCUGAGGAUGGUACAAGAUUUAUCAAAUUGUGGCGACAUUUUUAUACCUUUAGAAUUUCAAGAUUUUGAAGAAAUAAAUGGGAUCUGUUUUCCAUAAGUGCUCCACUAUCCACCAGGAGGAAUUCUAAAAUACAUUACAGAUUAGUGAUUUCUCAGAAUAAAUAAACACAUAUUAUAACAUUAUUUACUUAUUGUAUGACUGAUAUGAUAUUUCUGAGAUAUUUUAGAAUUUUUAACGCACCAAAGUUCAUUUUUAGCUUUAAAGGUUUUUAUGUGUGAGCCUCUCAGCAUGUUCCCCAACCUCCUCACGUGAAAAUAUUUCUAUGUACGGUUACAAGCUUUUCCAGAUUGUGAGUAUUCCGAAGCAAUCCAACUUGAAAAACAGCUGGUUCGUAGAAAAUGACAGUUUACGAAGCUGGCCCUGCUGCCAUACAUAUGAUGAUGAAGACCAUUUGGCUUUAUGUCAAUUCCUCCAAGUUGAAAUCUUUCUCGGUCUGGGACACUUCCAACACAUAAAGUACUACUAGGCUAGAUGAUUUUAAAAAAUGUCCAGGUCCUUUAUCAAAUUUCAUUUGCAUUCAAGACCAAUCCCCUUUGAUGAAAAUCAAUAAUUAAAGGCUUUCCAAUGAGAAAUUAUUACGUCUUCAAAUCUCAAAAAACGCCAGAAUAUUAAUUCGCUACAUAUAAUCAAGAUAUCUCAUUGAGACGCAUUAAUAAAAAAUGUCAAAAUGCAUAGAAAGAGCAGACACACGGAUGAUGAAUUUACUCAUCUUUAGUAGUAUUUGAACUUGAGAGACAGAAUGAAGUACAUGUCAAGAAUAUCAUAAAGAUGGAAACCGGAAGUCCUCCGCACAUAAACUUUGAAGAAACUGGAAAACGACUUUANNNNNNNNNNNNNNNNNNNNNNNNNNNNNNNNNNNNNNNNNNNNNNNNNNNNNNNNNNNNNNNNNNNNNNNNNNNNNNNNNNNNNNNNNNNNNNNNNNNNNNNNNNNNNNNNNNNNNNNNNNNNNNNNNNNNNNNNNNNNNNNNNNNNNNNNNNNNNNNNNNNNNNNNNNNNNNNCCAUUUGGAGUCUUGUUUCCACAAUUGCUUCAGAUGAUUAAAUUUGUGCAGAUCUAAAUGUUUUAUCAUUGUAAACUUCCUCACUUGUUUCUUCAAGUAUCCUCCAUUCGAAAAUACCUCUUCGCAUGAACAACGACGCCGUAUGAGAGUUUCCAGAUUAUGAAAUCUCUCAAGUAAAUCAAGUGGAAAACAAGUUGAUUCAUCAUCCACUGUUUGUAGUAGUUUAAGACUGCCAAAGUCAUCCUCGAGUAUUUUCCACUUAAUGCCAGUUCCUUCUAAGUUGGGUAAGCUCUGAUCAUCAUCAAUCACGUAAUAACUUAUUAAGUCAAUUCAUAUUCUCUCAAAUAACUUUUAAUAAUCCAAUCAUACACAGUGACUUUAAUAUAAAUGCAUAAUAUUUUACAAACAAGAAGAAAAAAUCGAAUUAGAGGUAAAAGUUAUUCUACGAUUUUAUUUUUUAUAUAUAUCUUGCAUGCUAUUCCCAAAAGCAAUCCCAAACGGCCUUUAAAGCAAUUUUACAAAAGCGGCCUGCACAUAUAUUGCCAACUUUGUUGGGAAUGGCAAUGGGGAGAGGAGGGGAAGAGACCGAACUCCCCGUACCCAUUCAUGAUAUUCUGCAUAUAUCCUCGUCCUCUCCUCAUUUCUCACAAAAUUGCUUUAGGAAAUCCCCCUCCCCUCCCCAAAUAAUAAUAGGGGAUCCUUGAAGGCCCUCGAUCCUCGAAUAACUGAUACGUUUUUUGUUUUAAAUUUUAAUUUAAUCAUAUUAAAAUAAAAAAUAAAAAUAAAAAUAAAGUUUGACGAUAUAUCUUAUAUUAACAUUAAUCUAUUACAAAAGUCACAUUACAAAGUAUAAAUCACCAUAAUAAUUAUCUUCGGCAAUCUUCAAAAUCAUAUAAUAAAAAAAAGAAAUUACUUUUAUAUCAACAAUGAGAUAAAUGAAAUGAAUAUAGAUACUUAAUCAAUAUUUCUAAUAAAAGUAUUUACCUCUGCGUCUCCUACUCUUCUUGUUCUUCCUCGAGGAAUGUGACAAAUUGAGAGAUAGCCUCAGAUUUCAAAUUUAAAACAAUAAAAAUGAUAUAAGUAAUGUAAAUUCUAAUUAAAAUAAACUCAUACUGCCAUUGUAAGCUUGUGGUCAACUUUGACAACAUAUUAAAGCCUCCAAUGUGCUUGAAUAAAGCGUGUUACGGUACUCUACCACUGGUGCUAAAAGCUAAUUCAGAAGCAACAUUUGUAAUUAGAAUUGCCAAAAUAUCUCUAGGUGCCAAUAUAGGAUAUCUAUAGACAUUUAUUUUACAAAAACUCAAAAUAUUAAAAUCUUUCAUCCUAAGCAUAACUUUCUCAUCCAAAUAUUAAUGUAGUCAAUUAGGCCUAAAUUUUAAUAAUAUAAUUUUUUUAAUUUUUUUAUUUAUACUAAUAUUUAAUAUUUUAUUAUUUAUUUACAAAUAAUUUUAAAAAAAUUAAAAUUAAAUCAAAAAAUUAGAAGGGGAUAGGGAUUCCGCCGCAUCCCCGUUCUUUCUCUGAAUAAGAAAUUGAGUAAAAAAACUAUCUCCGUCCACUUUCCAAAUAAAAAAUUAAGUAAAAAAUUAUGUACCCUCCUGAAUUGGGAAAAUCUCGAGGGUCAUGUCCCCGCGGCAAUAUCUGCCAUUCCUAAACUUGUAACAGCCAGUUGCUUUUGUGACUGUUUAUGUGACGGCUAGACUGCUCUCACUUAUGUUACUAACCACGUGACGGUAGAGAGCCAAUUGGCAUACUAUUUUGACGGUAGAGUUAUAAAUUUGUUUCUAAAUAGAAAACUAUUUGCUGAAGUCAAUAUUUUGAAAACCAAAGUCCCAAAUUCUCUCUCGUGCGUGCCUGGUCAUCCUAAACCUUACUGGUAGCCGGAGAAUGGCGUAAAACGGCAGCGAUCUUCUUCUUCAUCUUAUUCUCUCUCUCAUCGUUUCAGGUAAGCUUGUGAUUAUGAGUUUCUUCUCUUUCUUAGCUUGUAAUUAUAGGUUUUGAUUUCUUUAAUUCGUAUUGUAGCCAUUAAUGUCAAUUUUUGUCCCACCGGCAAUUUUUUUUUGUUCCUAGAAGUUGAAGCCCUUCUGUUCUUGUGCCAUUGGUGAGUUUGCUCACUCAAAUUAAUUUUGUUCUGCGGAGUUUACAAAGUUCAAAUGGAUUCAUUUGGAUUACUAUUGAAUUUAGCUUUAAUUCCAACAUCCAUUCUAAUGUUUUGCUAUUAGAUUUACUUUAAUUUUAUGUUUAAAGCUUCUACAAUGAAUAGCGGAGCUUGGGUUUUAGUUUCAUUUUCUCAUUAACUUCUUUUAGUUUAUCUUAUAUGCUCGCCAAGUGCUUGUUAUAUUGUCUGAUAAGUUAUAUAACAUUGCUGAUUCUAUAUUAGUAAUGUCAUGUUCCAUUUUCGGAAAUUAUAACACAAAAGUUUUUACAAUGGCUUGCAUCUGCAAACUGAAUUGACUUGUAGAGUAAGAGCUUGGAUUAGUGUUAUGUUCUUGAAUAAAUGAAAGUUCAUAUUGUGUAAGAGCAUGUAGAUGUAAAGCAUCACUACCAUUUCUACAAACUGCUUUCAUUUUGUUCAGAUGCUCCUCUUGAACUUUGAAAGGUGCCUCAUUCAAGUCCUAGCUAUAACUACUAGCUCUGAUUGCUUAAGUUCCUGUGCUAGCUGAAACAGAUUUAUUUAAUUAAUUUAUUGUGUAUGUACUAAUUAUAUUGAAAGUAUAUGAAGAAAUUGUUUAACAUGAAUGACUUCUAAAUGACUUAAAAGCCUAAAGGAUAUGUGAAAUAAUGCUCAUUUCACUUGAACGAGCCUAUUAAUACUUGUAUGUCUAUGAUUGUCAAUCUUGCUUAAGUGUUUCAGUUAAGUGGUUUACCAAACAGGGAAAAAAAUUUAAUGGAAAACUUUAGAGUUCUAACAGAAAUAUAGUUGACUGCAGAUAUAGUUAUUUUAUGGUACAUAAAUCAUAUUGUCCUAUUCUCAAUGUCCUACGACCUAUUUUAUUUUAUAUGGUCAUUCAUUUUUGCGAUGGUUUUUUGUGCUUAUGAGUAUGGAAAUAGUGGGAUUUGGUGUGGCAAACAAAAAUAUACAUAUAAUCAAGUUUCUUAAUCAUUGUGCUUAUGAGUAUGGAAAUAGUGGGAUUUGGUGUGGCAAACAAAAAUAUACAUAUAAUCAAGUUUCUUAAUCAUGUAUAUUGGUUUUGGGUAUGAAUGUUUUCCUAUUCUAGUUCUAGGCAAAGUUUCUUCAUUUUGGUCUUCAGAUUUCCAGUAGGUUAAAGUUAAGCAACUAUCAUAACUAGCUAGCUAGUUAUUUGCCUUGCCUUUGUCGCCAUUACUGACGCCAUUUACAUUGCAUGGCAUAAGGAAUAGUAACUAGGUGAUUAUUGGUGAUUCCUUGAGUUUAUUAUUGGCCAAACAAACAUAUUNNNNNNNNNNNNNNNNNNNNNNNNNNNNNNNNNNNNNNNNNNNNNNNNNNNNNNNNNNNNNNNNNNNNNNNNNNNNNNNNNNNNNNNNNNNNNNNNNNNNNNNNNNNNNNNNNNNNNNNNNNNNNNNNNNNNNNNNNNNNNNNNNNNNNNNNNNNNNNNNNNNNNNNNNNNNNNNNNNNNNNNNNNNNNNNNNNNNNNNNNNNNNNNNNNNNNNNNNNNNNNNNNNNNNNNNNNNNNNNNNNNNNNNNNNNNNNNNNNNNNNNNNNNNNNNNNNNNNNNNNNNNNNNNNNNNNNNNNNNNNNNNNNNNNNNNNNNNNNNNNNNNNNNNNNNNNNNNNNNNNNNNNNNNNNNNNNNNNNNNNNNNNNNNNNNNNNNNNNNNNNNNNNNNNNNNNNNNNNNNNNNNNNNNNNNNNNNNNNNNNNNNNNNNNNNNNNNNNNNNNNNNNNNNNNNNNNNNNNNNNNNNNNNNNNNNNNNNNNNNNNNNNNNNNNNNNNNNNNNNNNNNNNNNNNNNNNNNNNNNNNNNNNNNNNNNNNNNNNNNNNNNNNNNNNNNNNNNNNNNNNNNNNNNNNNNNNNNNNNNNNNNNNNNNNNNNNNNNNNNNNNNNNNNNNNNNNNNNNNNNNNNNNNNNNNNNNNNNNNNNNNNNNNNNNNNNNNNNNNNNNNNNNNNNNNNNNNNNNNNNNNNNNNNNNNNNNNNNNNNNNNNNNNNNNNNNNNNNNNNNNNNNNNNNNNNNNNNNNNNNNNNNNNNNNNNNNNNNNNNNNNNNNNNNNNNNNNNNNNNNNNNNNNNNNNNNNNNNNNNNNNNNNNNNNNNNNNNNNNNNNNNNNNNNNNNNNNNNNNNNNNNNNNNNNNNNNNNNNNNNNNNNNNNNNNNNNNNNNNNNNNNNNNNNNNNNNNNNNNNNNNNNNNNNNNNNNNNNNNNNNNNNNNNNNNNNNNNNNNNNNNNNNNNNNNNNNNNNNNNNNNNNNNNNNNNNNNNNNNNNNNNNNNNNNNNNNNNNNNNNNNNNNNNNNNNNNNNNNNNNNNNNNNNNNNNNNNNNNNNNNNNNNNNNNNNNNNNNNNNNNNNNNNNNNNNNNNNNNNNNNNNNNNNNNNNNNNNNNNNNNNNNNNNNNNNNNNNNNNNNNNNNNNNNNNNNNNNNNNNNNNNNNNNNNNNNNNNNNNNNNNNNNNNNNNNNNNNNNNNNNNNNNNNNNNNNNNNNNNNNNNNNNNNNNNNNNNNNNNNNNNNNNNNNNNNNNNNNNNNNNNNNNNNNNNNNNNNNNNNNNNNNNNNNNNNNNNNNNNNNNNNNNNNNNNNNNNNNNNNNNNNNNNNNNNNNNNNNNNNNNNNNNNNNNNNNNNNNNNNNNNNNNNNNNNNNNNNNNNNNNNNNNNNNNNNNNNNNNNNNNNNNNNNNNNNNNNNNNNNNNNNNNNNNNNNNNNNNNNNNNNNNNNNNNNNNNNNNNNNNNNNNNNNNNNNNNNNNNNNNNNNNNNNNNNNNNNNNNNNNNNNNNNNNNNNNNNNNNNNNNNNNNNNNNNNNNNNNNNNNNNNNNNNNNNNNNNNNNNNNNNNNNNNNNNNNNNNNNNNNNNNNNNNNNNNNNNNNNNNNNNNNNNNNNNNNNNNNNNNNNNNNNNNNNNNNNNNNNNNNNNNNNNNNNNNNNNNNNNNNNNNNNNNNNNNNNNNNNNNNNNNNNNNNNNNNNNNNNNNNNNNNNNNNNNNNNNNNNNNNNNNNNNNNNNNNNNNNNNNNNNNNNNNNNNNNNNNNNNNNNNNNNNNNNNNNNNNNNNNNNNNNNNNNNNNNNNNNNNNNNNNNNNNNNNNNNNNNNNNNNNNNNNNNNNNNNNNNNNNNNNNNNNNNNNNNNNNNNNNNNNNNNNNNNNNNNNNNNNNNNNNNNNNNNNNNNNNNNNNNNNNNNNNNNNNNNNNNNNNNNNNNNNNNNNNNNNNNNNNNNNNNNNNNNNNNNNNNNNNNNNNNNNNNNNNNNNNNNNNNNNNNNNNNNNNNNNNNNNNNNNNNNNNNNNNNNNNNNNNNNNNNNNNNNNNNNNNNNNNNNNNNNNNNNNNNNNNNNNNNNNNNNNNNNNNNNNNNNNNNNNNNNNNNNNNNNNNNNNNNNNNNNNNNNNNNNNNNNNNNNNNNNNNNNNNNNNNNNNNNNNNNNNNNNNNNNNNNNNNNNNNNNNNNNNNNNNNNNNNNNNNNNNNNNNNNNNNNNNNNNNNNNNNNNNNNNNNNNNNNNNNNNNNNNNNNNNNNNNNNNNNNNNNNNNNNNNNNNNNNNNNNNNNNNNNNNNNNNNNNNNNNNNNNNNNNNNNNNNNNNNNNNNNNNNNNNNNNNNNNNNNNNNNNNNNNNNNNNNNNNNNNNNNNNNNNNNNNNNNNNNNNNNNNNNNNNNNNNNNNNNNNNNNNNNNNNNNNNNNNNNNNNNNNNNNNNNNNNNNNNNNNNNNNNNNNNNNNNNNNNNNNNNNNNNNNNNNNNNNNNNNNNNNNNNNNNNNNNNNNNNNNNNNNNNNNNNNNNNNNNNNNNNNNNNNNNNNNNNNNNNNNNNNNNNNNNNNNNNNNNNNNNNNNNNNNNNNNNNNNNNNNNNNNNNNNNNNNNNNNNNNNNNNNNNNNNNNNNNNNNNNNNNNNNNNNNNNNNNNNNNNNNNNNNNNNNCCCCCCCCCCCCACCACCAAAAAAAAAAACAAAACAAAUAGGAAGACUUUGCAAGAUUCACAACCAGGUUACAUUUAAUUUAUUAAUUGUGUGUACGUACUAGUUAUUUGUUGAUAGAAUAGGAAGAAGUAUUUUAAUAUGAAUGACUUAAAACUUAUUGCUCAGUAAACAUAAUGUGCAUCAGUGCUAGAAAAUGUAUUUAUUGUUUGUAAUUUUUUAUGGUUUUGCUUAAGAAAUGAAAUGUGAAAAAAUGCUACAUUGUAUUAGGAAUAAAAUGAAGAGAUUUAUGAUUUUUAUGUGUUAUUCAAGUUUCAGAUUCAAUUUUAAACUUUUGAUACAUGCAUUGAAAGCUUAAACUCCUUUAAGAAAUUAUUAAUAGACACAUGUUUUAUUAGUGUCAUCUUCUGGAUGAUAGUGAGGAUCUUAUGUCUAUUAAUAAUUCUUGAAUUAUCUAGGCUUGGACAGUUUGGUAAUGCAUAGUUUUCUAUGUUAGCUAGUGCCUGAAAUUUUUUUCCCACGUAAAAAUGGGGUUUUCAGCAGCUGCUCCUCAUGUUCUCUGGGUGCAUACUAGACAAAUGGGUGUCAUGUGUUGUUUUGGCAUAACACAUAAACACUCAUAUAUCUAUGUCGUGUACUUGAAGAACUAUAGGGAGAUGCUUCCGAAGUUUCUAUAAACGUAGAGGAAAACUUUAGAUACUUAAGAUUGAAGAAACUUAUGCAUUCUUGAGUGGGAUAUAUAGGACCACUUACCUUUUGUAAAUAUGAAGGGAAUGUUGGAUAUAUUGAUGGGAGUGGAGGAGCUGAGUGGGAUGAAUGUAAUCGGUUAUGAUUUUGCUGAGUCGACUUGGUUUUGAGUCUUGUAAUUUUUUUUAUAAAUGGAGUACUAUCUCCAAUGUUGGUUUAUAAAUAUGUUUCAGCUGGCUGACCUAAUUUUUUGUUUCUAGGUAACAGGCUUUAUAUAUCUGUAAUUGAUAGCCAAGUGAAGUUCUCAGCAGUGGGUGAGGAUAUUUCUUUACAGAAGGUAUUGCAAACUGUUUUUUAGAUUAAUUAUUAUUGUAUAUAUACUUUAAUUUUCACAUCUUUUUCUCUGAUUCUUGUGGCUUUGCUUGCUUCCAUAUAUAUAAAACCAUAAAAUUGUAUAAUAAUUUUUUUUAUUAUAUUGCGAAACUGCGCACACAUGAAAAUAUCUUGUUUAGUAGUAGAAAUGAAGAAUUAAAGUGAUUUAUUUAACUAAUUUUUCUAGUGCAAUAAAAGGAGAUAGUCAUGGACCAGAGUUGGGUUGGUUUGCCAAAUAGAUAUCCAAUUCAUAUACUGAUGGGGGUCAAAAAAUUUAUAGAUUUUGCAUUUGAGAAUGUUGUUGGUGAUAAAAGAAUUUAUUGUCCUUCUAAGAGGUGUUGUAAUAUCGAUAUUUCAUUAUAAGGAAAGUGGCAAGAGACCAUAUCAUUAUAAAUGGCUAUUGGUUAAAGUAUUAAAACUGGAUAUUGGAGGGUGAGCCAUCUUCAUCUUUGAAAUCUAACUAAGAAACAGGUUAGUCAUGACUCGGGUAGUGAUGCUAGUAUGGUUGGAAUGAUGCAUAAUGCAUCACGUAAUCAAAUGUUCAAGUCACACGCAGCAUUGUUAUGGACUAUCUCCGACUUUCUAGCAUAUGCCAACUUGUUUGGGUGGAGUAUUAAAGGUAAAUAAGCAUUUCUUGUUUGCCAACAAAACACUAGAUCUAAUUGGUUGAUACAUAGUAGAAAAUUGUCACGUGGGUCACUGUCGAUUUUUACCAACAAAUCAUAGGUUCCGAAAAUAUAGUGCCAUCUGAUAAAACUGGAGAGUGGGGACAAGCACCUUCUCGGUUGUCUGGAGCUGAGGUGAAAAAGCAGUUCAAUAAUGUACUUACUGAGUAUAAGAUUGAAGAUUUGAAAAGAGGAGAAUGAAUAAAAUGAAAGAAAUGAUAAGAUUACUUGGAAGAAGAAAAGCAUUUUUAAUGAACUAACGUAUUGGGAGUUCAAUUUGAUUCAUCAUAAUCUUGAUGUCAUACACCGUUUUUAUUUUUGUUAUGAACUCAGAUCAAAAGUUUAAUGUGAUCAAAAUUUCUUAAAAAUAGUGAAAAAGACUCCUAAUAAUAUGGAAGAUGGCUAUAAAAGAUAAUUUCUUAAAAGUUUAAUGUGAUCAAAAUUGCUUGUGAACGCAAGGGUUUUAGUUACACUGUCAACGCUGUCAAUGUAGUGAUACAAUGAAGAUGAAGUAAAGCAUUAGUAGAAUAAUGAAGUUGACCAGUAACACAGUAAAGCAUAUUUUAUUCCAGAGCAUGAAAACUUUUAAACAGUAACACAGCUCUUAUUCCAGAGGCUGCACACGAGUGACCUGAAUCUUCUUCAGAACUUUCAAAUUUUAUCAAGCAAAGAUUUCAAAAUCCUUGCCUUCCUAAGUUGGGAAAAAUAGAUGUGGAGCAAACCAAAUGAAAUAAAUGGGUAAACAGAACAAGCAGGGCAAAAAUUAAAAAUGAUAGCAAUUAACAAAUUAAUAGCAAUGUUACAUUUGACUCUUUAGCCCUUUGUUCCUUCUCUUAGCAUUCUUCAAAGUUUUUGAAAAUAGGAUGUGAAGCAAACAAAAUAAAAUAAAUUUAGACAACACAUGCCCUGUAUUCAGCAUCAUAUAUAUCUCGAAUAUCUAACAUAAUAAAUUUCACAUCUAAAAUACUAGAAUUUCAAACAGUACUAGUAGUGAAAAAAUGAUGACAACAACAAAAAUAGAAAAUUACAAGACUGCUGAUAAAAUUUCAUUUGCAUGCAUGUCUGACAAAAUUUCCGUGAUUUAAUGUGCUUUCAUGAACGCAAGUCCUAACGUUUCUGUGAUCACAAAAUGAAACUGAAGAUAAAACAGAACAACUACCAAACCUUUCAAGCUUGACGAAGCCAUGAGAAUUGAUAGCUCAGGCUCUGAUACCAAGUAAAAGUUUCUAAUCUGUUUGGUAAGUAAGAAAAUGAGAGAAAAUGAAAGAAAGAACAGAGAUCAUCUAAGAGCUGGAUUUGAUAAGUAAAUAUGAAUCAUCCAUUCAUUAGCUGAUUGCAAAUGUAUUUAUACAAGUGAUGGUUGUCGAAGCCAACAAAAAUAAAUUCCUACUAUAAAUAAAUUGUGUAUAGUGAUUGAGCAGGGUCGUGUCCACAGAGAUCGGUAAUUAUUUAAAUCCUUUUGAAACGUAAAACGUAAAAUGGGGGAAUUGUUGACAAUAAUAAAAAUCAAAUUAAAAUAACAAGAAUACAAAUUAAAGUUGUAAUUCAAAUUGGAGAAAGCUCUGGUUGAAGGAAUUAACUCAGCUUGAUUCGACUACUGAUCAUUGAUUCAAAUAUAGAUUAUUAUUACUUAUGAAUAGACCGGUUAUAGCUACUGAGACCCUCUAAUAGCCAAUCUCUCCUUAACUAGUCGAUAACCAAGGUAUGACCGUUGGUUAUUUCCCUAAUCAAUAGACAACCCUAGAUACGAUCAUAGGAUUUAAUCAAUUGACAACCUGAAAGACCAGAGAGACCCAAAUCCUAAUCAACACAUACGAUGAUUCAUUUAAAUUAGAUUGUUUAUUCUCAUAACACAACUCACUGCUAUGUUAUUCGUCACAAACAUUAAAAGCUUCAUACGAUGAAUCCUUUAAUUAACAAUAGAUUAAGUUGAUAAUUAAAUAGUGGCCAAUUACCUAAUUAACAAACAUAAUCAUGAAAAUAAUUCAGAGAAUAAACAAAUACCCAAAAAGUAAUAAAACAAUUAAAGUAUAAAAUAGAUCUCACAGUAGUGAUGAAUCAAAACUUCAUUAUCCUUCAACCAGAAAAAUAAGUUUAGUUCUUCAUAGAGAGAAGAGAAAAGUUUAGAUCUAGGGUUUCUCUCUUUUUCUCCAAUCCCCAUUUUUCACAAUAGAUUCCUCCCUUAAAUACUCUCUCUCUCUUCUCUUUUAGAAUUCUAUUUAAAAUAAAAUACUAAUAUCUGAAAUAUUAAAUUCGUAAUUACAAAAAUAACCAAAAAUACAAAACACGUUAAACUAAAAACUGCAGGUCCGCAGUUGACAGCACGUGCCCACGCCUUAUCAACAAAGUUCUUCUGACGCUCAUAAUUUCUCCAAGAGAACAAUCAUCCUUAAACAUCAUCUUGUAACUCAAUUUUAUCACCAAUCAAUAGAAUUGCACCUACAAAAGUAAAACACAAGUAAAUCACUAUUAUUAAGUGCAAAACAUCGAUAUUAAGGGAAGUAAACAAUGCAAAACUAGUGCAUAAAUUGCACUCUAACAACAAGGUUCCUGAACAUUUCAGAUUCUAUAUGCUCGAGCUAAGCACCUGAGAGUUGAGCAGUGUGCACUAACAAACUGCUAACAAAAUAACUAACUCAUGCCAGCUCAGCUAACACGUCAGUAACUCUAACUAUCUUGCUUAACAAACUGAAACAAUAACUAACCAUUUUAACUAUCUUAACAAUCCCAAUAAUUUCUCCAUUUGUGUACUUUUUUGAAUCAUAAUCAAAUGGAUAAAUGUUGCAACUAUUUUUUUAGAUAUUUUCACUUUAGGAUGUCAGCCCGAGGAAGUACGGGGGUCUGAGUUAUUCAACUGAAAAUGUCGGCCAAGUUCUUGCCAUCUCAAGUGCAAAACUGAAAAUGUUACUCGUUCUUCUUAACUUGUUUUCUCAUGCAUCAACCCCACAAAACUGCUCAUUGAAGGGGUAAAAUUUUGAACACACCAUGUGGCAUUUAGACCAUUUGAUAGUUUGUUUCAAACAUAUUUGUUUAUAAAAUACUUUUCUUCAUGGAUUUGGUUACGUAAUUGUCUAUGUAUGUACAGGUUUUAUCGAUACCUCUUUUGACAAGUUACAUAGCAAUGUUAUCUGGGUUCAGCCGUGCCUUAUUGAUAAACUGUGCUUCUGUAAUGAAGAAUGUUUUAUCUGUAAGUGGAUAUCCUAAUCGUUGAUCCAUAUCCAUAAGCAAGUAUGUAUAAAAUUAUUUUAUGUCUUUUUUAUUAGAAAUGUUGUAAUUCUUUUUUACUCUUCCUGAAUUAUAACAGCAGGUGUCUAUAAUAACUGGAUUGUUCCUUCUGCAAAACAGAGCAGUGGUAAAUAUUUUUUUCUUUUGUUUGUCUAGUACAUUUCCAUGAUUUCAGCUUUUUCAAAUUUUGUAUGUGUCAAAGUUUAAAUUUAAUUUGUUGGUUUAUGGCAACAACAGGAACAGAAUCAAAGAGGAGCUGCCAAUGGACUGCUAUGACUGUAGAGUCGCUUACCAAAACUGCUGGUUCAGCUGUAGGAGGUGCUAUGUAGGCGUCCUAUUGAUUUUGUAAAAUUAUAUGUAAAUGAUGUCAUAAUUUUUAUUGUCUCCCCCACCCCCUCUCCCCAAAAAAAAAAAAAAAUUAAAAAAUUAAAAACUAAGGCAUGAUUAAAUUGAUCAUUUGUUUGGUAACAACUUGAUUAAUCGGGUUCUGGCAGAUUUUCUUGGUCACAAAAGCGUCAAGAUGCUGGUUUCCUCCCAGGUAUGAUGAUUUACUAAUGAAAUUUAUCACUAGUAUGUGAAUUACUUGGUGCUAAUUAACUUAAUCAGCUGCUUAAAUUAAAGUGCAGGUAACCUUAUUUUUUUUUUCUUUUUACAAUAAUACUCUUGGAAUAAUAUUUCUGGGAAUAUUAAUGAAAAAUGGUAAUUCAUCCAGCCAGCCUUAAACAAAAUAAAUAUUAAUAAAAACUUUUAUGUUAUUAUUUUAGUUUUAGGACUAAUUUCGUAAAUUAAAUUUUUUAUGCAUUUAUUAGUAAGACUGCUUUAAGAAUAUUAAACAUUACUUUAAGUUGGCUGAUAUUAAUUUAUUUAUAAAUAAUUAUUAGCAAGAUUGUUGUAAAAGUACAAAAAAUACUAGUUAUUUCAUAUUGAUAUUUAUUGAUUAAUUUGGCAAUUAACUUUUUUAUAAAUAAAUUAAUUAAUUUAAGAAUAUUAUUGCCAAGAAAUUAUUGUAAAAGUAAAUAAAAUUUAAGGAAAAAAUGCAACAUAUUUAAUAUCAAGGUAUAUUGAGGUAUUUUUCAAAAUAUAAAGACAAAACAAGCACUGAAAUUAAAAUACAGAUACCAAACAAGCAUUUUCUCUCUUAGAAAAUUUUAUAUUUUAUUAAUGAAAGUCUAAAUAACAAAAUUAGGGUUUUGGACUCCUUUUAAACUAAGCCUAAAUAUCACGAAUUUACCAAUAUAGUAAACCUAAAAUAUUACUGCAUAAUAACAUUCUCCUAACUGAAAUAAGAUAAAUACUACUUCAAUUCUAUAUCUAAAUGAAAAAAAGAUAAAAAUCUUGAAAACAAUAGGAAAAUAGAACUUAAACUUGUAAACUAAUAUGAAAUAAAUAGAAUUCUCAAUCGAACCACGAGGCUAAUGCGGUGCUACAGUAUUAGAUUAGAUUUCCCUCAUUGCUAACUUCGAAAUGGUAUAUUAUACACCCUAUAUAGGUACUUAUAGCUAAGGGUGGGCAUGUGUUGGUUUGGGUUAGGUUUUAAGUCAAUCCAAACCAAACCAUAAAAUUUUGGGUUCAACCCAAAUUAACCCAAAUAUUUUUAACCCAACCCAAACCAACCCAUUUGGGUUUGGUUUGAAUUUUAUAAUUAAAAUAUUUUUUAUUUUAAUAAAUUUAACUAUAUCAAAUUAUAAUACUUAUUAAUUAAUAUUAAUUAUUAAAUUAAUAUUAAAAUACGAAAAAAUGUAGUGGAUAAAAAUUAUGAAUAAUGGAUUUUACAAUAACUUUGUUCUUAAAUAUUAACCAUAUUACAACAUAAAUUCUACCAAUGUCAAUACAAAUUAAAGUAAGAUAAGAUAUCUCAACUCAAGUAUCAAAGCAAUCCAUCAAAAUUAAAUUAUUUAAUUUUAUAAAUUUAAAUCUUCCGAGAAAUAAAUCUAAAAUUUAUUGUAAUUAGAAAAAAUGCCAAAAUUUUAAAUGCAGUAAGAAAAAUUAGACAUGAAAUCUAAUUAGGUUUAAAUUUAAUUAAAAAAUAACAAUAGAAUCAUAUUUUAUUUGAUAAAAUCUUAUAAUCAAUUACAUUUUUAAUUUUAGUAAGUUACAAUACAAAUAGGAUUAUAAAAUUAUAUUAGAGGAUUUCAUAAAAAUAUUGUUUGAGUAAUUUAUUAAAAUGUUAAUUUAGUCUUUUAACUCAAGUUGAGACCGUAAAAAAUUGUUAUAUAAUAGUGUAUUGUACAACCAAUUGCAUAUGUAUUUGCCCUAUGCAGCACUUCUAUUAUUAUUAUAUAAUAAUAAUUAGUAGUAGUAUAAUUACUAUAUAAUAAUAAUUAUUAGUAGUAUAAUUAUUAUAUAAUAAUAAUUUUAAUAAAAAAUUAUUAUUAAAAUAUUGAUUUAUCCUUUUAUUUUGUUUAAUUUAUUUUUCAUUAAUAUGUUAUUUUGAAUUUGUUCAUGACCCAUGGGUAAACCAUACCCAAGCCAUUGUAAAAUAAUUUCUUUCAUAAAAAUCCAAAUUUAACUCAUUUCAUGAUUUAUCCAACCCAAACCAUUUUAUUUGGUUUGGGUUUGGGUAAACCCAUGGGUUGUGGGUUUAUGCCCACCCCUACUUAUAGCUCAAGUUAUUACCUUAGAGAGAUACCCUACGCAUCCUACACAACCAUCCACUGCAUCAAAGUCGUUCCAAAACAGUAGUUCACAGUUGGUACUGCACAUGAUACUUGUUUCUCCUUUUGCAUCUACUUUUGUUGUUAACAUUAAUUUCAAUAGCAGCUCAUUAUGUAUGCAACAUUUCAAAAUUAAUCCAAAAAAACAAAAAUUAGUUCAGCUGACCAAAUUUGAAAGCAUGGAUUUGCUGUCGAUUAAAAAUCGUUUUGUAGGGAAAAUUUUUGGAUUGCAAUUCUCAUACAAUACAUAGAAUUAUCAUAAUCUAUAAAUUGUAUUUUUGCUUUUCUACGGUAGUAAGUCAAGAAUCCUACUUGUAUUUUUGCUUUUCUACGGUAGUAAGUCAAGAAUCCUUAGUGACAAUUUAAAUUGAAAAAAUAAAAUCAUAAAUAAGAAUUAUUUGAUAAGAAUUAAAAUAAUUGAUAAAUAUUUGAGAGGAGCAAUUUUGGAAGACUCGAUUUCUAAUAGGAGGGGAAUUUGAAUUUUACAACCUUCCGUGAGGAAUCCAAAAUGCACAAUUUGAUGAAAAUUAAAUUUCAAUAGAAAUUGAAUUCCCAUACAUUAGUGAAAACCAAACAACAGAAAAGUGAAAGGAAUUUGAAUUCAUUUCCUUCCCGUCUCAUCCCUCCAACUAAAUACCAUCGAUACCCAAAGGUAUGUGAUUGGGAUUCCAUACUGAUCAGAAUGGGAUUUGUCCAUAUUAUUAGGACCAAUUUUAAAAGCAGUCGGAGUUUAAAAUUGAAAUUAAUCCCAAUUUUUUAUUUGGGACUAGAUAAGAAUUUAUAUUGGAACUCCAAUUCUCCCAAUUAUUUUAGUUGAUAAUAUGUUUAACAUUAUUAAUUGCAUAUUAUUUAAUUAUCAGUAUAUAAUAUUCUUUAAUUUUCCAAUUUUAUAGGAUUAGACACAAAAUUGAUUAUGCCUUCUGAAAUUUAAGGGUUAUGUCAAUUGAACAGAAAACUUGGAGUUGAACUUUUGGAUGUUUUUGUUGAUUAUCAAUUUAUGCAUGAAUUUUUGUACGUUUACUUUGGUUUAUUAUUGUUACUUUUAGACAUUUUUAUUGGUUUGAUUUAGGGUCAUUUUGGUAAUCUUGUAAUUUUUAAAAUAGUUACAGUUAGCUAUGCUAUAGAAAUUGAUAAAUCGUGAAGAGAAUCAGCUGAACAUUUAGUAAAAUUUAUUUUUAAAAGUACUUUAGUUUUAAAAGCAGUUGUAUGUGUUUCGUAAAUCUUAUUUUUAAACAGGUGCAAGAAUAUAAAUAACUAAAUUGGACAUAAUGCUAAAUAAAAUUUAUUUACACAUUUACAAACAUGUAUAUAAAAUAUUUUUAUUAUGUACAUAUAAUUAUUGAUAACUAAAAUAAAUAUUUUAUAUUAUUAAAUUUUAUUCUUUAUUUUGUUAUCUCAAUAUAAUUGGUAAUAAUAAUAAUCUCUUAAAGUUAAUGAUUUUAUUUCUUAAUUAAUAAAGAUAAUUCUGGAUUUUUAUUAUAGAAUGAGGAUAUAUAUAUAUAUAUAUAUAUAUAUAUAUAUAUAUAUAGAAUUGGAUUAAGUAUAAAAGUGAUUUUCAAAAUCAAAUUUUGAAAAACUAUUCCUUCCAUACUUCUCAAAAUCCUCUGUAUGAUGAGAUGAUUUUUCCAAAAGUAAUUGCUAAAAAAUUAUAAAACACUAAAAAUUAGGUUUUAGUUUUUAAAAUCACUUUUGAGCUUCCCAAAAACAAGCCUAACGGGCCUUUAUUUGGGUGGUGUAGGAACUUAUAACUUUUGGAUCAUUUAGUUUUUAUUGGUUUGAUACAAUUGUUACACUAAAAAUUGAAUGUAUCUUAAACCCCAAACUUCUUCUUCUUCUUUUUUGAUUGCACAAAAUUAAAAACAAUAGUGAACGCAUUCUUUAAUAAACAAUAAGUAAUUACUAAAAUUGUGUUAAAGAAUUUAGUUGAAACAUAAAUUGAUUUCAAUGUUGUAUAUGCUAAAUUUCUUAAAAAUUUUCUUUCACGGUCUGCUGAAUAGUUUUAUUAGUAUUUUUAUUAUAUAAAAAUAAUUGAUUUAAUUUUUUAAAGAAAUUUAUUAGGUUCAUGUAAAUACGUUUUUGUUAUUUAAAAAGUGUACAAAGUAAAACUUAAUUUUUUAAAUUUAUUAGAUGAGUGGAUAAAAUAAUUGAGUGUUCAUAGUAAAUUUUAAGUAUAGAUAGUCAGACCCUAAUAUUUUUAAUAUAUGGAAAAUUUGAAAAUAUGUUAAUGAGAAUUAAAAUGAUAAUUAAGGGAGGCAUUCGAGACAUUCAGGAUUGUUAGGAUAGGACAUGAUUGUGAGCGGUUUGAGAUUGGCCCUAAUUUUGAUCACAAAUAUAUAAGCAGGAUGUUUAUCCAUACUUACAUUCCAUUUGAUAAUUAAGAUGAGAGUGGAAUUGUCAAAUCCCAAAUUAUCCCGGACCAUUGCCACCAAAGGUACUCUCACUAAUAAUAUCUAAAGAAAAAUCUACAUCUAUUUCAUACUUUUUUUUUAAACGGAAAGAGCCCUUAUGGGGCUUGAAAUAGUAUCCUAAAUAAUAUUCAGAAUAUCAGGCCAUGACUGGGUUUGUAACAAACAAAUAUUACAUAGUUGGGAUACGUAGUUACUAGUGUCCCAAUUUAUGUAGUAUCUAUCAUUUAGUACACAUAUAAAGUGUUUGGGACAUGAAAUAGGGUGACCAAGAUAAGGUGUUUGCUCAUACAAUAUCGUGCUCUUCUCAAAGUAAAAAGUGAAAAAAUAGUUGAUAGGCUACUAGGAGUUUAUUUGGUCACCUCGAGCACAUCAUCUCGACCAGGAUAUUAUUUGGUGAUCUCGAGCACAUCAUCUUGACUAAGAGAUUAUUUGGUCACCUUGAGUAUAUCACCUCGACCAGGAGAUUAUUUGGUGACCUCGAGUAGAUCAUCUUGAUCAGGAGGUUACCAGGAAGCACGACUCAGUCAAAACAAAUCUCACUUAUUUUCUUCGAAAUAUUAGGGAUCAUAUUCUUAGUGGGCUGAAAAUUAGUGAUUUUCUUAAGAGUUUUAGGUGAGAGGAUAAAAACCGCUAUAAUUUGCUAUAAAAACCCUGGGAAGGGAGGGAAAUAGGGAGAUUCUUUUUAUCUCUCUCUCUUUGGGUGACUGAACCCAUGGGAUCUUUUUCUCUCUACCACUGGGAAACUUCUCUUUCUCUCAUGAUUUAUUUUUCUUUAAGAUUGGUUAUUUUUUAUUCUUUUCCCAUAAAUUUACUUAAAAGCUUUUUGUUUAAAGUAUUCAUAAUUAAGCCGCGUGAAUUGUGGUACAAAUUUUUCCAAGUAGACCUAAAUCGCUGACUUGAGCGUCGGAGGAUUUUCUUUAAGAUUGAUUAUUGUUUCCAUAAAUUUGAACCAAGAAGGAUGACGCGAUAAAAUUUGUUUUUUAUUGUAUGGUUGAUUUCAUAUCUCAUGCACUCAUUUCUUAAGAUAAUUAGAUUUCAUCUUUUGCAAAUGUGGAAAUAUCAAUAAUGAUCAAUCAAAACGAUCUCAAAACCUUUCAACGCGACAUAUUUAUAAUACAAUAUUGUGAAAAUUACACCAAAAAUUUAAUUUAUGAUAUAUUAUUAUCCCACCAGCACACAGAAAUGAAUUCGUACAAAUCUAAAAUACUUAGCAAUUUUCAAAUAGAAUUUUAAAUUUAUUUCCAGUUAGAAAACUAUUCGCUGGACUCCGUAUUACUAGCCACCAUCGUAAGCCUAACCGGUUGCCGGCGAACGGCGUAAAACACCAGCCAUCUUCUUCUUCAUCAUAUUCUCCUUUCAUCUUUUGAGUUAAGCCUGUGAUUAUGAGUUUCUUCUCUUACUUAGCUUGUAAUUAUAGAUUUUGAUUCUUUUUAAUUCGUAUUGUAGCCGUUAUUGUCAAUUUUUGUCCCGCCAGCAAUAUUUUUUUAUUCCUACAAGUUGAAAAUGGAUUCAUUUGAAUUACGAUUGAAUUUAGCUUUAAUUUCAAUAUCCAUUCUAAUGUUUUGCUAUUAGAUUUACUUUAAUUUUAUGUUUAAAGCUUCUACAAUGACUAGCGGAGCUUGGGUUUUAGUUUCAUUUUCUGUAACUUGUUUUAGUUUAUCUUGUAUGCUCACCAAGUGCUUGUUAUAUUGUCUGAUAAUUUAUAUACAUUGCUGAUUCUAUAUUAAUAAUGUUAUGUUCUAUUUUCAGAAAUUAUAAUACAAAAUUUUUUACAAUGGCGUGCAUCUACAAACUGGAUUGACUCGUAGAAUAAGAGCUUGGAGUAGUGUUAUGUUCUUGAAUAAAUGAAAGUUCAUAUUGUGUAAGAGCAUGUAGAUGUAAAGCAUCAUUACCAUUUCUAUAAAGGACUUUCAUUCUGUUCAGAUGCUCUUCUUGAACAUUGAAAGGUGCCUCGUUCAAGUCCUAGCUAUAACUACUAGCUUUGAUUAAUUAAGUUCCUAUACUAGCUGAAACAGAUUUAUUUAAUUAAUUAAUUGUGUAUGUACUGAUUAUAUUGAAAGUAUAUGAAUUUUUUUUUUUUAACAUGAAUGACUUAAAAACCUAAAGGAUAUGUGAAAUUAUGCUCAUUUCACCUGAAUGAGCCUAUUAAUACUUUUAUGUCUAUGAUUCUCAAUAUUGGCUUAAGCAUUUCAGUUCAGUGGUUUACCUAACAGAGAAAAAAAUUUAAUAGAAAACUUCAGAGUUCUAACAGAAAUAUAGUUCACUAUGCAGAUAUAGUUAUUUUAUUUUAUAUAGUCAUUAAUUUUUGCCAUGGUUUUUUGUGUUUAUGAGUUUGAAAUAGUGGGAUUUGGUGUACCUUAGCAUCUUUUGAAAAUUCUCUUUAAGUGUGGCCAACAGAAAUAUACAUAUAAUCAAGUUUCUUAAUCCUGUAUAUUAGUUUUGGGUAUGAAUGUUCCUAUUCUAGUUCUAGGCAAAGCUUCUUUGUUUUGGUCUUCAGAUUUCCAGUAGGUUAAGUUAAUCAACUAUCAUAACUGGCUAGCUAGUUAUUGUCUGCCCUGGCGCCAUUACCCAGGCCAUUAUAUUGCAUAGCAUAAGGAAUAGUGAUUAGGUGAUUAUUAGUGAUUUGUUGAGCUUAUUAUUGACCAAACAAAUGUAUUCGCCUUUGGCCACAACUUAGUUUGAUUAGUUAUUAGACCAUAAAGAGCCUUGAUCUAUUCAUUGGCUUUAUUAUUUUUAUUUGGUUUUUCUUUCAACAACAUUGUUGAUAUCUUAUAAAAAUAUUCAGUGGUUUUUAAACACCUAAUCAUUGGCUAUAUUAAGCUAAUUAAAACUGAGGCUUUGGAUCAAUUUCUUCUAACAAGAUACAAAUGAGCAAAACCUUUCUCCUCUAAGUAAAUUUUUUUAAUAUCCCUUGAAUUGUAAGGAUCUGGAGGCGUGAAUCCUCUUGAUUUUUUUUAACACUGUCAAUGUUCUUUUUAUUCUGAGAAGGAAAUAAAAGGUUUUAUCUUUCAUACCCGAAUAGUAAGCUGGCCUUGUCUUAACAUGGCCUCCCGAGGACUUGCAAGAUUCAUAGUGUCCCCCACCCCAAAAAAAAUAUAAAAAACACAAAUAGGAAGAUUUUGCAAGAUUCACCACCAGGUUUUUUUUAAUUUAUUAAUUGUGUGUACGUGCUAGUUAUAUGUUGAAAGAAUAGGAAGAAGUAUUUCAACAUGAAUGACUUAAAACUUAUUGCUCAGUAAACAUAAUCUGCAUCAGUGCGAAAAUGUAUUUAUCGUUUGUAUUUUUUAUGGUUUUGCUAAAGAAAUGAUAUGUGAAAUAAUGCUACAUUGCAUCAGGAAUAAAUUGAAGAGACUUAUGAUAUUUAUGUGUUAUUCAAAUUUCAGAUUCAAUUUUAAACUUUUGAUACGUGCAUUGAAAGCUUAGACUUGUUUAAGAAAUUAUUAAUAGACACAUGUUUUAUUAGUGUCAUCUUUGGAUGAUAGUGAGGAUCAUAUGUCUAUUAAUAAUUCUUGAAUUGUCCAGGCUUGGACAGUUUGGGAAUGCAUAGUUCACUCUGGUAGUUAGUAGCUGAAGUUUUUUCCCACGUAAAAAUGGGUUUUUCGGUAGCUGCUCCUCGUGUUCUCUGGGUACGUACUAGGUGAAUGGGUGUCAUGUGUUGUUUUGGCAUAACGCAUAAACACUUAUAUAGCUAUGUCGUGUGCUUGGAGAAUUAUAGGGAGAUGGUGCCGAAAUUUUUAUAAACGUGGAAGAAAACUUUAGGUACUUGAGAUUGAAGAAACUUAUGCAUUCUUGAGUGGGAUAUGUAGGAUUACUUACCUUUUGUAAAUAUGAAGGGAAUGUUGGAUAUAUUGGGGAUAGUGUAGGAGCUGAGUUGGAUGAAUGUAAUUGGUGAUGAUUUUGCUGAGCUGACCUUGGUCUUGAGCUUGUAAUUUUGUUUGUAAAUGGAGUGCUAUCUCCAAUGUUGGUUUAUAAAAAUGUUUCAGGACUUGCUGAUCUAAUUUUUUGUUUCUAGGUUACAGGCUUUAUAUAUCUGUAAUUGAUAGCCAAGUGAAGUUCUCAGCACUUGGCAAGGAUAUUUCUUUACAGAAGGUAUUGGAAACUGUUUUUUACAUUAAUUAUCGUUGUUUAUAUACUUUGAUUGUCACAUCUUUUUCUCUGAUUCUUGUGGCUUUGCUUGCUUUCAUAUAUGUAAAUUCUAAUGAAAUUAACCAUAAAAUUGUAAAAUGAUCUUUUUAUUAUAUUGCAAAACUGUGCACACACGAAAAUAUCUUGUUUAGUAGUGGAAAUGAAGAACUAAUUUUUGUCGCGCAUUAAAAGGAGAUAGUCAUGGACAAGUGUUGGGUUGGUUUGCCAAAUAGAUAUCCAAGUCAUAUACUGAUGGCGUUGAAAAAAUUAUAGAUUUUGUAUUUGAGAAUGUUGUUGGUGGUACAAGAAUUUAUUGUCCUUCUUGAUAAGUUUUGUAAUCUAUAUUUCGUUAUAAGGGAAGUGGCUGAUGAUGAUAUGGUUGGAAUGAUACAGUGCAUCACGUAAUCAAAUGUUCAAGUUACACGCAGCAUUGUUAUGAACUAUCAGUGGCAACUUGUCUGGGUGGAGUAUUAAAGGUAAAUAAGCAUGUCUUGUUUGCCAACAAAGCACUGGAUCUAAUUGGUUGAUACAUAGUAGAAAAUUUUGUCACGUGGGUCACCGUCGAUUUUUCCCAACAAAUCAUAGGUUUCGAAAAUAUAGUGUCUUUGAAUAAAACUAGAGAGUAGGGACAAGCACCUUCUCAGUUGUCUGGAACUGAAGUGAAAAAGCAGUUUAAUAUAUUUACUGAGUAUAAGAUUGAAGACUUGAAAAGAGAAGAACGAAUAAAAUGAGAGAAAUGAUAAGAUUACUUGGAAGAAGAACUGCAUUUCUUAAGAUUACUUGGAAGAGAAAUGAUGUGGAAGAUGGCUAUAAAAGAUAAAAGGAAAGGCUUAAAAAGAAAAGCCAUGCCUGUCAAAAACAAAAAAACAAUUGCAGCGUCAAAUUUAUAACACAAAUCAAAACGGUGCGUUUGAGAGUGUAUAAAAUACAUUUAGAGUGGGAGUUGUGUUGUUGCUUGAAGGCAGAAUGUUUGUGAGAUAUUUGUCGACGAAGCCGAAACCAAAGAUGAAGCCCAUCAAAAGCAUUUAUAGUGUAAAAAGUAUAUUGUGGAAAUGUCUGGUCGGUAAUACAACUAUUUCUUGUAGUGUAAAUGAUACACUAAUUUGAAUUUAUAUGCUUUUAUGAUUAUUUGAUUAUCAAGUGGUGAUCAUAUGUGAUGAUAAACUUAGGUCGUACCUUUAUAUUUAUUGCCUUAGUUUUCUAAGCGUUCACAUUUUGAUGAGUAAAUUAAGGAUUUCAAGAUGAAGUACAUAAUUAGAUUAAUGCUAAGAAACUGAAGUUUGAUCGAUUGAAAACGAAAAUAAUAAUAAAGGUAAUUAAGAAAAUGAACAAUAUAUGCAGAAGCGGUCCUUAUUAGUACUUCUAGAUUUUCUCUUGGGCUUUCCUUAUUAUUGUUAAAAAAUGACACGAAGAACUUUGAGUUUAAAAAUCUGGCCCUGAUGCCUGGUAGCCCUUCAACAUAUGAAGAACCAGAUGUUUUGAUGAGAAAAUGACAAGACCAUUUAUCAAAUUUCUUGUGGAUAUAAAUACAUACACAUAGACGAGGCCAACCUCCUCAAAUGAGAAUCAGAGUGAUUACAAGACCUUGCAAUGAGACAAUGAUACACCAUCAAAUGUCAAAAUACAAUAGAAAUUCACGACAUAUAUAUAAUAAAAGACCUCUCAUUGAGUCAUAUAUAUUGAGAAUAAAAAUGUUAUAAUACAUACACAGAGCUUAGUUAGAAUAAAAUGUCUUUGAACUUGCGAUGAUCAAACAAAGGAAACAGACAGGUUGUAACUCACACUAUCACAGAUGUAGCGACACGAUGCAGUGAAUCACAAGAAGAUCACGAAGAUGGAAACGGGAACCCCUCAGAAUGUAAACUUUGAAUAGAGGAAAAAAGAAAAACGUCCUUAUUUCAAAUUGUGCACAGAAGAAGAGUGACUUAAAUCUUCAUCAGUAUCCAGGCAUUCUGCAAUCAUAAAGUAGAAAAAUUUUAACAGUAACAGCAGAGAAAAUAUUAUGAAUAUGCUAGACCAAAUUAGUCCCUUUUUUGGUUUGUGAAAACUUUAUUUUUUAUGAAUACGCUAUCCAAUAUUUUCAAUCAAUAUUUCCACAAUAUAGUUGUUCAUAGCUAACGUUUGAUGGUUUAACGAUUUGUUCCAAGAAUAAUGAGCUGAUUACGUUUUGUUUUAUUUUUAUUUUAUUUUUUUUAAUCCGAUGAAGGAUAUUCAGCUGUGUCUUUAAUUAUGCAUUCAUAGGGAAGAACAUUUUCUAAGUACUUUCCUUGCCUUCUAACUUUCCAAGGAAAGAUAGGUGUGAAGAAAAGCAAACCCAAUGAACAAACAGAGCACAAACUAAAAUAAUUAGCAAAUAAAGAAAGGAAAAAGUAUGCACGUUUUCAAGGAUUUAAAAAAUACGAAGGCUUUUAAUGAAAUUUUAUCAUAAAAAAGUAUGCAAGGAGUUAUAAAAUUUUAGAAGACGAGGGGAGCUCGCAAAAAAAAAAAAGAAAAAAAAAAGAAAAAGACUCAAAUUAAACUAGACUAAAAAGACAUUCAAUUACGCAAAAUCUGUCCAUAAAAGUCUGAAAGGAUCAUUAAAAUUGCAUUGCAAAUUUAACAGUAAACUGAGGAACCCAUUCUAAAUAAUUCAGAUGAAAUUGCGAAACAAACCAUGGGAUUAAAUAAAUUAAAUAAAAAUUAAUUACCAGUUGAGACUUUCUUCUAAAAAUUCGCAACUCCAAGUCAUAAGAAGCCUAUGAAAUUAGUAGUACAGCGUAGAGUAUGACGACGACACCGCCAACAGCUGAAAGUAAAAUUCUUAUUCAUCAAUUUAAACUUACUUUAUAACAAAUAUCUUAUCUAUAUUGUAUUUAAGAAAACAAAUUUUGUAAAAAUUUAUCAUGGGAGAUAGAGAGUAAUAUGUACAUACGUACCUUCUCAGCAUGUAAUUGUUGUAUGGUUGUGUUUAGAUCAUUAUUAGCCCAGCGCCGUUGAUCCGCUGUCUCUCCAUAGCAGACGUUUACUCUUAGAGGCGUGAUUGAUUCUCCUGUAGUGAAAAUCUUCAUCUUGGGACAACCAAUCACCCACAACUCUUGCAAAGAUGGGAAUUUGAAGGUGUAAUUGGCAGAGCAGAAACUUGUGAGGCUGUCUAAAUCACGCAGUUCCAACGUCUUCAAUUUGCGGAAAACAAUCUCUUCUUUUUCAACCCCGUCUUUGUCAUUUAUUACCACCUCUGUCAUUGCUCUGCAUCCAUAUAUACUCACUUUGACGAGUUGCACUAGAGUUUUUGCUGUGGAGGAUGUUACCAAGUGUAUCAAUUCCUUGCAACCGAAAGCUACAAGUUCUGUUAGGUUCCGAAAAGAUACCGAUGAUGAUGGCAAUAGAAUUAACAGACUUUGACAAUGAUAUACUUUUAGAAUUUCAAGAUACUGAAAAAUGGGGCCAAGUUUGGAGUCUUGUUUGCACAGCUGCUUCAGAUGAUAGUGCCGGUGCAGCUUUAAUUCUUUUAUCAUUGCCAACUUCCCCACAUGUUUCUCUAAGCAUCCUUCCAUCGAAAAUACCUCUUCGUGGAAUGAAAAAUUAAGCAGUGUGAGUAUUUCGAGAUUGUGAAAUCUCUCCAGUACGUUCCAGAUUGGAAAACAAGCUGCGUCAUCUCCAACAAUCUCUAGUUGUUUAAGACUGCCAAAAAGGUGUUGUGGGAAAUCGGCCUGCAAAAUCAUCUUCACAUCUUUUCCACUUAGUGAUAGCUCCUUCAAGUUGGGUACGAUCUGAUCAUCAUCAAUCGUAAUAACUAAUGAGGUCAAUUGAUGAUCUACGGUCACAGGCAGUGACUUUAUAGUAUUUGUUUUAUAUUAUAUUUUUAAAAAAAUUGAAUUAUUGAUAAAAUUUAUUUUAUAUGUUAAUUUUAGAGGUAAAAAAGAAAUUAGGGAAAAAGGUUGAUUUAUACUGGCUCGAAAUUAUUUUAUUGCACAAUAAUAAAUUACUAAUUUAUUUUGUAAGUUCUUCUAUAUGGAAAGACUAAGGAUUCUUUUAUAAAUGUUAUACCAAAAAAAGUUCAUAUAAUUAUUAAUCUACCCCAUUGAUCUCUUAAUCUAGACUAGCAAAGAUUAUUGUAUAAUAAAAGUUUUCAAUUUAUUGAGUAUUAAUUUAUCGAUGCUUUGCCAUAUUUUUCAAAGUUAAAAAUAAGCUAUAGACAAAAAAUCUAGAAAAUGGCUUCAUACCUUUUCCAACGGCAAUGGGGGCUGUUGUGCAGGAAUGCCAAGUUGAUCAUUCUCAUUAUUCUGCAAUAAAUCUGCAGUGAAUAUCUUUAAUUUGUCACAACAAUGCACUGAAAGAACUUCUAGCGCGGGCCAUUCCGAAGUAUGCAUUCCAGGGUACAAACAUCUAAGUUUUGGUAGACCUUGGAGUCUCAAAGUGGUGAGCUGUGGAAAGACAAAAUAAGGGAUCACUUCAUCUGCUCUAUUCUCAGAAAUGAUCUCCUGUAAAUCCUCACAGAAGCGAACUUCUAGGUGUUGGAGCUGCUUAAGGCUUCCGAUCAUAGACGCUGAAAAUAUGUAUUUUAAUUUGUGACAACGCCACACAAUCAAUCGUGUUAAAUUUUGAAAGCGAGGAAACGUGACAGGAAAAUGAUUGUAGUGCCAAAUCUUGUCGACAUUAAUUUCAGAUAUCUCCAAAGCCUCCAAGUUAGGCAACGCAACCUAAAAGAAUAAGAAUUUCUGGUUAGAUCCAAUAUCCAUAUGGGAAGCACUUGUUGAAAUUUUCUUCUUUGAUUGCAAAUUCAUGCAAGUCAGAAUCAAUUUCCAACUGACAGCUGAGUAUGCAUUCUAAUUCAUACUACUUGUUAAGAGCUCAAUUAGUGAGCGCGUGAGAUUCUUUUUAUCCUUUUUUCCGUUUUCUUUCAAUUCUUUAAAUGAUUUAAUUAUUUUCCACGUAUGAUAUCAAAAGAGAACGCAUGAUAGAAUAAAGAAAAUGUUAGCCUACGCACCUUCUCGUUGAAAAGCAGAGUUGAAAUAUCCAAAGUGAUUUCGCUGGAGCAAUACAUAGUCGUCGAUUCCUCUUGCGACACUUGUCUGUUCGGUGAUGCUGAAGGAGUCUCCACCUCACGGCGGCAAAAACUUGUAACCUCAGGAAGAUUCCCCAGACUCAAAGAUCUUAAUUGAGCAAACUCUAUCUUCUCAAUUGCAUUAUCAACUUCUUCCCCAAUUGCAAAAAUCUCUGUUAUCUUGCUGCAAUUAACAACUGCAAUUCUCUCAAGUCUUGGAAGGCAUUUUGUAGUAGAGAGCCAAAAGAUAUUACUCAACUUAUCACAAUUAUAUGCUUCUACGGUUUUGAGUUCGUUGAAAGACUCUACUUUGAGCCGAUCAACACAUAUCCUCUCCAUGUUGAUCAAAUUGUGAAUGGUAAGUGACUCCAAAAGAGGAAAGGCAUCACAAGCGACCAUCUCCCUUGAAUCGACGAUACAAAAGAAGUCAGGAUUAUUUUGAACCCAGAGAAGCUUCAAUUGUGAAAAGCCCUCCUUGCAGCUUGUCCAACCAUAAGUAUUCAACGUUAUUGAUGCCCUGCAAUUUCAUGGAGCAAAUGUCCAUAAAAUCAAGCUUGAGCUUCAAUGAUCUUAAACUCUUGCGAUCACUGUUGAUCGAAAAGCGGGGCCGACUUUUAAACCAAUGUUGUCCAACACUCAUGGGAUGCAUGAAUAACCCAUUUCCAAUAGAUAUUUUGAACCUUUCGAGCUUUCUGGCCAAAAAACCUUCUGGUAAAAUAUUGUCACUUUUAACGUCAAUUUCUAGAGUGGUUAGCCGAGGUAAAUGCAUCAAUUCGUCAAGGCUAGCAUUACUUCUUUUGCUGUUGGCUCUUUCAACCUCCCAUUCAAUGAAGCAAUUACCCAUAUACAGCUCUUCUAAUCGAGUUAAGCUUGAUAUGAGAUUAGGCGCAAUAACUUUUAGAUGGAAACAAUUGGUUAAAUCUAACAAUCUCAACUUAUUCAAUUGACCUAGUUCUUCUGGCAACUGCAUAAUCUCAGACUUCAAAAAGCUAAGGACUUCUAGAUUCUUCAACUUCCCAAUGAUUGCUAUGUCCCCCAACGCACUUUGAUCCAGACAUAGUGUGUGAAGAUUUUGUAGAAGAUCAAUUGAAGAUGGAAAAGAAGAAAACUGCAUUCGAGUAAAAUCUAGAACUCUAAGCUUUUUCAUCCCUACAAAAAAGUUCUCAGGAAUAUUGAUUUCAAGAGAAGAAUCUUUGAGAGAGAUAAAUAAAAAUUCAAGGUUUGGGCAUUCUAAUCCUUCAGGAAAUUCACGAUUACUAUUAUUUCUUAAAGAGAUCGCAUUGCAUUUUCGAAGUGCAUCCUCAUCUGGCCAGUCCCACACAUCCUUAUUUCUCACCAAAAACACAUGUUGGUGGCGGCAUGCAAUUGAUAUUGCGACAUCACGAACAACAUCAUGCAUUGAAAAUUGUUCAUUGCUCUCACCCUCAAGCAACAAACAAGAGUGUCUAAGUUCAUGGACCAAUGCAUAUAAUUUGUCUCGUGCAUCUUCCAUCUUAUUGACUCCUUUAAAUAUACCCAAACCCAUGGAGUACUUAAACAAGUCCGAAGUAAGAAUACGGUUAUCCAUUAGACUACAGAGCAGAAAAAUUUUCUUGAGUUGCUCACCUUUUAAAUGGUUGAAACUCAGCUCAAUACUUGAAUAAGUCUCUGCAGAUACUCCUUCGAAGUUUACCAUUGAAGGCGUUCGGAGUUCUCGCAAGGAAUUCUUCCAUUCAUACUCUUGCUUCUCAGUGCCUUUGCCACUGUAGUCAAGGCAAUGGGCAAACCUCCACAUGCCCUGGCGACGUCUAUUGCUGUGGAUUUCAACUCACGAUUUUCAACAUCAUCUCCGGCCAUCAUCUUAAACAAUCUCCAGGCUUCUUCUUCAUUUAAAUUGUUUAUCAAAAAGUUGUCUUUAGAUCCCAUUUUUAAGAGGAGACUACGAUCUCUUGCUGUCAGCAGUAGUUUGCAGCCUUUAUGAUUUUCUCCAAAAGGAAUUGCAGUAGUCCCCAAAUCAAGAGGUUUCCAGAUGUUAUCCAGAAUCACAAGGAUCUUCUCAUUCUCCAAUCUUUCAUAUAGUCUACUAGCUCUUCUAGACUCAGCUUCCUCGCGCAACUCCAAGCCCAACUUCUCGGCAAUUUCCUGUUGAAUCUGUUUUAUGUCUGGAGUUUGCGAAACCUCUGAAAAGACCACCAUAUCAAAGUGCUUGUCUUCCAUAGCUUGCCUGGCGACCUUCUUCACCAGUGUCGUCUUUCCAAUGCCGCCCAUGCCGUACACCCCAAUGAUGCUGACAUCAACAUCGAUCAAUGCGUUUUUUAUAGCCUCCAAAGUAGAACGUCUUGAUUCGAAGGCCUCGUAGCCUUUGUGAGACUUGAGCCAAAUCUCCUCCGGAAUGGUACGGUAGGAAAUUCUAUCAUCAAAUCUCCCAGCUUCUUCUCGGAGUUUAAAAAGGGCCUCCUUCUCUGUUUCUGCUUUCUUUCCAUGCUGAUAGCGAGUAAUCCAAUUAGGAAACAGCCCCAUGAGACAUCGUUCAUUUGCUUUCUCUUCGUCUAGAAUGAAUUUGGCUGCCUGCUCAAUGCUCUUGUUCGCAUUAACCAGCCAUUUCUCAACCUUCUUUUCAAUCUUUUCACUUUUUCUUUCAGCCUCCGAAACUCUGUGCUGAAUGCUUUCUCUUUCAUCCUUGAGCCUAUCGAGUUCUGCCUUGAAAUUCUGAAAGUUGGCAGCGGAGUUGUACCAAUAACUAAAUUCGCGUUGUGCGUGAGGAGACAAACAGUUUACAACUCCUGGAACAAUGCUUUUCAAAAUGUCCAUUUUUUUUUCUUUUUUGGGGAAGUGAACGAAAUAGAAAUAGAACAGGGUCAACGGCCGCGCAAUUGAUAAUCAAGUAGAAGCAAAACAAGGCAAAGUUGAAAAAAGAAAUGAUAUUUGUACAAAACAAGGGAAAUCAGUGUAACAGAAGAGAAUCAAAGUGUUUAUGAGAUCAGAAAAUUGAAUCAAGAAAAGGGUUGCUUGAUCCAAUGAAAAUGCAAAGAGCUGAUGGAAAAAGGGGACAAAGAUAAAUAAGAAAACGGCUAGCACGAGCAGUGACCACGAUAAACAGAAGCAAAGUGUGUAUGAGAUCAAAAGACGAAAAUCAGGAGAGGUUUUCUUGACCGAGAAUUGAAGGCAAUUAGUAGGAGCUGACGAAUACGGGGAUCAAGAGGGAAAAAUUGCUUUUAAGCGAAUCUGAUAAAAUUAUUUCAAUACUCGUGGGCGACUCCUUUUUAAACUGCAGAAGGAAAAAAAAAAUUCUGAAUUUCAAUAUAUUAUUUUUUAUCCUAAUUUAUGUUAGGACUCGUAAUCUCGUCUCAAAUAAUUAAUUAGUAGAUAAUUUUUCUAACAAAUAUGUGUUGAAUAGAUAUAUUUCUUGACUAUGAGCAGGCUAGAGAUAUUUUAGCAUAGGAAUGAAAGUACAAGUUGUGUCAUAUUAUAAUUAUCAAUUGACCUAAAAAUGUUGUUGUGAAUUGAAAUUAUUUCUGUAAAAUAAAAGGAUUUGGGUCAUUGUUCGUUAUUUUCUGGCAAUAUUGUCUGGUCGUGACUCUUUGUUAAAUAUUAAAAAAAUAAAUUUAUAUUUAUUAAGUAUAAAAAAUAAAUAAACAAACAAAAAUAAAAGGAAAAGUUUAUACAUUACGUAAAAUAAUAAGAACAAUAUCAAUAUUUCACACUCUAUAAUUGAGUGAUGUGUUAUCCAACUGCCAUACAUUGGUCCCAAACAGAGACUUAAAUAUUAAAGUCCAAAGUUAUUGUGAUGAUGACUUAUAAUUGCCAAACUUGACAUACGGGUAAUCAUGCAUUAUAAGGUGCUGAUUUCUUCCGAUCGGAACCUUAUUUUUCAUUUACAAAUAAAUAAAUGAUGUGACUUCACGGUUGGCGGGGUCCUUUGUGUCAUUUGGGCAUUUCACUAAAUGAUUGAUUGUAGCAGGGAGAUUCCUGGAAGUUGCCAUUUGCCAAUGCUACUAACAUUUUCAAACUUGGAAAACCCUUCAAUCAAUCUUUUAGUGGUAGGCUCCGGUAGCUUGGUUUGAUUAUGACAUAUGAUUAUUUGAUAAUGAAGCUAGAGGAUGUAUUAAUAUAAAAUUUGUUUAUUGGUGUUGAAGUUAAUUAUCUCAUUAAUAUUAGUAUAAAAAGUUAAUUACUAAGAAACACAUAGCAGUAGUUAAUUGGUGUCAUAUUAUUAGGAUUCUGGGAUAUAAUUUUAUAUCAUAACUUUGUAAGUGUAUACUUACUCAUCAAACUAAUAAAAUUAUUUAAAAAUUUCAGUUGGAAAAAAUAAAUUAUAUUAUUUUCAUUUCAAAUAAUCUAUAAGUUAACUCAAAACAUAAUCAAGCUGAGAAUUAAAAUAAUGCUACUGUAUGAGAGGAUUUUUAUUUUUUCCCGAAGUUUCACUAGGAAAUUAUUGAUACAUAGCUUUAUUCGGAUCAUCUCAGUUCAAACGACAAAUAAUUGAAAGACUAAGCUAAAUAGACCAGCCAACAACUUUGUACAAGAGAGUUCAAAAAUUAAGGUCAUGGUAUUAAGGUGUUCUAUCUUGAAAAGUAUAGCGUAGUAAUAAAAUAAAAACUAAUAGUCUUUGGUAAGAUAUGACAUUUAAAUAAUAAUUUUCACAAAAAUACAAAGAAUAUUUAUAAAGUACUUCUAUAGUGAGGAGACCCUCACUUUGUUAAAGUGAAAAUAUCAAUAAUAUACAAAAGACAUAUAUUUUAACACAUUAAAAAUUGUAUUUUUUUUAUCUAUUGGUGUAUUUGAAUAUGUGUUAUUUAGUUUGUUAGUGAUAUCAUUACUUUGUUAAAAUGAGAAUGUCGUUACUAGAGAAUCAUUAUAUAUACAUAUAUAAAGUGCUUCUGCCCAAGACCUAGACUUUAUUAAAAUUUAAGAAAGCAAGUAUAUUUUAUAUGGUAUAAUAGUGUAAUAACAUCACACUAUUAUAUCAUAUAGAGUAAUAGUUUUUCAAACUUUAAUAAAGUUCAAGAUUAUAGAAUGAAUGAUUUUUAUAUAUUAUAAAUUUUUUUAUCAUAAAUGGAGGACAAAAUUAACAUAUUUUCAAAUUAUAAUAAGUAUUUAUCAAAUAAUUUAACAUUGCAAUUUCUCCUAACUAGUAUAGUAAAUAAUACGACCUAGGAGAUACAUUCAAAGCAUUUCAUAAGUUAGUUGUUAAUAAUAAAUGAUAUAUGCAGCUCCAAUCAUCAUUGUACGGUGAGUAAUUUCCAGUUAUAAAUAGAUAUUACUCCCUUCCCAGCAAUUUUUGAUGACUUAAUUUAGUGAGAUCAAAAUCAACAUUGAAUUUUUGACCAGCUGCCAACAACUUGUGAGCAGUUCACAGUGGGUACUGCACAUGAUGCCUGUUUCUCCUUUUGCAUCUAUUUUGUUGUUAACAUUAAUUUCAAUAGCAGCUCGUUAAUCCCAAUUGUUGAUUUGGGACUAGAUAAGAGUUUAUCUUGGAACUCCAAUUCUCCCAAUUAUUUUAGUUGACAAUAUAUUUAACAUUAUUUUUUUAACAUUAUUAAUUGCAUAUUAUUUAAUUAUCAGUAUAUAAUAUUCUUUAAUUUUCUAAUUUUAUAGGAUUAGACACAAAAUUGAUUAUGCCUUUUGAAAUUUAAGGGUUAUGUCAAUUGAAUAGAAAACUUGGAGGUAAACUUGUGGAUGUUUUUGUUGAUUAUCAAUUUAUGCAUGAAUUUUUGUACGUUUACUCUGGUUUAUAAUUAUUACUUUUAAACAUUUUUAUUGGUUUGAUUUAGGGUCAAUUUAGUAAUCAUGUAGCUUUUAAAAUAAUUACAAUUAGCUAUGCUGUAGAAAUUGAUCAAUCGUCAAGAGAAUCAGCUGAACAUUUAGUAAAAUUUAUUUUUAAAAGUACUUUUAGUUUUAAAAGCGUUGUAUGAAUAAAACUGUUACACUAAAAAUUAAAUGUAUUGCCCACUUGGGUAAAUAAAGCUAUAUAUUACAACUGUUACACUAAAAAUUAAAUGUAUCUUAAACCCAAACUUCUUCUUCUUCUUUUUGACUAACAAAAUUAAAAACAAUAGUGAACACAUUCUUUAAUAAACAAUAAGUAAUAAAUAAAAUCGUGUUAAAUUGCUUAAAAACUUUCUUUCACGGUUUGCUAAAUAUUUGUAUUAGUAUUUUAAAUAAAUAAAAAUAGUUGAUUUAAUUUUUUUAAAUAAACUUAUUAGGUUCAUGUAAAGAUGUUUUUGUUAUUUUAAAAAGUGUAGAAAGUACUCCUAAAAAAAAGCGUAGAAAGUAAAACUUAAUUUUUUAAAUUUAUCAGCUGAGUGCAUAAAUAAUUGAGUGUUCAUAAUGAUUUUUAAAGUAUAGAUAGUCGGACCCUAAUUUAAUAUAUGCAAAUUUUGCUAAUAUGUUAAUGAGAAUUAAAAAGAUAAUUAAGGGAGGCAAUCGAGACAUUCAGGAUAGUUAGGAUGGGACAUGAUUGUGAGUGGUUAGAUAUUGGUCCUAAUUUUGAUCACAAAUAUAUAAACAGGACGAGUUUAUCUCUACUUACAUUCCAUUUGAUAAUUAAGAUGAGAGUGGAAUUGUCAAAUCCCAAAUCAUCCCGGAUCACUGCCACCAAGGGUACUCUCACUAAUAAUAUCUAAAGAAAAAUCUACAUCUAUUUCAUACUUUUUUUUAAUGGAAAGAGCCCUCAUGGGGCUUGAAAUGGUAUCCUAAAUAAUAUUCAGAAUAUCAGGUCAUGAUUGGGUUUGUGACAAACAAAUAUUACAUAGUUGGGAUACGUAGUUAUAGUGUCCCAAUUUAUGUAGUAUCUAUCAUUUAGUGCACAUAUAAAAUAUUAAUCAGCUUAAUUAAUUUAUAAAAUUUAAAUCUAAUUAAUAAGUGAUACAUAAAUGCCAAGUGCAGUACUGUAUAUGCAAAUCAUGUUUGUGGAUCAUUACAAAACUGGCUCUUGAAAACAAGCAAGAAAGCUUAAUUAAGAACUUAAAACAAAAAGAAUUAGAUUGAGAAUAGUCGAGCCUUAUUUUUUCAAGAAUGGAGCUUAUAAAUCUUCAAGUACCAACAUACGCUUGGCCCAAUUGUUGUUACUAAAAUUUCAAUAUACAUAUAUAAGUAUGAUAUAGCAAAAAUUUGAUGGUACAUAUGUCGGAAUAUACUAGUUCAUGGGUGCAUUUGAUUAUUGUUUCCAUAAAUUUGAACCAGGAAGGAUGACACGAUAAAAUUUGAUUUUAUAGUAUGGUUGAUUUCAUAUCUCAUGCACUCAUUUCUUAAGAUAAUCAAAUUUUCUCUGGCAUCUUUUGCAACUGUCGAAAUAUCAAUUAUGAUCAAUCAAAACGAUUUCAAAACCUUUCAACGAGAUAUAUUUCUAAUACAAUAUUGUGAAAAUUACACUAAAAAUUUAAUUUAUUAUAUAUUAUUAUCCAACGAGCACACAAAAAUGAUUUCGUACAAAUCUAAAAUACUGAGCAAUUUUCAAAUAGAAUUUACUAUGUACUACAAGAAAAUAGGGUAUAUGUGACCCCUAAUAUGAAUGCAAAAGCAGCCAUUACGCAUAUCACUAACUUCUAACUUUGUAACUCCGAGUUGCUUUUGUUACCCUUUAUGUGACGGCCACACUGCUGUCACAUAUGUUACGAACCGCGUGACGGCGAAGAGCCGUUCGGUAUACUAAUAUUUUAGAAUUUUAAAUUUAUUUCCAGUUAGAAAACUAUUCGCUGGACUCCGUGUUGCUGGCCACCAUCGUAAACGUAACUGGUUGCCAGCGAACGGCGUAAAACGCCGGCCAUCUUCUUCUUCAUCGUAUUCUCCCUUCAUCUUUUGAGGUAAGCUUGUAAUUAUAGAUUUUGAUUUUUUUUAUUUUGUAUUGUAGCCGUUAUUGUCAAUUUUUGUCCCGCCAGCAAUAUUUUUUUAUUCCUACAAGUUGAAGCCCCUGUGUUCUUGUUCCAUUGGUGAGUUUGCUCACUCAAAUUAAUUUUGUUCUGCGGAAUUUACAAAGUUCAAAUGGAUUCAUUUGAAUUACUAUUGAAUUUAGCUUUAAUUUCAACAUCCAUUCUAAUGUUUUGCAAUUAGAUUUAAUUUAAUUUUAUGUUUAAAGCUUCUACAAUGAAUAGCGGAGCUUGGGUUUUAGUUUCAUUUUCUGGAUAACUUGUUUUAGUUUAUCUUGUAUGCUCACCAAGUGCUUGUUAUAUUGUCUGAUAAGUUAUAUACAUUGCUGAUUCUAUAUUAAUAAUGUUACGUUCUAUUUUCAGAAAUUAUAAUACAAAAGUUUUUACAAUGGCGUGCAUCUACAAACUGAAUUGACUUGUAGAAUAAGAGCUUGGAGUAAAUGAAAGUUCAUAUUGUGUAAGAGCAUGUAGAUGUAAAGCAUCAUUACCAUUUCUACAAAGUGCUUUCAUUCUUGAACUUUGAAAGGUGCCUCGUUCAAGUCCUAGCUAUAACUACUAGCUUUGAUUAAUUACGUUCCUAUACUAGCUGAAACAGAUUUAUUUAAUUAAUUAAUUGUGUAUGUACUAAUUAUAUUGAAAGUAUAUGAAUUUUUUUUUUAACAUGAAUGACUCCUAAAUGACUUAAAAACCUAAAGGAUGUGUGAAAUAAUGCUCAUUUCACUUGAAUGAGCCCAUUAAUACUUUUAUGUCUAUGAUUUUCAAUAUUGGCUAAAGCAUUUCGGUUAAGUGGUUUACCUAACAGAGAAAAAAAUUUAAUAGAAAACUUCAGAGUUCUAACAGAAAUAUAGUUUACUAUGCAGAUAUAGUUAUUUUACGGUAUACAAAUCAAGUCGUCCUAAUCUCAAUGUCCUAUGACCGAUUUUAUAUUAUAUAGUCAUUAAUUUUUUCCUUGGUUUUUUGUGUUUGUGAGUAUGAAAUAGUGGGAUUUGGUGUACCUUAGCAUCUCUUGAAAAUUCUCUUUCAGUGUGGCCAACAGAAAUAUACAUAUAAUCAAGUUUCUUAAUCCUGUAUAUUAGUUUUGGGUAUGAAUGUUCCUAUUCUAGUUCUAGGCAAAGCUUCUUCAUUUUGGUCUUCAGAUUUCCAGUAGGUUAAGUUAAUCAACUAUCAUAACUGGCUAGCUAGUUAUUGUCUGCCUUGGCGCCAUUACCCAGGCCAUUAUAUUGCAUAGCAUAAGGAAUAGUGAUUAGGUGAUUAUUAGUGAUUUGUUGAGCUUAUUAUCGACCAAACAAACAUAUUCGCCUUUGCCCACAACUUAGUUUGAUUAGUUAUUAGACCAUAAAGAGCCUUGAUCUAUUCAUUGGCUUUAUUAUUUUUAUUUGGUUUUUCUUUCAACAAUAUUGUUGAUUUCUUAUAAAAAUAUUCAUUGGUUUUUAAACACCUAAUCAUUGGCUAUAUGAAGCUAAUUAAAACUGAGGCUUUGGAUCAAUUUCUUCUAACAAGAUACAAAUGAGCAUAACCUAUCUCCUCUGAGUAAAUUUUUUUAAUAUCCUUGAUUUGUAAGGAUCUGGAGGCCUGAAAUCCUCUAGAUUUUUUUUAAUACUGUCAAUGUUCUUUUUAUUCUGAAAAGGAACUAAAAGGUUUUAUCUUUCAUACCCUAAUAGUAAGCUGGCCUUGUCUUAACAUGGCUUCCCGAGGAUUUGGAAGAUUCAUAGGCCCCCCCCCCCCCCCCCCCCCCCACACACACACACACAAAAAGGAAGAUUUUGCAAGAUUCACCACCAGGUUAUUUAUUUAUUUAUGAAUUGUGUGUACAUACUAGUUAUAUGUUGAAAGAAUAGGAAGAAGUAUUUCAACAUGAAUGACUUAAAACUUAUUGCUCAGUAAACAUAAUAUGCAUCAGUGCGAAAAUGUAUUUAUCAUUUGUAUUUUUUAUGGUUUUGCUUAAGAAAUGAUAUGUGAAAUAAUGCUACAUGCCUACAUUGUAUCAGGAAUAACUUGAAAAGAUUUAUGAUAUUUAUGUGUUAUUCAAAUUUCAGAUUCAAUUUUAAACUUUUGAUACGUGCAUUAAAAGUUUAGACUUGUUUAAGAAAUUAUUAAUAGACACAUGUUUUAUUAGUGUCAUAUUUGGAUGAUAGUGAGGAUCAUAUGUCUAUUAAUAAUUCUUGAAUUGUCCGGGCUUGGACAGUUUGGGAAUGCAUACUUCUCUCUGGUAGCUAGUAGCCGAAGUUUUCUUCCCACGUAAAAAUGGGUUUUUCGGUAGCUGCUCCUCAUGUUCUCUGGGUACGUACUAGGUGAAUGGGUGUCGUGUUGUUUUGGCAUAACGCAUAAACACUUAUAUAGCUAUGUCGUGUGCUUGGAGAAUUAUAGGGAGAUGGUGCUGAAAUUUUUAUAAACGUAGAAGAAAACUUUAGGUACUUGAGAUUGAAAAAACUUACACAUUCUUGAGUGGGAUAUGUAGGAUUACUUACCUUUGGUAAAUAUGAAGGGAAUGUUGGAUAUAUUGAGGGUAGUGUAGGAGCUGAGUUGGAUGAAUGUAAUUGGUGAUGAUUUUGCUGAGCUGACAUUGGUUUUGAGCUUGUAAUUUUGUUUGUAAAUGGAGUGCUAUCUCCAAUGUUGGUUUAUAAAUAUGUUUCAGGACUUGCUGACCUAAUUUUUUGUUUCUAGGUUACAGGCUUUAUAUAUCUGUAAUUGAUGGCGAAGUGAAGUUCCCAGCACUUGGCGAGGAUGUUGGUUUAUAAACUGUUUUUUAUAUAUACUUUGAUUUUCACAUCUUUUUCUCUGAUUCUUGUGGCUUUGCUUGCUUUCAUAUAUGUAAAUUCUAAUGAAAUUAAACAUAAAAUUGUAAAAUGAUCUUUUUAUUAUAUUGCAAAACUGUGCACACACGAAAAUAUCUUGUUUAGUAGUAGAAAUGAAGAACUAAAAUGAUUUAUUUAACUAAUAUUUGUAGCGCAUUAAAAGGAGAUAGUCAUGGACAAGUGUUGGGUUGGUUUGCCAAAUAGAUAUCCAAGUCAUAUACUGACGGGGAUGAAAAAUUUAUAGAUUUUGCAUUUGAGAAUGUUGUUGGUGGUACAAGAAUUUAAUGUCCUUUUAAGAAGUGUUGUAAUCUAUAUUUCGUUAUAAGGAAAGUGGCUGAUGAUGAUAUGGUUGGAAUGAUACAAUGCAUCACGUAAUCAAAUGUUCAAGUUACACUCAACAUUGUUAUGGACUAUCAGUGACUUUCUAGCAUUGCCAACUUGUUUGGGUGGAGCAUUAAAGGUAAAUAAGCACGUCUUGUUUGCCAACAAAACACUAGAUCUAAUUGGUUGAUACAUGGUAGAAAAUUUUGUCACGUGGGUCACCGUCGAUUUUUACCGACAAAUCAUAGGUUUCGAAAAUAUAGUGUCUUUUGAUAAAACUAGAGAGUAGGGACAAGCACCUUCUCGGUUGUCUGGAACUGAAGUGAAAAAGCAGUUUAAUAUACUUACUGAGUAUAAGAUUGAAGACUUGAAAAGAGGAGAACGAAUAAAAUGAGAGAAAUGAUAAGAUUACUUGGAAGAAGAACAGCAUUUUUUAUGAGAACUACCGUAUUCAUCAUGAUCUUGUUGUCAUGCACUGCUUUGAUUUUUGUUAUGAACUCAGAUCAAAAGUUUAAUGUGAUCAAACUUUCUUAAAAAAAGUGAAAACGACUCCUAGUAAUAUGCUUUGAUUUUUGUUAUGAACUCAGAUCAAAAGUUUAAUGUGAUCAAACUUUCUUAAAAAAAGUGAAAACGACUCCUAGUAAUAUGGAAGAUGGCUAUAAAAGAUAAAAGGAAAGGCUUAAAAAGAAAAGCCAUGCCUGUCAAAAAAUAAAAAAAUAAAAAUGGCAGCGUCAAAUUUAUAACAAAAAUAAAAACGGUGCGUUUGAGAGUGUAAAAAAUACAUUUAGUGGGAGUUAUGUUGUUGCUUGAAGGCAGAUUGUUUGUGAGAUUUUUGUCGACGAAGCCAAAACCAAAGAUGAAUUACGAGGGUUAUGUUUGCCAUAGUCAAGGAACACGGUCCUCUCACCUUUGCCGAAACUUGGGAACGCGUCAAGGUGUGUGUAUCUAUUAAAUUGAAUUUCAACCGUUUGAUCUGUAAUUAUAAUUAAUCCAAUCAAUCUGACAGUGAUCGCUGACCAUAAUACUAGUAGUUGUUUUACAUUUUCAGCAAGCUGGAGCGAGUGGAUUGACGGGCAAAAGCCACAUGAAGAUUGUGUUGAGAUGGAUGAGGGAGAGACAAAAGCUCAGGCUCGUCUGAAAUCACGUGGGCCCUCAUAAGCAAAUCCUGUACACAACAACUUGAAGCAGCCAAAGUCAGGGAAUGAUCCUUCUCCGUCACAACCCUAGCUGCCUUAAAGUGAGACUGUGAAGAUGAAGUAAAGCACCAGUUGAACAAUGAAGAUGGAAACCCCUCAGCAUGUAAACUUUUCAACAGUGACACAGCUCUUAUUCCAGAGGCUGCACAGAAGAGCGACCUGAAUCCUCUUCAAGACUUUCAAAUUUUUAUCAAGUAAAGCUUCCAAAAUUUCUCAACAAAUUGAUUAUUUGGUGUGGUUGACACAUUUUGUGUAAUAACAGAAAAUUGAUUAUUUGGUGUAACAACAGAAAAUUACAAGAUCGCUGACAAAAUGACAAAAUGACAAAAUGACAAAAUGAAACUGAAGAUAAAUCAGAACAACUACCAAACCUUUGACUGAAAAUUCAAAAGAAUUUAUAUUCAAAAUGUCAAAAUAAACUGGAAAUUUAUUGCAUAUAUUACAAGAAGCAGUACACACCAAUUGUAAAUUGAUACAUCGUUUUUGAAAUUAAGAUAGUCAAAUGAAAGAAACACAACGGAGGGUUAAUGUAACACUUUCAAAGCUGCAUUAGUGAUACAGUAGAGUGAAUACCCUCAGCAUGUAAACUUAACUUCAAAGGACGGAGCACAAGUUUCACAGAAAAGUAGCUCUUAUUCCUGAUGCUGCAAACACAGAGGAGUGACCUCAAUCUUCUUCAUAACUUGGGAAUUCUGCAAUUAUAGAGCACGACAUUGAGCAUGAACUAGAAAAAAUAUUUAUUUUGUACAAUUUUCAUGUAACCUGACUAACCAAGAUUAAUUUGGUGGUAAUGCAUUGGGUCAUUACUUUAUAUGUUUUUACUGUCAUCACUUUAGAAAAAACUAAUUUCUCAAUGUGAAAUGGCCCACAAAAGUAUUAUCGUUUAAAAACUAAAGAUUAAAGCCCCCGGGGGGGGGGGGGUGUCUGAAGGCUUUUUACAUGAAAAUGUUGUCACUUUGAAUGAUAUUUUCAAGGAAUUUUAUUCUAAAAAUAAAAUACGUGGGACCUUAUUCUUCAAAUUGACAGCUCGCCAAGUACUAAAGGCGUAUGAGAUCAGUACUGCGGCGAGUAAGGAGACGACCCCUCCAACAGCUGAAAAUAAAAUUAGCAUUCAUCAAUUUAAAUUAAAAUUCAUAUUAUGAAAUAAAAACUAAUGAUUAAUGAAUUUCCGAGGAAUUUCAUAAGAUUCUCAUAUAAAAACGUGAUAAAAAACUCACUCAUCAAUAACAAAUAUUCUAACAGUUACCCGUACCUUUUCUUGAUGUAAUUGUUGUAUGAUUGUGUUAAGGUCAUUAUUAGACCAACGCAGUUUGUCUUCACUCCUUCCGUACCAGACGUUUACUCUCGGAGGCGUGGUUGAUUCUCCUUUGGUGAAAAUCUUCAUCUUGGGACAACCAAUCACCGACAAAUCUUGCAAAGAUGGGAAUUUGAAGGUGUAAUUGGCAGAGGAGAAGCUUGUGAGACUAUCUAAAUCAAGCAGGGACAAUGUAAUCAAUUUGCUGAAAACAAUCUCUUCUUUUAUAUUUGCUGUUUCAUCUUCGUCACAUACUACGACUUCUGUCAUUGCUGUGCAUCCAAAUACCUUCAAUGAUAAGAGUCGCUCCAGACUUUUUGCUGUGGAGCAUGUUAGUAAGUUCAUCAAUUUCUUGCAAGCAAAAGCUUGCAGGCGUGUGAGAUUCCGAAAAGAUACCGAUGAUGAUGGCAAUAGACUUAACAGAUUUUGACAGUGAUAUGCUCUUAUAAUUUCAAGAUGUUGGAAAAUGAAGUCCAGCUGUUUGGAGUCAUGUUUCCACAGUUGCUGCAGACGAUUAAGUCUGGUCAGGUUUAACCUUUUUAUCAGUGCCA